GGUGGGCGACGGCGCCCGACGGCGCCUACGCCUGGGGCUACUGCUUCAAGGAGGAGCAGGGCGCCGCGUCGGGGCCGGACUACUGCGAGCCCAGCACACAGUGGCCGUGCGCCGCCGGGAAGAAGUACUACGGCCGUGGACCCAUCCAGAUCUCCUACAACUACAACUACGGCGCCGCCGGGCAGGCCAUCGGCGCCGGCAUCCUCGCCAACCCGGACCUGGUGGCGUCGGACCCGACCGUGUCGUUCGAGACGGCGGUGUGGUUCUGGAUGACGCCGCAGUCGCCCAAGCCGUCGUGCCACGCCGUCAUGACCGGCCAGUGGACGCCGUCGGGAGCUGACACCGCCGCGGGGAGGUUGCCGGGGUAUGGUGUUGUCACUAACAUCAUCAAUGGUGGCCUCGAGUGCGGCAAAGGCGCUGAUAGCCGCGUCGCUGACCGGAUCGGCUUCUACAAGCGCUACUGCGACUUGCUUGGUGUCAGCUACGGCGAUAACUUGGACUGCGCCAACCAGAAGCCCUUCAACAGCUAGAUCAACUAUAUAUAUAUAUAUAUAUAUAUAUAUAUAUAUAUAUGCAUUCAGUCUUUUUAAUUAACUAUAUGUAUACAACGACAGUGGCGUAUACGCUAUUUUACCAAUAAUACAAUAAGAUGUGAUGAGUUACAUAUAUAUAUAUAUAUAUAUAUAUAUAUAUAUAUAUAUAUAUAUACCAGUACACCACAGAUCUGCUACAAGCCAGCAGAUCGAGCAAUGAAUAAGGCCUUGUUUAGAUAAAAAAAAAUUUAGAUUUUGACACUGUAGCAUUUUCGUUUUUAUUUGACAAACUUUGUCUAAUUAUAGAAUAAUUAGGCUUAAAAGAUUCGUCUCGCGAUUUACAGACAAACUGUGUAAUUAGUUUUUGUUUUCAUCUAUAUUUAAUGCUCUAUACAUGUGCCACAAGAUUCGAUGUGACGAAAAAUCUUAAAAAGUUUUUGGUUCUUGGUGUGAACUAAACAAGGCCUAAAGCAAAAGGUUACACAUGCAUGUGUGAGUGUGACGUGCAGCCCAAUAGAAGUACAUACUGAAAAAUACUGUUGACUGAUUUAUUGUGAGAAAAAAAUACUACUGACAUUCGGGCCAAAACGAAAAAAGCGGCUACGAGUCAUAUGGUCAAUAUCGCGUGCGUAGUGCUCGGCGUCCGGCAACUGAAAGUCCAGUCUUCUACGACUUCCACGACCCUUCUUCCACGCGGCGCCUCUACCACAAGUGGAACUUUCUUUCUACACUGAACAUGUGGUUAGCAAUAUCAAACUCAACGAAUUAUUCAGAACCAGUGUUAAUGGAGUUAUAUGAAAAUCUCAUGAUAUUAAAUAAAUCGAUAUAGUCAUUAUAUCAGACUAGUUUUUUAUCCUACAGGUGCCUGAAGGUGAAGAUGGGACUACCAACAAUUAAGAGAGAAGGUGUUUGACUAGUGUUGAGAGAAUGAGUACUGAUGGUUGGAUCUAGAAUAGAUGGAUGAUGUUAUCGCUAUGAAAAGAAUGUAAAAUAAUCAGGCGCCUGUGAUUUAGCAACUCCCUAUAUCAAAACAGAAAGAAAAACUGCAAACGAAAUGUUUUCCGAGGGAGAAUCGUUAGGCAAAGGCCGCCAAAUAUUGGGCAAGGGACCUGGCGGUCCACCUCAAGGAUAAAUUUCUUGGUUGUUUGGCCACCAAGGUAAAUUACGCCAUGGCAAAAAUUACAAAAACGUGAAGAAAAUUAGUGAACUUGUAAGUAUAUAUAUUUCUCUCAAGGAUCUCAAACCGUAAGGAAUUGUGUUACAAACGUCAAGAAAAAAAAAUUAGAAUAUCAGAAGAAACCUUGCGGUGUGUUGCUUCCUUACUAGUGCACCCUUGCUUCGUUACUAGUGCGCCACAAAGUCAAUUGUGACUAAAUGGCUGAUGCAUUACUUCAAGAUUCAUUCUAGUGAAUUUAUAAUGAAUAUUUAAGACCCCGAAUUCAAAUGAAAAAAAAUGAAUUUGAAAUUUUUAGAUAUCUUCGAGCACUAGAACUUUUGUUUAGGUCAUUUCUCUAUCCGAAGUCAUUUGAAAAACUCAUAAAUAGCAUUAAUUUUUAAAAAAUAAUGAUUUUCCUUGUCGUUUUACAGUAACAUUCGAGAAUAUUUCUAUGAGUGAGUCUAAAUAAAACUCUGUCCAAUCAUUCACCCUACCUUGUUUUCUCUCCUCCCAUGUACUUCUUUCUCUUCUCCUAAUCCUCUCUACACUCAAAUGAGGCACACUCUACCUGGGGUCUAUGCAUGUGCGACUAGUGGCAAAUGACUUGGUAGCGGCCAUUAGCAAGCAGAUUGGGAGCGGGGCUGCUACUAUAUGACCGCUGUCUAGCUAGGUGACCGGCCGGCCGGUGUAACAUCCUGAAAUUUUGCCAUGUGUUGAAAAAACACAAAAAGUUUGAUCUUUCUAAAUUUUGCUAUAGCUUAAAUAAACAUGACACAUAUGGGUUUUAUUUUGUACCACUAAUAAGAUCCACUUAAUAGAACCAAUCCACAUGUGUGAUGUUUUUUAUUGUUGCUGCUUGUGAGUGUCAAACUUAUGAUGGUACUCUAUCCAUAAAACCCUCCUCGAUUUCAAACCAAACCCAUCUCCAAAUCUAAGAAAUUCUGGAAAUAGAUAAGCGUGUAUUGAAUUAGAAAACUCCUUUAGGCUCAAACCUCUCUCCCUCUUCCUUUUGGGCCGUGGGCACAGCCCACCUCUUCCUCCUUCCUUGUCCACAUGGGCCAGCAUUAGCCGCUUGGUACAACUGGAGUAGCCCACUCUCCGUCCCCUCCCCUACUCCUAGUUAGGCUGAGACCCUAGUCAUCGAUCUCUCACUCUCCCAUCCACCGUCUUCAUCUGCACAACAAGUUAAAAAUAUCGAUUUAAAGAUAAUUAUAUAACGAACAAAAUGAGACCUUACCGAGAAGAACCCACGACUUUGCCGAGUAUUUUUACACUCGACAAAGAGUCCUUUACACUCGGCAAAGGCUUUACCAAAAUAGCACUUGACAAAGUCCGUUUGACAAAAUUUUCUUCGGCAAAGAGACUUUGCCGAGUGUUUAAUUUGUCGAGUGUUUCGAGUGGCACUCGGCAAAUUUCGGUCGUUACAACACCGGCCAUCAACGGCUAUUUUGCCGAGUGCCCGGCCCGGCACUCGGCAAUUUUUUUAAUUUCUUUUUAAAUAUAUUUUUUGCCGAGUGCUCCUGGCCCUGGCACUCAGCAAAGUUUUUUCUUAAACAAAUUCUUUACCGAAUGCCCCUGGUCAAAGCACUCAACAAAGUUUUUUUUCUUUUUUUUUUCUAAAAAAUUGCUUUAACGAGUGUCCUAGCCCCGGCACUCGACAAAAGUUUUUUCUCUUUUUUUUUAAAAAAAAUGCUUUGUCGAGUGUCUCUGGUCCUGGCACUCGGUAAAGUUUUUUUUAAAAAAAAAUUGCUUUUGCUGAGUGUCUUGAUCUCGGCACUUGGCAAAGUUUUUUUUAAAAAAAAAAAUUGUGUUGCCGAGUGUCUCUAACCCUGACAAUCGGCAAAGGCUUUUUUUUUUCUUUCUUUUUAAGAAAUAUCUUUGUGUGAGUGCCCCUGUCCAAGGCACAUCGAUGUCACGGGACAGUAGUUAGCACUUGCAGUAUACUUUAUUUCUCUUGUGAGUUCCCUGCACUUGCAGAUUCUCUUGUCAGAAAUCAAUGCUUACGAGGUAGACUCACUGAUUUCUGCUUAACUAAGAGCAUCUCAAACCGUUUUGCACAGAUCGUUUGACAAAUAAGAGAGUUUACUAAGUCCUAAAUAAAUAUAGCAAAAGUGAAAAGAGGCAAUCUUCAAUGGUUUGACAUUAAUUACUUGGCAAAAAUGAAAACCUGGCGGCGUGAGGAGGGAGUAAUUGUGUGACCACGCGCGGGGACGACAGAGUUCGCGCGAGGGACGCGAUGCCAAGCGCGGAGGGGCUUGGCAUAUAUACGAGUCCUUCCCCUCUAUUUGCCAAGUUAACAAAAUUGCAAAUCCCAAUUGCCAAACCGUUGGGUAGGUAUUUUUUAGACUUUUUUGCAAAUACAUGAAUGCAAAGCCUAUUUGCCAAACGGUCGGGGAUACUCUAAUUAAAAUCUUUCUAGCCUUGUCCUGAGCGCCCUACAACUAAGCCUGGGCAUUCGGGUUAUCCGAUUUUUUCAGUUCGGGUAAUUCAAAAUUCGGAUAAUGAAAAUUGUUACCCGAUAUUAGUUCAAAAAACACUAUCUGCAAUUUCGAGUACACGCUAAUUCGGGUUCGGGUAUUCCCGAUUUACCCGAAUUUUCAAAAAACAACACACUAUACAAAAUUUCAAUAGCAAUUUAUAUAUAAUUUCAGCAGCGAUUUGUAUAGAAUUUCAAUAGCAUUUUGUAGAGAAUAAUAUAUUACUAUCACUUGUUCAAACAAAGAGAAUUAUGUUCUAAUAAAAUGAUAAGUUCUAAUAUUUAACUAUCAACACAUGAUAAAUACAAAGAUAUAGACAAAUAUUUGGGUAAUUCGGGUACCGGGAGAUAUUACCCGAAUUACCCAAACUAAUUUCGGGUAAUCAACAUCGCUAUCCGAAUUUAGGAUCGGGUACCUCGGGUUCGGGUAAUUCGGAUUCGGAUCCGUGUAAUGGGUAUCGGAUAAUUUGCCCGGGCCUACCUACAACUGAGUCAACUUAAUUAGAUUAGCUCAUUAUAUUGUACCGAUGAGGAGCACCCUUCAUUCAUCUGCCUUGAAACUUGUCUCCUCUCUCUCCCCCACCUUAGAGGCCAUAUGUGCAACCACCCGUCCCAAAGUCCAUUUGAUUAGGAGCUUGACUAUUGAAAGAAUGAGAAGAUGCAUGUCCAAUAGGGAUGGAGUGAAUUAAGAUAAUCUAAAAGUUUCACAAAAAUAAAAUCUAUGUUUAGCUAAAUUCACCCAUACAUGUUGUUCUAUGUCUGUAGCACAAAACUUUUGCACCCUAAGUUCGAACCCUACACUAGCAUGACAAUUAUAGGAAUAUAAAUUACAAGGAAUUAUAUGCAUAAUGUAAAGAGGGAGCAAGGGACACAACGAUGUUUCAUGAGAGGUAUCGGAGAGUUGUCACUCCUCACUAGUCCUUGUUAGAGCACCUCACAAGAUAUAGCUCCCCCUUGAUCUAUGCAAGGACCAAGCAGUGCUCUCUAGUGGUUGAUCAUUCUCCAAGAUGGAACGGUACGAUGGACCAUUGAAACUAUGUACGCCAACUUGGGCCUCUCACGAUCUUCACUAAGAGGUCACCGAGCACCAAUCAUUACCAACCCAUCUUGGUGAUGUCAAUUGAAGGGACCGUGAAUCCUAAGAGAGGAAGGGUGAAUUAGAUAACGUAAAAACUAUUCGGACAACCAAAACCUACUUAUAAAAUAUAUGCAAGACUUUAUCUAGAUAUGUGGACUAUGCAUGGUUUUGCUAGGUGUUAUUGUCAAUAACACAAAGGAGUCAUGCAACCUAGGUUGGUCCAAACUUAUUCAACUAAACUAGAAAUGUAGACUAGAAAUGGUGAAGCAUACAACCUAGGAAAAGCUAGGUAAAUGUAGAAAGUGUAAAUAGGUUAGAGAUGUAAAUUCCCACGAUGAUGAUUUUACCUAAGGUGUCGAAAAGCUCACACUUUUUUCUAGUCCUUGGAUCCUCGUAUCUCCUAGCAAGGAUGCCAUCGCAAAGGCCAAGCUCGUGAUGAGUUAACUCCGUGUGAAUCAUCCACGAGCCUUCCCCACAUCUGAGUGGGUCUUCUGUGGCCUUCUCCCAGACCACUUUCAUUGUCUUUAUUAUCGAGCUUCCAUUCAAAACACUGCAGGCCUCUCGUUCCCUCUGAUACCCUUGUGCUGGGACUACAGGUUACUUGCGAGGCUCAAUUUAGCAAAGGUAGUGUGUUGUGGUAUUGGUUCACUUUUCCAAAAUUAACUAAGACAAUAUAGGGUUUUAUUUGCCUUGUUUUCCCUAAACGAGGUGGUUGAUCUGUGGUUUGCCUAUAUCAAUACAGUUCAGGUGGGAAGAUGCUUUGCCCCCCCCCCCCCCCCCUUUGAACAUUCAAAAAAAGAAAAGGAAAGGAAAAAAAUAAAAUGAUGAUGGACUACAUGUUCUAAAAGGCGAGUACUCUUUGCAAGAAUACCUUGCUACUGUACAAAGCAAAUCCCCACGACCUCUCAAGCUGGAGCAACCAUGGCACCACUCAGGGUAACUUAAUCUUAAUGGCAUGGAUGACAGCGCAAACUAGCUGUUAAUGUACUUUAAUUUGUUGUAUAUGCAUGCCACGUAUGUGUUCUAGCUCAUCAUCAGUAUAUAGUAUAUGAUGCCAUCCAAGAUAUACUCAUGCUAACUUAGCUAGCUCUGUGUAUGCGUGUAUCUCGCUAGCUAGCCAUCUCUCUAAACGUACGCAACUACGUAUAUAUAUAUAUAUAUAUAUAUAUAUAUAUAUAUAUAUAUAUAUAUAUAGGAGUAUGCUGCUGUAAAUUAAAACUAUAUAUGCUAUAUUAUAUAACUAGGUCUCUGUGUAGCAACAAUGACUAUAUAUAGCUAUUUGAUGGAGGAUUUCUUGAGAUAUAUAUAUGGAUUGGUUAAAAGUUGAGGACGCUGGCGUAGUAGGGUGACCAGCUCUCCAUCCAUGGGCUCCGCAGCUGGGUCAGAAAUGGGUCCUGCAUCCACUCCUGCUGCUUCGCCACCUCCAGCUGCGGCAGGCUCAGCGUCGCCGGCUUCAUUAGCGCCGCCGCCGGCAGCAGCGGCUCCGCCACCUCCUCUUUCUUCAUGCUCAUCACAGGUGGUGGUAAGAUGCCCACGGGCAUCAUCGUCAUGGUCUCCACUCCCUGCUGCUUCUGGGAAUGGUGGUCCACCGCCGCCGCCGCCGUCUCGUGGUCCGACGACGACAUGGAGUCGGCGGGGGAGCCGGUGCUGUGGGACGCGGACGGCGUGGCGGUGGCGCGCGCCAGCUCCUCCAUGGCCACCCGCUGCUCCAGCUCCUUGAGCGACACAGCCUUCCGGUAGAUCUUGCACAGCACGAUGUCCUCCUGUUACAUAUAUAAAAAUGAUGAUUAGGACUUGCACUAUACUACUAGCAGCUAGCUAGCUUAUGGACUGAAAUAUCUAUAAAAACGUUGUUUUCAUGCUGCACCUGACAAAGUAAAUAUCUCUAGCUAGCUAGCUAGGUGUGUCCUACUUUUCAAAGCACGCGCGUGACUACUGACUACUGGCUACCUCGGAGUCAAAGUCAACCAUUUCACACACUCCACAUAUAUACUAUGCACACUAAUUGACCUCAUACAUCAGGAAUAAUUACUUAUAUUCUAGAAGAAUGAAUUAACGAAAAUGCAAACUAAACUAAUUAAAUGUCCUGUUUCGAUUUUUAUUAGGGGCAUGCUAAUAGUUAUUAACACAACUAAACUUCCGUUGAUAGUCUUGAAGAUCCAAAUAAAUAGGGCUGCUAAUACAGACCUCAAACUACUAGCAGGUGAAGAUGCUAUAGUUAUUAGUUCAUCAGUCAAUCGGUAGAGAGGUGCUAUAUAUAUUAACAGUUCUAUAUAUCUCCAACCACCUAUAUAUUAUCAGUUGGAUUAGUUUGUAGAUUCAGUACGUGGCGGGCCAGGGUCUGGCAGGGCCAUGACCCCCCCAACAUGUGUCAACAAAAAUUUUUACCAUUAUAAAUUUAUUAUUUUUAUUUAUAUUAAGAGAGAAAUAUAACAAUUUUAUCAUAUAUACUUAUUAAUAUCCUCUAGAUAAUAAAAUCAUACUACCUCCCUUCUAAAUUAUAAGUCAUUUGAGAGUCAAAAUAUCCCAAAUUUAACCAAAUUUAUAUGAUAAGAUAAUAGUAUUUAUGAUGCCAACUAAGUACAAUUAGGUUAUUCAUUAAUUAUAUUUUCGCAGUAUAUCUGUUUUAUGACAUAAAUCUUUAUAAUUCUUUAAAUUUGAGAUACUUUGAUUCUCCAGGAUUCUUAGAAUAAUUUAUAAUUUAGGAUGGAAGAAGUACAAAACAUAACUAGAUAAUACUAUGAAACACCCGAGACACAAAUUUUUAGGUUUACAAAAUUAUCUCAAACGUCCUACUUUUUUAAGGGUUUAUCGUCAACUACCGAAAGAAUAACAUAUUUGAUCCUAAAAUACAUAUAUAAAAUACGAGCACUUUUGUCAAGUUGAUGAAUUAAGCUAGACGGUCACCACCGGUUGUACUCGGAGCUUUGAUAAAUUGGAUUUUUUGGUUGGCCCUCUCUAUACAUAAUUUCUGAGUAGAUUUAGCUAUUAGCAUCAGCAGAUGCUAAUAAAGAUGUUGGAUUAUACUAGAUACUAGGUACGACGUACAAGCUAGGAUGAUGAUGCAUAUAUAUAUAUAUGCAUGUAUAAUUGUAUAUACCUUGGGCGAUUUGUUGGUGGAGGAGGCCGCCGAUGAGUCACCACCGGCGGCAUUGCAGCAGGUGGCGUCGGGGAGGCGAUACUCGUUCAUGACCCAAUCGGUCUUGGUGCCACGCGGCGCGCGGCCCUCGUAGUAGACGAGCGUCUUCUUGAGCCCGAUGAGGCGCUUGGGGUCGGCGGCGCACCGGACGGCGCGGUCGGACCCCGUGGCCUUCCAGAACCCGCGCUCCGUCGUGCGGCUGGGCCGGCCCCCGCCGCCGGAGCCGGACUGGUGCUGCUUGGCCGCCCGGCUGCCGCCGCCGCCGUCGCGGGGCACGAAGAAGUACCACUCGCGCUCGCCGAUGCGCGUCAGGCCCGGGAGCUCCCAGGGGUCGUGCCGGUACAGGUGCACCGUGGGGAUGAUGUCGAACUUGAGCUUCCGCCCGUACGCCACCUGCUUCAGGUAGAACUCCAGCAGCUCCUCCUCCGUCGGGUGGAAACGGAACCCCGGCAGCUCCAGCUCCGCCGCGCCCGCGCCGCCGGAUGACGACAUGGAUUGUCGUUGGUUGCUCUCUCUAGCUGCUGCUGGCUGCUGCUGCUUGAUGGAACGAUGAUGGAGAUGAGCUGCUGGCUGCUGCUGAGAGCCGGAUCGGAGAUGGGAAGGAAGAGGGUGGGUUCCCUCUGCAUAUAUAGGCCGGCGGGGAGCGAGGAGUGGAGGAGGAGGAGGAGGAGACAUGACACGAUGGCGUCAUGGCGAGCGAGACUGCGACUGCGACUGCAACUUCAAGAGUGAGAUGAUGAGAGGAAAGUGUGUGUGUGUGUGUUGGGUGAUGCGCUGCGCUCUCGUCUCUUUCCCAGUCUUCUCCUGCGUCAUACUAGCUGACUUUUAUUAUUAUUAUUACUGCCCUAACGCCAAAGGUAGUGUCGUCUCUGUGUGUGGAAAUUAAGACUUGCUUUGCUUGGAAUUCUUCUUAGGCUAUCUCCAACAAAGCCCACCCAAAUCGAGACCUAUUUCUCCCCUUUGGGUCACGAACACUGAAUGAGCAAAGCACCCAAAACUACUCUCCUCCAACAGCGAACCCAAAUUCCUGCUGAGCACCGCCCUCCUUGUCUCUCUCCUCGCGCGAGCGCUGCCCCUCCUCUCUGCGUACCCAGCGUCGCCCCUCCCUGCCGAGCGCCGGUCGCCUCCUCCCUGCCGAGCGCCGCCCCUCCUCUGCCUCCCUACCCCGACGCUGCUCUUCCCCGACGAGCAUGACGCCUCUCCCUCCCAGAUCCAGUGAUCGCAGGCGAGGAGCAGCCUGAAUCCGGCGGCCGCAGGCGAGGAGGAACUCAGGUCCGUCACCCCAUCGAGCGUUGCCUGCCUCCGUCCCCGUCGAGCGCCGUCCGCCUUCGUCGUCGUCGAGCGCUGCCGCUCGCCUCCUACCCCACCUUGCGGUCAUCGGGCCCACCACUACAAGGGCAUUUCAUUUGCAUCGUCGUCCCAAGAGGACGCUUUUUUGCCUCUCGAUUCAUUCAGAACCCAAAAUAGGUCAUCUGUUUGGGUCAUCUGUUGGGAGGCGUUUUUGGGAAGGCAAAGCACUGUUGAGAGCCUAUUUUGGGUAUAGGUUGCAUUGUUGGAGACAGUCUUAGUGCUCAUUAUUUUACAGAUAUAUGCAGUACUUUGCUUGGGAGAUCAUUAACUAGCUUUGUGGUACUGUCGUCAGUAUCUAACGUAAUGAUAAUUAAUAUAUUAUAAUCUGGGAAAAUGUAACAUCUCGGCGCAUAGCUUAAUAGGAUACCCAUACAAAGUUGCAACUUUUUUUCUGAAAGUCUAUCUCCAAAGAACUCUGAGUUCUUCUCGGUUACGCACGAGUAAGAAUAUAAUGUUGAUCUAUGACGACAACUUAUGUUCUAGAAAAGCUGCCCAGAUAUAAGCGGGUAAGAGGCGGGAUGUUACAGGAAGACUGAUUAAUCUAUACUUAUAUCCUUUAACCAAUUGAUGAGGAUUUCAGAGUUGUGUUGCACGAUGAAUCAUCUAAUACCCCUCCACGAAAAUGAAAAUAUAAUGUUCCAUGCUGGAGUAUUUUUACUAGUAUUUAUUUAGCAAAUGGAAAAUAGCUUCUUUUCUAGUUUCUUUGUUGUGAACAUCCUUUCUAGAAUUUUUUGUGUACAUUAAACAGUUAAACAUUGAUCAUCCAUAUUUUAGUCUGUUUGAAAGAAGAUUGUGUAGUGUGUCAAAAGAAAAUUUUAAUUCUUCCAUUCUGAAAAAAAAGUCGUAUAAUAUUAAUUCCUUCAAAAUAAGUAUAACUGAUUGGUGCUACCAACUGGUGAACUGGAGCGGUGCACAUAUACACACAAAAAAAAAAGAUGAACCUCCGAUCUCUGCAGAUAAAGAAGUGAGUGGUUGCAAGCCUGCAAAGUGGUCUGAGACGACUUCGUCCAUUGGUGCACACUAAACUAAAUUAUUCAGAGUACGCGUCUGCACUGCGCUGCAAUUAAUUAGUAGAUAAGUAGCUUUUCUUAAUUCAUGUGCAUGCAGUGCUGAUCAGAUUGGGCACCCGUAGCUUUCUCAAAGGAUACGGAGAGAAUAAUCUCUUACUGCCUGUAUACCAUCAUCCUUGACCUUGACCAUACCAUAUGUUAGUUCCUAUGUCUAAUGCCUUAUUUAGCACUGAUAAACUUACAUCACUUGAUGCACCUGCACACUUUUCUUGAAAAAAAAACAUGAUUCUUUUAAAAAAACACAAUCCAUACACACAUAUAUGCGCACACAUUUGCUCCUAUGAACGCACACAUGCACACUUUACCCCUGCUAUGAGCAUAAGACUAGGUUAAAUUACCACAAGCGUCUCAUUGUUAAUAGGUGUGUGUCGCCUACCAUUAAAAGAACAACGAAAUAAACAUGAUUGUUGAUUAAUUUAAUGAACGCAUUGCAUAUUGUCUUAUAAGUAUUUGAAGGUGUGCCCUAGGAACCAUGUUUAAUUUUUUUCCCUCUCCUUGAAACCUGACCGGGUCAUCAUGUUUGAAAUACCAAACAAAUGUCUGGAUCAUGGAACAAGUAUAGUAAUGCUAUUGCUUCAAAAAGUUGUCUGUGCUGUAGAAGAUACCCCUUCACUCUUCAUAGCCACAGCUUUACACGUAGAGUUCCUUUCGAUAUCGAUGGCCUUAUUUACUUUGACACAAGACGUACGUGUUGAAUUGAAUUGGUAAAACCUAUAAAACAGUUUAUUUGUAAACAUAUAGUUCCAGGAAGCCUAGGGAAAAUACAAACAAAAAAAACCAUAAGUUUUCCACAAGACAGACGGACGGAUGGAGUGUUUUGACGUGCUGACAGUUUGAAUUCCUUGCAUGCACAGGUAAUCAGUCAGGCAUGGCCAUGACUUUCACAAGAAAUCCCAAGCUCAGGACGACACUACUGCAUUACAUUUGCAUGGUGAUGCUGCUCUCUUGGCAAACCUCCAAGCCUUUGUUUUGUCGUCCCUCUGAAAAGAAAACCGCGUGUUGAAUCGUUCCAAGUCCUGAAAUGAUUCUCCCUUUUGACGAAACACCAAAAGAAUUAGUUACUUUCUUACAGGAAAUCAUUGCACUUAAGAGAAUUUAUCAGGCGGCGACGGCGGCGGCUGCUGCUGCGCAAAAGAGACUAAUGGUUGGCUAAAGUGGUUGCAGUUUUCAGGCACCUUACCAUUAGCAUGCAACUGUGGACCUGCACCUGCUUGGGCUACGCACGUACUACACCACUAGUAGACAUGUCCAAAUCAGGGCAAUAACUCUUUCGUCUUUAAUUUGCACCUUUAGUUUAAUCUGUGCCUUCCUAUGAAGCAACCUUAGUUAGCUUGCAGUCAGGGAAAUAAGCAAUAUUAACUGAUUAUAUUGCUAGUGUUUGAUUGACAGAAUUCAGCAAUCACUCCAAAUUUGACUGCAGGAAAACAAAAUCUCCAGUAAGUUUGCAGUCAUAUCUGAACAGCAAGUUUGCAGUCAUAUCUGAACAGCUUUAUUUACCUAUCUCAGGUAUUCUUUUUUUUUUAUUUGCGUGGUAUGCUUUAAAAGGACUUAUUAUACCAUCAGCAACACAGAAACAGUACCAUAGAGUAUUACCUACUAGUGCUUCUGAGUGUGACAAGCGUGGACUUGUCUGGUGCUAGGAGACUGGAGACAAGCUGUACCAUAUGAAUCAAGAAAGCAAGACCUGGAAAACGGAGUUGGGGCCAUCCAUCCAUCCAUCCAUCCAUCCCUGUCGCUUGGACCCGUUCUUGGAUGCACAAGUCGUUGCUGGUCGAUGGAUGUUGCCUCUUGCCGGGGAGUCAAGUCCAUGGUUGCAUUGCACUGCGUUCCAUUCCUUUCCACCAGUGACAUUCAGCCACACACAAAGGUCACAAGAUCUGAUCGAUCUGAGGCUUCUUUGAAGCGGUCCAAGUCUUUUAAUUCUGGAGAGAUAGAUAGGUGAUGCUUAGGCCUUGUUUAGUUCACCCUAAAAUUCAAAAAAAAAAAAAAUCAAGAUUCCACAUCACAUCGAAUCUUGUGGCAUAUGCAUGGAACAUUAAAUAUAAAUAAAAUAAAUAACUAAUUGCAUAGUUUACAUGUAAUUUGCUAGACAAUCUUUUGAGCUUAGUUAAUCCAUAAUUAGACAAUAAUUACCACAUACAAACGAAAUUGCUACAGUAGCUCGAAAACUUUUCGCAAGCGAACUAAACAAGGCCUAAGGCUUGGAGCCUGUCACUCUUCUUGUUCUGUGCUGGAGAGAGAGAACAUAAAUGAAGAAGCUGAUGUUGGUGGGUAAGUCACCUCAGUGCUCCUAGUGGUGGUGGUGCCAAUGACGUUUCAUGAGUUGGAAGACCUGGAAGAAGAGGUCGUUAGUGAUCCAUCUUUUUGUUGAAAGAUCAAAAAUAUAGUAUUAUGACACAUGAAAAGAUGCCUGCGUGAGGCUGGCCUGACCCUCGGUGGAGCUGACCUGACCUGACCUGCUGAACAGCUGAAAUCAAAUGUGAACUAGACAGGAAUAAGGAAUGAAGAAGCGUCCUAACUUAUCUUCAGUUUUAGUACUGCAGACUGACAGUAUCUGUUCUAUAUCUGCUGCAUUGGCAUCUAAUAUUAAACAUCUUCAUCAACCUAGGAAGUACAAAGUACAAGAAACCCCAAGUUUUUAUUCUGGACAGGGCACAUUUAGCCAUGUACCCAGUCAAAAUCCAGGUGAACCCAGGCCAUGGCUCCUCUGUACAUACACACAAUCCAUCCCUGAUUAUUCUUGUCUACUAUCUAGAAAACUAUACAAGCAGUGCUUGCUCGGAGAUGACACCAGUCAUCUAAGAGCUACAGGAAAGGACCGUUACAAGGGCACCAGCGGCUAGUCCAGUAGAGCAGGACUAUUAAGAGGGCGCUGGCAGCCAGUCCAGUCCUGAUCAAGGACUUCUGGCUUCAUUUGGUGUUUUUAUUGGAUGACUGGCGUGCAAACUUCCAUCCCUUCUUGCUUGCAUCCUCCUUGCCACCAGAUGUUGCCUCCUUGUCUUCUUUAGUAGCUGUAGAAGUUUUGACGGGGGUAGCAUCAACAUCGAUGAUGUCUGGAGAAGUCUUUCUAGAACCAGUUGUCUCUGCUUUCGCUUGAAGACGUUCAGCCUCUUCAUCUACACGAUAAUAAGCCUGGUAGCAGAAUGAUUUGUCAGGGGGGCUGAUAUUGCACUGCUGACGGAUAGAUUCUAGUUCAUCAGUUCAGUUAAGUAGCUGAUUAAGUGAACAUUACCACACAAGUGCGGGGUGGGGAAAGGACUUUGAAUGAGUUUGGCCGGUUGUUGAAGUUUGUUUCAGGCACCCCUGGUAUCCCUUCAGGCGACGUGAAGUGAUCCACGUCGUGGCCAACCUGUGUCACAACAUAGAUUAAUCUUGCAAACAUGACAGCCUGAUACAAUAUCCAUGGUCCCAACUACAGGAGUAGGAAAAAAAAUGUCAGCACCUAUCACUACUUACUCUUCCAUGUCCACCAAAGACGAAAGCAUCAGAGUCCAGUGCUACUCUGUAUUUCCCAGGCAAAUCACAUCCAACUUUGUAACUGCAUAUUAAUUGCAAAGUAAAGAUGAGAGUAAGCACACAGCACACUAGACCACAGGCAAAAGGAACAUUGAAAAGACAGAUUACAACUGGUAACUUACCCGUCAUAAGUUUUCUUGGGAUGAAAAUUGAAAACAAAAACCAAAUCUCCACGUUCAAAGACAAUAACCUGAAACAAAGUAGAAAUAAAUUGGAAAUAAUGUUUUCACAAACCAAACUAUUUGAAUCAAAUGGCUAGGGUUUCAGAAACCGUGCAUUCCUAAAUUGAAGCUCACCUUAAUCGGCAAAAUACAGCACACAAGCUAGAGUUACUACUCUUCCUAAAAGAAACAAAUGCCGUAACACUCUCAUACUAAGUAUUCUCAAGUCCUUACCUUUUUCUCAUCAUUCAUGUCGCUUACAAUCUGCUUGGAUGACAAAAGGAAGGAAAAUCUCUCAUCGAGCGCAUUCAUUGCUUGAUCAAACGCAUUCAUGUACUGUUCAGCAUUUGAGCAAGGAGAAAACAAUAAUGUGUUAGCUGAGAUAAACUGUAAACCUGAACUAUAGAAAAACAGAAAAAACAGGCUUUCACUUGGAUACAUAGUUCACCAUAUGCUGUAAAAAAUUAUAUAUUAACACAACAACCAAUCACUGAGAAGUGCAUUCCUAGGUCUGCAAAGUUAAGAAAAUGUCAUACCAAUCAAUGCACUGAAAUUACUUUCAUUCAACAAUGGCAAAACAUAAAACCAGGUCAACAAAAUAGUAGGUUUGCACAGGCCAAUCCAACCUGUCUAUUGAGUAAGAAGUACAAGGUUGGUGCAGUUUACUAAAGUAGGCUAGUGGCAGCAAAACAAAGUGUGGAAAAGCAUAUUUGAAUCCAGCUCAACACAAAAGUGUGACAGCAGUACGGAACUCUCAUCUAACUAGUAUCAGAGAUGGUGAUAAAAAGGAAAAAAAAAACUAUAUUAUUCAUAGACAUAACCUUGUACCGCAAGUGAUCAGUGUCCACAAGGCUCCACUGACGUCUGCAUUUAUCAUAGCUCCAGUUGUUCCCUUCUCUUGGAAAGUCAAUCCAUUCUGGGUGACCAAACUAGAAGAGAAAUGCACGUCAAUUAAAGACACUACAAAUAAGAAGGAAUAUAUGCAGCUGCCAUUCUGUCAACUAACUUCACCAAAGAUCACACUCUCAUGUGUAAAAGUAUAAAUAGCAUAUGAAAAAAAAAAUCAUUUUUUCCAUUCCAGAAUGGUGUGGGUGAAAGACUUGAUAAUAUCUCUGUAAGAUGUUUGACAUUUCUUUGUUCAAAAAAGAUGUUUGACAUUCAAGCAGUAUGCUUUCAACAGUGAAGGGUCACUUGUGUCCCAUGUUGUACGAAUAUAUUGGACAAGCCACAAAAGGAUUAGCAGCAAUAAACAGACCACAUUUUCAUGUGCAAAGACGAGCGCCUAUUCAGAAUUAACAUUAACUAUUCAAAUAGCCAUUAGGAACUUGAGUUACUGAGAAAAUAGAGGAUCAACCCUAAAUGCUGAAACAUCAAAUAGACAAAAUAGAACAGGUUUAUGAAGGCUUCUUAAUGGGAAAGAUUUUUUAAUAGACCAAGAUUUCACCUCAUUCCCCAUAAAAUUCAAGUAGCCAUCACCUCCAAGGGCCAUUGUGAUGAAGUGAAUCAUCUGGAGUGUAUAGAGCACAAUAAGCAAGCUAUAUUAAGAGGAGGGAACACGUUCAAGAAUUAUAUGAAACCAAGUUCAACCAGAACUUGAGGAGAAAUGGAACCUUUUGGAGUGCAAUCCCUCGAUCAAUUGUAGGUGAAGCAGGCUGCAAGUCUGACAUGCCAGUGUACAUUUCCUUGUCCAUCAGGAGAAAUGCUAUAGUUUUGUCGCCAACGAUAGACUGAAAAUUUGCAUGAGAUUAAUUUCCAGUAGAAGAUAAACAGGUCAUAUGUGACUGCAAAUUAUUAGACAUGCUUAGGAGAGCCUAAAUAUUUAUGAAUGAUUCAUGCAAUUACGUAAUCAGGAUAGAAAUGUGAAUGAAAUAAAGUACUGUCUGAUUAAGAGAUCCUUGCCCCACGUUUUAGUAGUCGACCUCUACUCCAUAAGGAAUAAAAUACUUUGCUGAAUCCAACUAUACUUCCUUAUAAUAUAAUGCAGGGUACCUGAUCAUGGCUCUCAGCAUAUGCGAUGCAUUUUUCAGUAUAUCUCCUGUUAGUCAAAGUAUGCGCUAUUUCACCCAUCGACCACUCAGAGUCAUCUUUAUUCUUCAGGUAGUCAAUCCAUCUAUCAGGGAUAGCCAUUGCCAGGCGAUAGUCAAACCCAACUCCACCUUCAUCAACUGACCGGCAAAGGACUGGCAUGCCUGAAACAUCUUCAGCAACAACAGUUGCUUCUGGCAAGAGUUUGUGCAUUAAAUGGUUUGCAAGCAUCAUGUAAACAACUGCAUCCACAUCUGUGUCCAAACUGAAAUACUCCUGGUAAUUACCAGUAAACCCCACAUUGAUACCAUGGUGAUGAUACAGCAUUGAUGUAACUCCAUCAAACCGGAAGCCAUCAAACAUGAAUUCAUCUAGCCAAUAUCUCAGGUUAGAAAGAAGAAACCUCAAUACCUCCCAGUUAGCAUAGUUGAACAGCCGACUGUCCCAAAGUUUAUGAUAACCUCUAUCUCCCAUAUGAAAAUAGGACUCUUGGGUGCUUUGUCCAACAUCAUAACCAUUUAAACCAUCUGUGACAUUAUUACUUGCAUGGCUGUGAACAACAUCCAUCAGAACUCGCAAACCCAAACUGUGUGCCUUAUCAACAAGAUAUUUUAGGUCCUCUGGUGUGCCUGAUCUGCUGCUAACCGCAAAGAAAUUUGUCACAUGGUACCCAAAAGAAGCAUAGUAAGAAUGUUCCAUAACUGCCAUCAACUGAACGGUGUUGUAGUUAUUUGCUCGUAUGCGUGGCAACACAUUGUCUGCAAAUUCCCUAUAUGUGCUUACUGCUGGCUUUUCACCACUCAUACCCACAUGGGCUUCAUAGAUACGUGGAGCAGCAGGCUUUGAAGGCCGAGGAUGCUUAAAAGUGUACCUGCAAAACAGAGGUAAAAGGUACUAUAAUUUUGUCAUAUAUUUUUGUCAAGCUAAGAUCUAUUGCUUAAGUUUACAAUGUGGUUGCGGACAGACAGUAGCAACAGACCUUUCAGAAGCAGGAGGAUCCCAAUGAACACCAUCAUAGGGAGCUCCAAAUUUAGAGGCAUCAGCAGUCGCAUAACGAAUCCAUGCAGGAAUACGAUCAACCCAUACUCCACCAUGUAGAAAGCGAAAUUUAACCUUGGAAUUAUGAGGGAUAGCAGGUUUCCCUUUGACAUGGUCAAUUUUGAUCGACCAAACACCAAAUUUAUCCUUCUCCAUCUUGUGGUUUGCACCAUUCCACUCAUUGAAGUCACCAAUAAGCUCUGCCUCCCUACAUCCAUAAGUAAAAUAACUGAAAUGCAUCAAUCUAUUAAAUUAGUGGAAACUAUGUUUUGUCAUGCAAAAGAAAACAGCAUCAAGUAAUCACAACAACAACAACAACAACAACAAGAGAGCGAAAAAAGGUUUUUAGCCUCCUCAGCCAAGAGCCCAAGACAUGACAGUCUCGUACAGGAGUGAAAUCUCCAAACAGUUAUGUAUUCCAAAACAUUGAUUACUUCACUAUGCUGUAGCACCUUUUUUUAUCUAGUUGCUAUCAGAAAAUGAUAACCAUACUUCGUGAGUAUCUCAUAUUUGCAUGACAACAUUUGAACUUACUGUGCAGCAGGUGCCCAUUCGCGAUAUACAGUUCCAUCCUCACUUGUAUUGAUCCCAAAUUUCAAAUAGCCUGAAAAAAAUAUAAAAUCCAGAUAAGGCAGUAUUUUGCGGCAUAGGCAGGUGCCAUAAAUAUUAGCAUUUGAAUGUAUAAGCCUAACCUUUAGAAAAUUCUUCAAGACUUCCCUCAUUUUCCUCAAUGGAGCCUUUCUGGUCCAGGAAUUUUUUCAUCCGGUAGCUGAAAUGGUCCUUGAAUUUCACCAACUUGGGGUCCAGGUCGUAUAUGGGAAGAUGGUCGACGUUGCCUUUGGCGGUUGCCAUAGUUUUAUCUUCUUGCACAAUAGCUGCAGUGGCGAAUUUGCUCUUGACCUUGCAAAGUGUGUUAAAGCCCUCAGAAUUAUCUUUUUGUUCGAGAACACAACUUGGCGUGUAUUUCAUUAAGAAGAAGUCAGACUGCCGAAAAACGGCUUACACGACGCGAUGGGAGAACCUAAAGCGCAGCACACGAACCACAAAGAUUAAAACAACAAACACAAAAGAAAGAAACAUGGAAGGGAGAGGGCCCUCCGCCACAACCUAGCCAACUGGACCUGCAAAGAAAAAUACAACGCAAAAGACUGCCAGUAGGGCAGAUGAAGCCGUGGUGGCAAAGCAUCCACCAAGAAGAGAUACACGGCGGCAAAGCAUCUGCCAAGGCCAGAUUCAGAAUGAUCACGAGCAUAUAGAAGCUAACACGUGACAAUGUAGUAAGACUACUUAUCUGCUGCAGCAACCAUAGAGUAUACCACUUUAUUAUAAGAGUAAAUGAUUAGAAUAGCCGAAGAAAACCAACCACCGAAAUUUAAUAAACAACUUUAAUUGGAAUCUGAGAUUCACCUGACUUGAUAAAAUAGAUUCGACGAUUACUGGUAAGAAAGCACUAGAGCCUAGCCUCACCCAGAUCCACAAAUCCCAGUUUUUCUCUCCAAAACUACCACCAAAUUCCAUUUUGUUCGUAAAAACAUGCUUCAAUACGGGGAAAAGAUCUACCUUCCGGGGCCCUGACCGGCGAGCCUCGCACUGGACAGACAGCACACUCAGGCGCACAUUGCUGCCACCCUGCGAAACCAUCAGCCAUCAGUACAAACCAAAAAAAAACAGAGUAAAUCCAUCAGUCCCCUUGGAUCGCCGCAGCUCACCGCGAUCCCUGGCGGCGCCGCCCGAUCAGCAGGCGAACGAGAGCGCCGCGGCGGCGGGAGCGGAGUCGGCGAGGAAGACGGCGACACGAGGCACAGCAUUGCGGCGGCGUCGGUGUCGGCGAGUGAGUCCCAUCUCGUCAGCAAUCCAAAUCCCUGGCGCUUUAUAGCCGGGUUCCGGACUGGAGCUGGCUUGGCGUCUUCCUCCCUAUCCUCUCCCUCGCAAUGAAGGCGUGAUUUUUCUGGCUUGGUCGUUUCUCUCUCUUCCCACCUUUCUUCCCCGUCGCAAUCUGCCGCUGCGACAAGCAGGAGGAGGCCAUGGCAGGCAGUGAGUGGCACAUGACCCUGCUGCGCCGGAUCUGUGGGCCCGGAAUGGCCGGGCGUGCCACGUGGACGGACACGAACAGCCGAGAGCUGCUAGUUCUGGCCUUCUGGGCCGAUUGGCCUUUCGGCCUGCACUGGUCCCCUCCCCCGGUUUGCCUUUUUCUUUUUUUUUUGCCUUAUUUAUGUUAAAUAAAAGAAAAGGCCGGAAAAAUAGAGUUUUUAAGUUGUUCUUAAGGUAAAAAUACAAACAGAUUAAUUAAAUUACGUUUUAAUUUGAUGCCAGAUGUAAUUUUUUUAUGUGUAUAUAAUCUAUAGCUUGUGCUGAUAGAUCAUCAUCAAUUCAUCAUUAUUGCAACUACUCCGUUCUUCUUUUGUGAUGUACUUUUUGCGUAGCUUUUCUAACAAAUUGAAGUGGUGAUGGAAAUGCGGUGUCAUCUGCAUCAGAUGAGCUCUGGCUGUUGUUAAUCAGACAAGCCUGCCUGUGGUUUUUAUUGGGGUUCCUUGCAGUGCAGAGUUCAUCUUGCACUUCGCAUGUUGCGUCAGACAACCAUGUUCACUUUUUAUAUAACUGAAAAAAGGAAAACCAAAUGAUCAUCUUCAGUGAUCAGGAUACACAAGGAAUUGGAAAGGUAGAUGGCAGAGUGCUUGCUCAUGCAAUCUGAUCAUCUCAAGGAACUCAAAAGUCCAUCCGUAGUAGCAAAAGGAAAGAAAAAAGGGUUCUGCUUUUCUGGUACUUGUGUGACCAUACCAUAAGUAUGAAGCUAAACUUCACACGAGCAUAGUGUGACAACGGUCUGCUCUCUCAGCCCUGAGACCCUGACCCUCCUGAAAAUCACGCCACCUCAGAAUGAACAGUGAAAAUGAUGAUAUAUAACGUCAAAGCAUGGAACAAAGCAAAUAGAGUGGCACAGCAUCUCAGACCUCUAACUUUGGAAACAUAAUCAAUCUAUUCUUUUGUAUGACUAGUUCUAGUCUGUACUUAAGUACUUUACAAGGAUGAAGUGGGAACUCAGAACAGGCAUAUUGCUUCCUUCCAACACUUGCUCUAAGUAGGCCUGGCAUCUUAAAUACAGGAGCAAGGCCUCAGCAGCUGAAAUUGUCAGCUGAAAGAAUCAACAGAGUAACAGACAACAAACUGAUUGCUCAUCUCGAUUUGGCCGUGCUACAACAUCAUUCCAGAGACCUCAUCUUACACUGGCUCGGUUUUCGCAUAUCACCACAGGACAACAACUGUGACAUUUAUAUAGUAUCUCCACAGAUUGCUCUUAGUUGUCACUCCCUAGUAAUCCAUCUGUUCCCUCGGAUCUCAAACCCACCAAGGCCAUGGUCGCUGCUCUCUCCACCGCUCUCAGCACUUGCAUAACCUGAUUUCCUGCGUUGCCUUCGUGCUUUCUUUGGACCACUGUUGUCACUCAGGCUCCCAUUCAGGAGCGGAUCAUCAAUCCCACUGAUGACCCUGGUCAAGGAUGUGGGUGAACUGAUGCAGCUAUCGUCAUUUGUUUUCUUCUUUCCCUUCUCGCGCUUUUUGAUGUUCUCGGAUAUCAUGUGCAGCUUUUCAUUGAUGGGUUCCACAGCAUGGUUCACAGUAAACUUCAAGUCAUUCACAAUCUGCGAGAAUGGUCAGAUGAGAUUUCACUUUAGCUAACAUAGGGGGAAAAUAGUAAUUCAAGUAAAAAAAUGAAGGUAAAUGAGCAUUUGUCCCCCUUACGUAUUCACCACCUCCAAGUACGACAUCACGAACGCUUUCCUUUAUGGCAGUGGAAGACCUGACACGAUCAUCUGGCUGGGGAAGCCUAAACUUGGUUGGGCGCUCACUAUCCUUGACUUCAUCUGGAUCUAACGGGCAGUCGACAGAAGCAUAGUCUCCAAGAACUGAAACAUCUCCAACAAAACGAUCACCAAUUAGCUCGUAUGGCUUCGCAGGGAAGACAUACAGGUGGACAACGGCAGCAACACCCAUCUGCAUAGCACAAGACUGUUAGGUUUACUUCAAAUGAACAUGAAGAAUGCAAACAUGCAUAAAUAUCGACCUAUAGAACAUGCCCUCUUCAAACUACUAACAGCAAAGCUUCCCGUAUGAACAAAUGCUAAAUCAUGUAUUGAAAAGGUACAAUAGGAGUUAACCACCUCUAUGCAGAUAAUAAAGUCUUGGAUACUUGACUUGAACUGCAAUUCUUGAGCAAUAGGACCUCUCAACAAACCCCAAUUGAAGAGCAGUGCGAUUGCUAUACCUUGCCACCAUGUUAAGAACACAAUAGACUUGAAUGUCAGAAAUUUUGCAAGAGGCUUUAUAUGAGCUAACUCAUCCUUUAUCACAGCAUAGAACUGAACGAGACAGUAUAAGGCCCAUGACUGACUGAAAUUGAGAACCACAGCCGUGUAAGAGUACCUGGUAGUCAAGUAAAUAGUUCAGUAAUGGCAAGACAUGAUUAUUUAAUUCCUACGCCAUCAAAUGCAUGAGCAAGUUGACCAAUGCUAGCACAUGUGCAACAGAAUAUAAUAGGCAAACAGACGAGAGAGGGAAAAAGAACAGCAAACAGCUUAUGUUUCAAAAAGUGUGCAACUUAACAAACAAUUUCUGAGCUGUGUACAGUAUGCUAAUACAGGAUGAGGCAUCUAUAAAGAAAAAAGCAUGGUACAGGAUAAAAAGGAGGGUCAUAACCACCAUAAAUUAGAUGCAAACGUUAGUUGUGACUGAGUGUUAUAAAAUACAUUCAUGCAGCUUGUGAGAGUCAACUACCACAACACGGAACACCAGAAAUAGAGCACAUAAUCUGAAAUAUAUGAUUCAAGAAAACAGCAAGUUGACUAUAGGUUCAGGACAGCUAAAUCUAAUGAUACACUAAGUGAUAUAUAACAUAUAACAAAUACAUUCCUGCCCACAGUUCAAGGGAAAAUGGGCAUAAAUGCAUUUGCAUUUUUAAUAACUUCCAAAAAAAAAGAUAGUAGGAUGGGAACAAUGUAGCACAGAUGAGACAGGUUCGUGCAAGGAUUGUUGAGUAAAUGAAGUCAACUUAUAUAUCUCUUACCCACAGUUCAACUUAAACUCUCCUUCACAGUACACUCCAAAGGCUUCCAGAAUCACCGCAAGAAUAGCACAUAUUGAUUUUAUUAUCAUCUGUCCAAGGACAAGGAAAGUGAGUGAGUUUGAAUUUUCACAACACCCUGCAAAGCCAUUGUGAUGAAAGAUAAAGAGGCACAUACAUAUUGAACUAGCCCAAAUUUGAUGAUCAAGUAGAACCAUUCGCCUAGCGGCCACGGUUUAAGCAAGUAGUUCAUUGGAAAAGGAUGGUUUACAUAUCGUUGUUCAGAUGCUUGGCCUAAAAGUGGUGCAGUAGAACCUGAACCACCUUCCCUCUUCAAAAAUUCAAUUGUCCUAUCUUCACCACCUGGCAUAAGUACGAGUGCAAGGUAAGGACAAGAUAUGGAUAAUAACACAUUGGAAUGUGAAGUAAUAACUGAGAGAGGAGUACCUAAGCAAGCAACUAGAUAGCGCCCAAAACAGUACAUAGCAAAUGCCUCAUAGCCAUCUCGCAUAAUUUCGAUAUCCACACUUAUUGACGGAUAUACCAAUGAUAAGUACUGCAAUAGUUCUCAUAAAAUGUUAAACGGUAUAGCGAUGCAACAUUUGAACAGCUAGAUCUCAUCCUAUACUUGGACUGUAAAUACAGGUAUUAAUCUGGGGAUGGAUGACAAAGCAGCAGCAUAGCACCUUACCGACUCGACUGCAUAGCACGGCACCAUGAGAAUGACGCCGACAAGAAACUUCUGUUCCUGAAAGAACACAGAUGCGGCAGGAAUGAGUGAAAAGACCAAGUGAGACACAGUUCAAACAAUUUACCACAUUGAUUUAAAUAGCACGCAACACUGAUAACAAUCCACAACCUCUGGGUUUUUGUAGGCUGACAGAUGGUUGAACAGCAAGUACAGGGACAGCGAGACAGAGAUGAUAACAAAAAUAAUGGCAAUGAUUGUAGCCCAGAGAGGUGGUCUGUAGCUUCCGAGAAGCGUGAGCAAUUGCUUGGCCAACUCCAUCGCCAUCCCUUCUCACAGCGCCCCUUAACCGCUCUUCUCAGAUUAUGCUCCCUUUCGAACGAAAUCUGUUCCAGGGUAUGGUUCAUAGAGGAUCAUAAUUCACAACCCCAAGUCAAACAGGAGCUCUCCUCUUGUUGAGCAGCCUGGUAGUACCAAGAAUCCUGUUAUUCCACCUUACACUCUGGUCUUUUCCUGCAAGCACCAUAUACAUAAAUAAAUAAAUAAAUAAAAUAUAAAAAAAGAGAUAGAGAUGACUGAACUUGGAGAGGCCUAGCCAAUACACCAGUCCUCUCCUCCCCAUACGCCGUAUGGAUUUGCGACCGCCUAGUCUUCCUCAGCUCCUGGCGGCGUGCGCCUCGUCUCCUCCGCUGAGCACACACGCCUCCUCUUCCGCUAAUCCAGGUUAGAGGGUGGAUGCUGGCGACUACGCGACGGUCGGCACUCGGCGCGGAGGCCGAGCCGCGGUGGCCGGUGGGCACCUAGGCGGCGGGUGCCUGUGUGCAAUGGUGGCCUUUCACACGGUCUCACCUCUGUUGGGCGGGGCUCAACAAAGUGAAGAAAAGGCCCAUCCCGUGCUCGUUUCUUCUCUUGCCGCCGGUGCUAGGGAAGAAGGGGUCCGGGGUCUAGGGCGAGCUCGCCAGUAGCUGGGGCGGCCGCCCCACCCCGCCCCUAGGGUGGCCGGCGGGGACUGGGUGGGUGGGGAGCGAGAUUGAAGAAGAGAGGGAGAGGAAGGUUGAAGACCAACAGAGCAGGGGGCUGGCGGGCGGGGGUUUAUUGAAUGAUCCCUUCCGUUGUAUGAGUCCAUGGCGACGGCGGCGGGCGGCAGCGGCGUGUUCGUCAAAUUGCCAACGAACUACUCGUCACCGCCGAGCAACUAGACGAAAGAAUCAAAUCGAAAAGAAGAUACAAACCUGGAGAAUCGGAUCUGAGCUGGAGCGAACCACAAUGCAGAAGGGAUCAACGAAAUCCGACCACUUGGAAAGCAAAGUCUCCCGCAAUCAAUCAGAAAGUCCCAUCAAUCAAUCCGAACCAACUGGCGCACAAGAAAGAACAAAAAAAAAAAACAAGCUUUGCCUGCGUAGGAUUAAUCGUGAUUGGGUGGGGAGCAUGGAUGCUGAUUAAUGCACAAGAGGAUUAGGUGGCGGAAUCGUAGUUGCCAGGGAGACAGGGACGGCGGGGAGAGAAAUUCUUUCUCCUGCAUCACAUGUUCCCAGACGUUUCUGGUUUUGUUUGCAGUCGCUGUCUGUCGGGUCAAGCAGGAUCUCUCUCGCGCUCUCUGGUCGCUCUCUCUGUUUUUUUUUUUUCCCUCUCCUGUGGUCUUGCGUUCCUUCUCUGCCAACUCCAGAUCGUUGCUCCCGAUUCAAAUUUUGGAUCUUGACAUGACGAAUCUUUUUGUUUUAGGCUUUGUUUGGAUGCACCUAAAAAUCCAAAACUUUACAAGAACAUCGAAUCUUGCGGCACAUGUAUGGAACAUUAAAUAUAGAUAAAAAAAUAUAACUAAUGGCACAGUUUACCUGUAAAUUACGAGACGAAUUUUAAGCCUAAUUAUUCUAUGAUUGGACAAUGUUUGUCAAAUAAAAACGAAAAUGCUACAAUGUCAAAAUCCAAAAAGAUUUUGGAUCUAAACAAAGCCUUAGGCCUUUUAGUUCCAAAAUUUUUUUUGUUUUAGGUAUAGUAGCAUUUUCGUUUUUAUUUGAUAAUUAUUGGCCUUGUUUGGAUAUUCUAACCAAGUUAGAAGUUAGAGUUAUUUUGUAGCUCAUGACUAAUCCUCAACUAACUUUAGUUGAAGAGAUGUUUGGAUGUAAGAGUUAGAUUACCAAUAAAUAUAAUUUUCUAAUCAUUUGGCUCCUUUGCAACUGGAUUUGGUGUGGGCGACUGUUGUGUGGCCACCUCCCACUCAGAUAACAAAAAUAAAUCAUCUUUACAAAUCAAGCAUCCAUCAUAUGAUAAAAUUUAUUUUAUCCAUACAAAUGAGAUGUCUCACUCAAACAUACAAGUCAUAAUGAAGCCAAAAAAAGGUUUAUGACAGGCUAGGAGGCGCGGAUGCCGUGCGGAGGCGGCAGGCUGGGAGGCGAGUGGGGAAUAGGAUCCCGUGCGGGCACAGAUGGGAGGCCAAUGCCUUUUCCCUGUGGGUCCCACCUCAAAUAUCUUCAAAUAGCCUAAAUAAGCACCUCUUUGGGGGAUAGUUUUUUUGGGUGGGUUAGAUGCAAAUAACCCUAAUAUAACCCUCAUGUUUGGAUACUUUAGGGCUAUUUAAGCCCCAAAUAGCUAAAUCUAACUCUAACCCAUGGAUCCAAACAGGAUCAUUGUUUAAUCAUGAACUAACUAGGUUGAAAAAAUUCAUCUCGCGAUUUAUAGGUAAAUUGUACAAUUAAUUUCUUUUUUUGACGAAGAUGGUAUGAUAUUACUUAGAUCAAAUUAAAGAUUUACAAUUAAAUCACACUUGAGCCUUUUCUAAUCAACGAUGUUGCUUGAACAUUUACAACUUGAGGGCUUUCUUGCUGUGAGCAUAUCUCCUAGAGCUAGUGAUGGUGAUUGAAGUAGCCAGUAAAAUGAUUGGAACGAAGCAAAAGAGAAAAAUAAACCUAAAAUAAUAAAUACAAAAGAUGAUUGGGUAUACGGUUUGUAUUUUAUAAAAAAACAUACAAUGCACAACAUGCAGUGGGACAUAAGUAAUGGAGAGGAAGUUAAAGAGGUCACUUCAAAACCCAAAAGUCGAUAUUAGGAUGGUGAACUGAUCAUAGAUCAGUUGGUUAGGCUUUUUGUGAUCGAACUUGCCCGCGGGUUAAAGUCAUCGACUUGGCACGGGUGUUCGUAUUUUUAUGGAUUUAUUCUAGGAUUUAUUGGAUUUUGCUUUUAGUGGUAGACGACGUUCUCAUUAACAGCGAGACGCUUGUGGUGACUUCAUGAAUCUCGUGCUCGUCGACAACGAUGCGCCUAUGGUGACUUUGUGAAUCUCAUGAUCUGUCAGCUUAGUCUUUUCGAAGGUAUGUGGAUCUCAUGAUUUGCCAGCUCAGUCAUUCGGAGGUGUUCAUAUGAUUAGUGUUUGCAUAUGUGUGUUCAUAGGGGUGAGUGUAUGUGCGUUGUGAGUGUCUGCGUUGUACCACGUAAUUCUAAAAAAUUGUCGAUAUUAGAAAUAACUCAUAGUGGGUUAAAUAUGCUAGAACCAAUAAAUAUGGAAGCCUUGAUAUGGUUAAUUAGGCAUUUCAGGCAUGAGGCAAGUUGGUAACAACCAGGUUUGAUAGGACUAGACGAGACGACAAUUGGAACUUGUGGAUGAUUUGCUACCAGAAACCUUAUUAGGACAAUCACACAGUAGUAAACUUGAUUAUUUUGUAUGCCUUGGAAGAGCUAGCUAUUCAGAACCCAAAAGUCGAAGUGCUAUUCAGAACCCAAAGUAAGCUUCUUUGCUUACUUUGCCAUCUUUUACUCCUUCAGAUGCACUUAGACUUUUAAUGUUCAAAGCAUAGAGAAAUGCAAUAAAAGAAACGUACAAGAUAUGAUAAAGAUGCCAGCGGAAGCAAAAAUCUGAUCCUAGGCUAAAAGGAUCAAACUGAUGGCAUCUGAGGCAAGAAAUCUUAUUACUCAAAAAACACUUUACACACAGCAUCCAUGACCAACAAGAAAAUGACAAAAACUGACAAUAAUACCAUUCACAUACCUGAAACACAUGCUACAUAAUUUAAGAUCGGGAGCAAAUGGGCAUGAGACAUGGCUUCAGGUUUCACGCAUCAACUGUCUGGGUCGAUAACCGUCUUGAGUGAAUAGCGAGAUAUAAAAAGCUUUUUUUCGCACAUAUACAGAUAUAAAAGACCUGUAACAAUGGAAAAAUACCAACAAUGACAGUGCAUUGAGAUGGAGCUUUUUGUCUAAGCAUCCUUCAGAUUGCAGAGGUGCAGAAAAAACAAAUUCAGCAGAUCCACACAAUCAAUGUUUAUUUCCAGAUUGCAGAAGUGUCACAUGACAUGACUAAAGAAUAAUGCCCAAGAUACAACGAAUUAAAUUCCAAUGGAUAUAAUUGGAAAAAAACCUAAACAACACAAACACUGUUUCAUUGAGGUUAAGUUAUACAACACACCAACCCAGCCCACCAAAUAGUUGCUGCAACAGCUGUUGCAUAUAUGCAGACCCCACUCUGUAGUUUAGUCUAUAUACACUCUUUCACUCUUUCCAUGGAAGUAGUUAGAGUGUGUAUAACCAGCCAAUUAUAUUAGUUCAAGCUUAGGUUCUUGCAUCCAGCAAGAAAGUUGCGGGUUCCGAUUUCGCAGCACAGCCAUAUCUAAAAGUGCUGUACUUUCUAUGGACCCCGGUAAGUUUUCCAUGAGCUGCUCUUUGGUGCAGUUCAACCAUCAUCCUAGAGCAAAUCCUGAAACGUAGAAGGGGCCAUGUAACUGUAAGCACAAGCUGAAAAGGUAUGCCUUUUGUAAUAUAUAAAGAGUAGGGAGGUAUAACUACAUUAGUUGUUCUUCUGAAUAUUUUGUGUGUAGCUCACAGCAUUUGUUCCAGGACUUGAACCCAUUUAUGGUGCAUUGAGCUGUGUAGAUGGCAGCAGCUGCUAGCAUAGACGGGCAGAACUGGAGCAUCUCGUAUUCGACAAGACUCAGCUCGAUCAUGAAGAAAGACAGGAGUUCAAGCUGUCCAGUAGUAUAAUUUUUUGUCAGGGUUUAUGUACUUGUACAGCAAAGCUAUAGCUUACAUGAUUUAUUCAUCACAAAAAUAGGAGUAUGUAUUAGUAUCUUACCUUCUUCUCAGAUUGUGCUGCCUUUAGAAACCUUCUCAUGAAACAGUAUGGAGUCGGCACCGACAUAUUGAAAUUAAGUGUGUUCACUAUCCUCCUCUCCUGCAGAAAUUUCAAUGUCAGCUAUCUGGGGUUUUUUUUUUGCACUAAAAAUCAACAUGCAGCACAUUUUUUACCAUGUCAAGAAUAUCAGCCCUUGUAUAGGCACGAUCACAGAUUAAGAUCAGAUCCUCGACCACCGGUACACUCACUUCUUCAUACUUGCAUGCGAGCAACAUAGCAGUUACACCAACUAACUGAAGCUUCUUCCGCACCACAGUUUCACGUGCCAAGAAUCUAUCUAUGAUGUUCACAGUUAGGAAAAGGGUCUCCUCCAACAGCUCUAAUUUGUAGUGUACCUGAAUUUAAAAAAGAAAUAAAACAUGGAAUUUUAAGGUCUUACAGAGCAUAUGAAUAAUACUAAAUUGAAAGCUUUAGACGUUUGCUUAAAAUCCCCACCUCUAUCAGCCAGUCAAUUAGAAUGCCACGCAUCUUCUCAUUUAUAUCGGUUUGGCUUGACAUGUAAUUUGUAGGGACACAGCUUGCACCCUAUGUACACAGAAUGUUGCAAUGAGAUUACAAAUGCCAACAACAGGGUAAUUGCAAAUAACUUCAGGUUCAAGAUCAGAGUUCUACCUCAGUUUUCCUGUAAAAUCUGUAAAUUUCAUCUACAUAGUCAACCACAGCCAGGGAGUUUCCUGCAUCACAACUGUCAAUAUCGGGUGCUGCCUCCUCAAUAUCUUCCAUCUCGAUCUCUUUCAGCUCAGAGCUCAUCUGAAAUGACUUGUAUUAGUGACAACUACCAAAUAGACAGUCUAUUAUGCUUACUAUUUUACUAAGGGUUAAGUAAUGUCAAUUUACCAUUUCAUCCAUCUCCGACAGCAUAGGAAAGGGAAUGUCAUCAGUCAUUUUUGUGUUUUCCAUAUCUGCAGGUGUGUGGAAUGCUGUAUCUGCGUUUCUUUUCAGUCUUUCACUUCCAAUUGGGGCCUGCAUGGCAAUAAAAUAUUCUGAGCUGAUAUAUGAAUACUACUAAUUGUUGAAACAAGGUCGGAUUUCACUGUAGUAAUGUGGAGAUGUGAACUGAAAGAAAGUUGCAUGACAUUUAUAUGAACAAAAAGGUCUACUAGAAUGAGAUAAAGUUUGUAGAAUAUUCAAAUUCUAUAUAUGUAUAUUCAAAUGUACACAACUUACAAGAGCAGUCAGCACAAAUUAGAAGAUUCAAUUCAAUGCAUAGAUCAGAACUUUAUAUACUAUACAUAUAUGCAAAAGCUGAAUUUAUUAUUAUUAUAUGUAAAGGACUUCAAUAUACAAGUUUGAAUUCUAUGGGUGCCCUUUCACACUUCACAGGUCAUAUAUUUGAAUUGCAGCAACAUCCAUCCAAGAAUUGUCAAUUUCACAGCAAAAACAUAGUGCAUCACAUUCAAAUAUAUCAAAACUGGAUAUGAUACAUGCAAAUAAAAUCUGAAUUCUCUUUCACACUGAUGAAAUGUCUGAAUUGGUGUAUUUACCAUAAGAAGCAGCACCAUAUAUCAGGAAAUUAUCUAACUGACAGCAGUUCUAAGUUGUAUAAUGCCAUAAGAAAAGUUUACAGAAACAAACAGCAGAGCAGACGUUAUCAAACUAGCAACAAUUUGAAUAUCUUUAAUGACUAUUACCAGAUGGGCAGCCGUAGGUUGGUUUGCCAAUGUUGCAGCCAAUUUCCUGACAAAAGAGCAAGACAUGCUACUUCAUUAACCUGAUAUAUAUACAUGAUGGUAAGUAGUAACUAGUAGAAGUGAGGUGCUAUAGCUUGCAAACCUGGUGACCGGACGGUGUCCAACAAAGCCAGCUUGAUCUUUAGUAUUUACAGCAGCAGCUGGUUUUCUGAAGCAAUGAAAUUUAAACCAAUUAGAGAUCCAGUUCAUGCAAUUGGAAGCUACAGGUCAAGCAGAAUUUGUGCACAGCUCGGAGGGACCGGGGCUUACUCUGAGAGACCCCUCUUGCUGACAGCCAAGUGUUGGUGCGGGCCUCCUAUUAUGUUCUUGAUGUCACUGAGGGCUCUCCGGUUGGUGUUGGCCAUCUCCGGCGCAAACUUGACGCCCUCCAUGGCAACACCUUGGUGGCCGUUUUCAGAUCUCAGAUUCUCCAUUGCUGACGAGCUACUGGCAGCAAGAAAGUCAAACCGAAUUGUACAUGAGAAAACGAUAAACGCCAAAAGCCACGCGGAUCUGCAUGAAGUAAAGGCGUUUAGUUUGAAAUCGCGUGACAUUCCGCAUCUUAGUACGCCAGAACGAUUCGAAGACGACAAAUGCGGCAGGUAGGACCAUAGGAAGAUCGAGAAAUAGAUUAAAACGCUGCGAAUUUCGGGGCAACUUUGGAAAAAAAAAAACGAUCCUGCUGCUGAGCCACCGAUGGCAUGUUCAAUAGCUGGAGUCUGGAGGGAAGCAAGAGAUCCCCCCCAGCUCAGGUUCAGUCAGAGAAGAGGAAAAGAAGCAACUUUGAGAACUUCGGGGCAAGAACUCGGGUUCCAAGAACGGCAGGCCAAAUUCUCGGCGUUCGUCGAUGGAAUUCGAAGAGCAAAGGAGAUCUUCGGGAGCAGAUCCGCCCCAGAAGGCAACAAAGCUAGCUAGCUACGUGUCUGAAUGCAAUAUCGGUUUCAGCUAAUCUUCUCCCUGAAUUGCUCCAUCCAACCGGAGAUCCAAAGGGAAUCGCAGCUCAAGAACCCAAAUCCAACGCAAAACAAGAGCAGGAAACAAUUCAAACCCUAGCGCGAACUAAAGCUGAGACUACCGCACCCAACAACCCCGUUCAAGAACGCAACGCGUCAGUCCAAGAACACCAAGCUUUCUUCCCCCCACGGCCGCCGGAUGCGAAAGAGAAGCACGCACGCACGGACCUCGGGAAGAACCAACGGGACGGGAGACGAAGCGCAGCACGGCAGGAGCUCUCCCCCCUGACGGACGCCCUCGCCGCCUCUCCGCUUGCUGCUGCUAGUGGCAGGCAGAGGCAGGAGCCAAGAGGAGGAGGAGGAGGAGCGGAGGAGAGAGACGGGCCACGGGAGCGAUAAAAUAGGGGGAGGAGACCCAAAAGGGGAAGGGCGGUCCGAGCCGUUUAAACGCAACGGUCGUGCGAUGGAGGCCGUCGGAUGGGAUCUAGACGGCAGGGGAGCUGUGGGGCGCCCCUCAACGGCUAGGGAUUCCACAUGUGCUCCUGCUUUCAAAAAUAAGCACACUUUGUUUGCAAGCCUUGAUGACCCAGCAAAGACUUUUAAGACUCUUGAUAGAUGACCAUUACAUGAGGCGGCGUCAGCUUUAAGUUUCCAUCUAGUCUAGUACUAGUAGACAGUAGUAUGUGCAUCUUUUUAAUUGGGUACUAGUAUAGGAUCAAAAGACACAUGUGUUAGUAGUUCCAUGGGUUGUUUUCACAUUCAUUCUAAAUUUAGUAGAUUUAUAAUCACCGUGAUAUGUAUUGCUGAUUUUGGUUUCAUGAGUUGAUUUCACGUUCUUCGUACUGAAUUUAACAACUUUAUAAUUAUAAGUAUCGCGAAAUGUAUUGCUGAUUUUGGUUUGACGGGCUGAUUUCACGUUCUUCGUACUAAAUUUAUAACCUUAAUUGUCGGCCGAGUCUAUUGAACAUGUAGUAAUUAGGUUGAUUUUCAUGUCUUUGCACUAGAAUUAUAGCUUUAUAAUUGUCGCAGUGCAUAUUGCUAAUUUUAGUUCUAUGGGUUGAUUUCACGUUCUUUGUAUUAAAAUUUUAUGUCCAGAGUUUUGAUUAUAACAUACUUCUAAUUAAAUUGAUUUACCGUUGUGUCACAAGUCACGAUAGGCAUAAUUAACCAAAACUGAGAAACCUAACCGAAGGAAUCGGAACCAAAACCAAAAGGACUGGAACAAAAAAAAAUCGGUUCUUAUUCGGUGCCACAUUUUAAGGAACCAAAAUAACCGAGAAAAAUUUGGUUUCUACUCUCAGAUAAUCAAAUUAAUUGGAAGAACUGAAAUUCAUGACUUUUACUUCACUUCCUAGUAUUUUUUAAAAAUUUUGAUUUUUUGUGUGACGUCUUAUUAUAAAUUGCUAUGUAUUUGUGUUACUAUAUUGCUAUUGCUCCCUUAUCAAAUAUAUUAUCUAAAUUAGAGGCAUUAUUGUCUAUAUUUGCUUUAAAAUCUAUAUAUUAUUUUUGUUAUAUUAACAUUUGCUAAAAAAAUCGGUUAGUUCAGUUAUAACCAGAAUCAAAUCGAAAUGCUCGGUUCCUAAAUUUUUUUUAGAACCGAUCGGUUUCCAUAUUCUAGAAACCGAAUUUUAUAAAUAACCGAACCGAAACCAAACUGACAACCCUAAAUGUCACCCAGCAGUCACGAGGAGCUCUGUUCUAUGCUCAGGCUGCAACAUGGUUUACAAAUAUUAUAUUCAAGUUGUAGCUCCGCUGAAUACUCGUACACUACUGCAGCAUUUGAACUAGCGGCCUUGUUUAGUUCACCCUGAAAACCAAAAAGUUUUCAAGAUUCCCCGUCACAUCGAAUCUUCUGUCACUUGCAUGAAACAUUAAAUAUAGACGAAAAUAAAAACUAAUUACACAGUUUAGCUGUAAAUCACAAGACCAAUCUUUUGAUCCUAGUUAGUCCAUGAUUGGAUAAUAUUUGUCACAAACAAACGAAAGUGCUACAGUACCGAAAAGUUUUCACUUUUCGGAACUAAACAAGGCCUAGUCGUUCAGGACGGUCAUCGCUGCUCCUCUGUGUAAACUGCUAGUGCCUAGCUGUUCUCGCCUGUGGGCCCCACUCCAUGCAGUCACAUCUCUACCGUUACGCUGAGUUGCUGACACUUGACACUGACAGUAUAGCAUCGUUCGCUACUCCCAAGAGGAGAUAAUUUGUGGCGAAAUGAAAAUUGUAAAUUCCUAGUGUGAAACAGAUAGACUAGAUAUUUGGAUUUCAAAUUUUGAAAAUCAGUUGAAAUUUGUGGCAAAAUGAAUUAAUGGAUACGACAUGCCAAGCGUAUCUUCUGAUCCAGGUAGCUAAUAAUUAAAUGGUUGGAUGCAGUUGUUUUACAAGUUUCCUGUCCUUGGUUUAAGAUUUUCCAUAUAACCUGUUUUGGAAUAUCCGCAGUAUGUAUUGCUGAUUUUGGUUCGGUUUCACAUCUUCAUACUAAAUUUAAUGGCUUUAUAAGUAUCACGACAUGUAUCGCUGAUUUUGGUUUGAUUGGUUGAUUUCACAUUCUUUGUACUAAAUUUAAUAGCCUUAUAAUUAUUGCGGCCGACUCUACUAAACGUGGAGUAGUCAGUUUAAUUGAAAUACUAAAAUUCUGUGUCCCGAGUCUUGGUUAUAACUUACUUUUAAUUAAACUGAUUUUCUGUGGUGUCAUGCCCAAUUAUGUGUUUAUGCUCAAAUUAGUUAUGCUGGAAAAUUGUUCAGAAAUAAACACUAGGGCCUUGUUUAGUUCCGAAAAGUGAAAAAAUUUCGGUACUGUAGCACUUUCGUUUGUUUGUGGCAAAUAUUAUCCAAUUAUGGACUAACUAGGAUCAAAAGAUUCGUCUCGUGAUUUACAGCUAAACUGUGUAAUUAGUUUUUGUUUUCGUCUAUAUUUAAUGUUUCAUGCAUGUGCCACAAGAUUCGAUGUGACGGAGAAUCUUGAAAACUUUUUGGUUUUUAGAGUUAACUAAACAAGGCCUAGGAUGAACUAAUAUUCAGUUGUAGCUCUGGUACUGCUACUACGGAGUUUGAGAGGAACUAGUCGUCCAUGGACUGUCAUCCCUGCUCCUGCGUAGUAGCUGCUACUACUCCGCAGUGUUCUCUCGCCUGUUGGCCCCACCCCCUUGCAGUCACAUCUCUACCGUUGUGCUGACACUGACAGUGUUAUUCCCAAGAGGAGAAUGAGAAACCAGUGUUCAACAAUUUGUAAAGGCCUAUAGCUAGUAGUGUGAAACAGGUAGGCUAGAUGUUUUUUUUUAUGAAAUAGGCUAGAUGUUUUAGAUUUCAAAAUUCGAAAAUCAUUUGAAUUUUGUGGCCGAAUGGAAUUAAUGGAUACAUGCCAAGGAGAACUAAGCGUAUCUUCUGAUCAGGUAGCUAAUAAUUAAAAUAUUAAAUGGUUGGAUGCAGUUGUUUUACAAUUUUCCUGUCCCUGGUUUAAGAUUUUCCAUAUAACCUGUUUUUGAGUUUUAUCUGUAGGCCCACUUUAACAACUAGGUAUUCAGCAAGAAGCAAGAAAAAAAUGGAUUUCAAUCUUCAAUAUGACGAAUAUUUGUGAUCUUCGUGUUUCCAAAAGUCUUUUUUUUAAAAAAAAAAGAAAACAAUUCACCCAAAUGAAUUGUAAGCAAAAGCUUUAAAUUUCCCUUACUAGUCAUACAAUGGACAAAUGAAUCGUUGUUAGGGAGCCUAUGCAAAAUCAUUGUUGGGCGUGCAUGAGUUACCAAGACACGUGACACAUUCACUCUAACUGACUGACUAGCGAAGAGCAAGAAUUGGGUAGCGCGAGGGAUGGUGGGCAGUGCAGCUGGUAGCAAGCUCACCAUAGGACGAGAGACGGUGGGACUGGUGGAGAAUUGGGGUUAGGAUUCCCUAUCCGGCCUGAGAGGGUGAGGGAGGUUGUAAUUGGCCUAGCGGUGGCGGCACUCGCAAGCGAGACGACAUGAGCAAAGCUUUUAUUGUCUUACUUCUUACAAGAUUCCAAAUAGAGGAGAGUAGAGUGGAGCAGUGGGGGUGGACGGCAAGUGGUGCAGCGGUGGCAGUAGGGGAGUAAAGACACAUGAAACAAGAAAACAUGGGAAAGUAAAAAUCAAACACUCACCUAGAAAAAAGCCCCAUUCUAGAAUAUCUAGCUCUCUACUACUUCAAAAUAAGAUCUCUUAAUUUAAAAUCAUAAACAUAAUUUUGAAAAAGUGAACACUCACACCUAGAAAGAGCCUCCAUCUUCUUGAAAGUAUCUCCAGUUCAAAAUAAGAUCUCUUCUUAAUUUAAAAUAACAAAUUUAAAUUUGAAAAAAGUAAAUUGUAAUGACAAUAAAACUAUAAAAGUUUCUGCAAAACAGUGGACGUCGUACUGCAAUGACAAUAGAAGUUACUGGCAACAUCUCGUUUCAUUUGGACGGUAGCCUUUGCUCCAUUUUUUAUUCUCAUCUUGUCUCACUGGACCUGCCUUGCGCGUAUAUAUUCAAAUUCGCAAAUGUACAAAACCAUGCACGGAUAAAGUAGAACAGUUUGUUUCUUUUGCUGUCACAGGUCAACUUUUGGAUACGUUUACGGGCGCGAAGAAGCAAGGGAGGAAAUUGAAAUAUUUGGAGCACACGGAAGUAGUAAUGAGGUGCCACUGCCAUGGAAUGGAUCGAGCGAAGAAACGAAGAAGAGCCCUCUCUCAUUCUAAAUGUAAGCCAUUAUUUUAGUCUUGGCAACACCUAUCUAACGGUAAGCCAUACUCUUCUAGAAACUUUUUUUAAAAAAAACUUCAAAAGGGUGCCAUUCUUGUUCACCUCUAAUCAAAUUAAUUGAAAUGUUUUAUUAAAUCUCUAAAACUAAAAGGCAUGAAAAUAAAAACAUCCACGUGGCUCUUUGCUUCGCCCAACACUAUUGUGUCCUCAGAUGUUCGACUUGCGAGCAUCAGUGAUCCCCUCCGGAAAUAGCGCCUUCUCUUGCCGCUUGCUUCCCCAAUCACAACACUUUGUAACAAAAGAGGAAGGUCUCCAUCUCUGUGAGAUCUCCUCUCCUAUGCCAUCCACUACUACUCCCCACACAAUCCCAUCAAGCGUUGCCCUCAUCUGGCGCUCUCACCACCAACCCGAUCCCUAUCUGGUGGCGGCAAUGGACAUGCCACCAUGAUCUUGCCGAUGACGUGGGCCUCUCCGGUCAUUGUCUCUUGGCAUCAUCGGUGGCAAUGACAACUACUCUUUCUCUGAUCCAAUGACUAUCACCUCGAUCUAGUGGCCUGGCACCUUGAUUCGAUGCCCCAAUGCCUCAAUCAAAUGGACAACUAGAUGCCCCACAACAUGGGCCAUGCCUUUAGGGGCGCAGAGUGCACCGCGAAUGACAACGUCUCCGUAUUCUUGGAUGAGUUUGGCUUCAAUGGGUGUGCGCAUGCGACGCUCCACUGUGCAGCGAGCUCGCCUGCAACAACAGUGAUGACAGCGACAACAAAAAAAAUAUUUCUCCUAGGGAAGCGGGCACGGGUUGUGCCUAGGUUCUUGAAUGAUGGCCGCCACCCACCAAAAAGGGUGAGUUAUAUGCCCCUGUUGACGCCACAUGCCAUGUGUUCGCCGCAUGACAAUGUGCAGAAUGGGGAAGUUGGGUGUGGCGCUGCAUCCACCAGUGGUUAUGUGGUGGCCAAUGGCGUGACAUCCACUAGUGAUAAUUGUGAAGCAAUUGGAGAGUCACUCAAGCCAAGAAGUGAGAUUUGAGAGUUAGCCUUGAGUGCUACCGGUGUUUUUUCUUGGGUUUCUUAUGUUAAAGCUUGAAAUAUUUUUACUUUUGGUGCUCGUCAUCACCUAGAUGGUCUAGUAGAGGAAAUUCCUUCCUCAAUAAAGUUGUUGAAAAAAUGUCCCAAAAGCUCAUACAUGGUAUUGAAGUCCACCAUGCAUGUUGAACUGCAAAUGGCUAUUCACUAGUAGAGUGAAGUUUAACCAAGUCUUUGUGACUUAGGUGCUCCAAACAUGCAUUAAGGGGGCAACAACCACCUCGGACAAAAAAAGCAAUUGUCUCUUUAUUACCUUGCUAUUCCUUUCUUGAAUUAUUUUCAUUGUUUGCAAGUAUUGUUGAGUGACAACUAGGAUACAUGGUAGUAUGUGUUCAGCAUAUAUUUCCUCUCUGUGCUCUAAGGACCAUAAUUAUUAGUGUGAACAUUGUUAAGGACAUUGAUAUAGCUUGUUGCCCCUAACGACUUACUAGUUGGCUAGAAGAACUUAUUAGGAGCUAAGAAACUCUUUAGAUGUUUAGAAUUUCUAUAGUCUAAAGUUUGUUGCUUAAUUUUUUAGAGUAUAGUUCAUCUUCUUUUGGGCCAUUCGAUCUAUAGAGGCUCUAUUGUUAGAGUCUUAGGUGAUCGACUUUGUGGAGUAGCCGCUCUGUGACGUAAGUUUUGUAGUUGCCAAAAUUAUUAUAAAUUACUCUUUACCAAUCUCACGCACAAUGCAUGUGCUGCAAACGUGUUAUCAUAUAUUUUGUCACAUUACGUUCGCAGAUGCAUUAAUUUUUUAAAUUGUUGUACCUAUUUAAUAGUUUAUAAGUUAUUGUAUUACUAAGUUGUUGUAGAUCAUCACAUAUAUAAUUUAGUCUUCUAUACGUAUGAGGGUAUUAUUUAUGGUUGCAAUUUCUUGGGGUUUCCCUCGUUUGCUAAUUUUGGGAGUUCGGGAAUGACAGCCCUUGAGGGCCCCCUCCCCUGGAAUUCAGGUCAACCCGUGAAAAGGCUUCUUCCUCCUUGCUCUCUCCACCACUUUGUGUUCCUCCCGUUCGUUUGACAUUCCGUCGCCAUUCUCUUCCUUGGAGGAAUCAACGCACACCAUCUAGCGCAUCGACCAAUCGAUGCUACCAUGGUCCAUCUUUUCGCGGCAGGCGCCCGGGGGCGACUCGGAGCCGGAGCCAGAGUCCGAACCGUCGGGGAGGCAGCUGUCGGACGAGGCCCUAGUGGAGGACCUCCUCACCGCCGUCGCAUCCGCACGGUCGUUCCAGGAGUUCCGUCGCUCGCAGCGCAAGGAGUCCUUUGGCCUCCAGCGCUGGCUCCAGCUCGUGCUCCCGCUAAUCCAAGAGAUCCGCGAGAUCGGGCCAUCCCUUACCGAUGACGCCUACCGUCGCCUUGCCCUCCUCGGUCGCGCAUUCCACGCCGCUCGCCGCCUCCUCCGCUGCUGCCAUGACGGUAGCAAGAUCUUCCUGGUAAUAAGACUGCAACAGCAGCACCAUUCCCUUUUUCUUGGCAGCCUCUGAAGUAAAACUGCUGCCAUUUCUGUACUCCUAUUUAUGUCCCGUUUGAAAGAUUAGAUUAUUUUUAGAUGGUAAAGAAGGCUAUAUUUUUAUUCCUAAUUUGUUUGUGUGGGUCCUAUUGAUCCAAAUUCCAUUUUAGGCCCGCAUUGCACUGCCUAAAAGUAUUAUAUUUACUAUUACCUCAUGUCUGUCAGUUUGUGCCAUGUGCUGACCAAAAGAUUGCAUUUUGAUUGAUGAUCUUGCCCCCAAAUUUCAGGCUUUGGAGAGUGAGGCUAUGCUUGGGCGGUUCAGGGCCGUGUAUGAGAAGAUGAAUCUUGCAUUGGAUGGGAUGCCUUACUCUGAGAUUGGCAUCUCCGAUGAAGUCAAGGAACAGGUAAUAUAGGCGUUAUGUCAUUAUGUGCCAACAUUUUGAUAAAAAUAAAACAUUCGAUGCAAGCCGCAAUUACUUUGGUGAUUUCAGGUUGAGCUCAUCAAUGCACAACUGAAGAGGUGUAAGAAGAGAAGUGAUACUCAAGACAUGGAACUCUCCAUGGAUUUUAUGAUGAUACUCGAGAACAAGGAGGAUGGAAAUGCAGACAGAGCUAUAUUGGAAAGGCUAGCCAAGAAGCUCGAGCUACAAAGCCUGGCAGAUUUGAGAGCAGAGACUAUGGCCAUUAAAAAGCUCAUCAACGAGAGGAAUGGCCAGCAACCGGAAAGCACCAAGCACAUAAUAGAACUCCUCAACAAGUUCAAGGAGAUUGCAGGCAUCGACGAAAAGAACAUCCUUGGGGAUGUCUCCAUACCAAAAUAUCUAGAAAAAUGCCCAUCUUUGAUGAUCCCAAAUGAAUUCCUCUGUCCGAUAUCACUCGAGAUCAUGACUGACCCUGUCAUCAUUGCGAGCGGGAGGGUAUGUUUUGUGCUAUGCCAUUCAUGUUCCCUAAUUGCAAAGCGAGAUUUAUUGUCUCACAGUCCAUAUUUCACCUGAUUUGCAGACUUAUGAGAGAAGAAGUAUCCAGAAGUGGUUAGACGCUGGCCAACGGACAUGCCCAAAGACACAACAACCAUUAGCUCAUCUAUCAUUGGCACCAAACUUUGCAGUGAAAAACUUGAUCUUGCAAUGGUGUGAAAACAAUACUGUUGAGAUUCAGAUGGGAGAAUCUGAGGCUAUAGCUGAACAGGAGGAUCGCAAAGAAGACAUUCCAAAGCUAGUGAAAGAUCUAUCGUCUGUUCAUCUUGAUGUGCAGCGGAAGGCUGCCAAAAAGAUUCGAACACUUUCCAAAGAAAACCCAGAGAAUAGAGCACUGGUUAUUGAGAAUGGUGGGCUCCCUGCUCUUAUUAGCUUAGUGUCCUAUCCUGAUAAGAAGAUUCAGGAGAACACUGUGACUGCAUUAUUGAACUUAUCAAUUGAUGAGACGAGCAAAGUUCUGAUAGCAAAAGGAGGAGCGUUACCUUUGAUCAUUGAAGUCCUUAGGAAUGGCAGCGUUGAAGGUCAGGAGAACUCAGCAGCGACAUUGUUUAGUUUAUCUAUGAUAGAUGAGAAUAAGGCGGCUAUAGGGGUUUUGGGUGGUAUAGCUCCAUUGGUGGCCCUCUUAAGGGAUGGGACAAUAAGAGGCAAGAAAGAUGCUGCUACAGCACUCUUUAAUCUGAUGCUGAACCAUCCGAAUAAAUUUAGGGCUAUUGAAGCUGGAAUCGUGGCUGCUUUGUUGAAAAUACUCAACAACAAGAAACUAGACAUGAUAGACGAAGCACUAUCCAUUUUUCUCCUCCUAGCAUCACAUCCUGGUUGUCGAAGUGAAGUGGGGACGACGUCUUUUGUUGAGAUACUUGUUCAAAUCACAAAGGAAGGGACUCCAAAGAACAAGGAGUGUGCACUUUCUGUUCUCCUCGAGCUAGGUCUGCAUAACAACUCUCUUAUGGUGCACGCACUUGGAUUGGGUCUGCAAGAACAUCUAUCUGAUAUUGCAAAGACAGGUACAAGUAGAGCGCAAAGGAAAGCCAACUCUUUGAUUCAACUUUCUCGCAAGUGCUUAUAAGAGAAUAAAUGAAAACAAAACAUCCUGAUAAUUUUGCACAAAGAUACAUGUAAACCAAUUUACUGGAAAAAGAAGAGGGGAGAGGGGUUACAAAAGAGCAUUGGUGCAGUGAUGUCUAUAAGUAAGAUCAUGAUGAGAGGAAGAUGGUUUUGAGGAAGCAACAAUUCCUUUUUUGAAUAUACACAGGAGAGCUAGCAGACAUCAUUUGAAUUAAGAUAGAUGAAAAUGGUAUGAAUACAACGCCUAAGGUAAACCCUUGGAUCAAGUGAAAAAAGAUGAAAAGAGAGCAAGGGAGGGAUUACAAAAUCAAUUGGUGUGCCACAAAGCAAAAAUAACCAACCGUCUCUAAAGCAACUAAAACUAAAUUGCCACAAGGAACUCAGACUUUUUGCUCCCGCCAUGAAGCAACAGUAGUAUUGUAACAUUGAAUUAGUAGAUAGGUCUGUUCAUCCCUAGCAGAAUUGAAAGAACACAUGAGGUGAUUCAUUUCUUGUACGCAGAAUUUUGUUGUAAUUCAUUUAUGGUAAAUAUAUAGAAGCUUUAAUUGAUAGGAAGGGUACAUAAUAUAUUGGGUGCAUUUGAAGGUACCAUGUCUUAGCGAUCACAAAUUUUUUAAGUUCUGACCUAGACAAUGUUGUUCAGUUUCUUGACUCAACUCGAAGUGACACGCUUUGAUUUUUUUCCAUUCAAUCUUGAAAAUAACAUAAUAGCAAAAACGAACAUCAAAAUUGCAGCAUAGAAAACAAUAUAAACUUACCCACAUUCAGCCAUUCUACAUUUAUGUGUGUCAGACAUCACUUUGCUGAACCAAAAAUGCAUCAGGAUGGAUGUUCCAACUCCAACAGCUAAUAUUAAUUCGUUCUCCUUAACACUAAGGAUCCAUCUUUAAAAGCAUGCAGGAUUACAGCAGGUGGAGUCCAUGAGCUUUUCUUGGAUUCAGUUUAACUAGAUCUAUCAAUGUAUACUAUUCUGAAUGGUCAUCUCAACCUGAUAGUGGCCAAUGGGCAGGGGUUUAUUACUUGCCUCCAUCCCAAUAUAGGACCAUGCAGCAAGAGCAGUAGUGCUAGUAGUGCCCUGACCCGCGUCUUGCUCAUCUUUUGGAUGGCUAAUCUGGCCCUUUUGCGUGCAUGCAUAUAUAUAUUGGGCUAUGCGUUUCAGAGAACUAAAUCUCCACUUACCCCAAAAGAAUAAUGAGCAAAAGCAACCUGAGUUUUGGCUAACAACUGAUGCAACCUGUUCUUUGCCUCUUAUCCCUAGUAAUAUAUGGAACAACAUCUAGCCAUACACUCAAUAAGAUCAAUAUGCAAAACAUCGAGAAAGUAUUAAAAAAUAGUCAAGGAACAUAUUCUUGGUUUAGACUAAUGGCUGUUUGAUCUCCUUUCACUUUUUCACCUAGCCUUGCCUAGCUAGGAAAUGAAAAGCCAUGGUUGGUAGGAUAGGUUGUCUUAGAGCUUGUGCUAGCAAGAAAAUUCCCUGCUGUGCCACAGGAGAGCCAAUCUGGCUUGCUCCAACCAGAGCAAGCAAGGCAAGCUCUAUUUGCAAGGUAAGAGCAGGUACAAUAGGCCAAAUCAGCUUGGCUUAUAGUCAAGACAACUCAGCAAAAUCCAAUGUGGGAGGAGGGAGAACUCUAGAGAGAGAGGGUGCUGGGCGUAGGUCGCUUACACAGCUACCAAUGUUUGCAUGCAGGACUUGGGUGUGACCACCAAUGAGCAGCAUUGGAAUCAGACCUCUUUUGUCUUGACUAUACAAUAAAAAUGAUGUUGUAUAUGCUUUCUUUCUCCUAAUGUUGUAUAGCUUGUCUACAGAUCUUGUCUCCAAAUAUCAUGGCUUGGCUAUAAGGAUGGCUUAUUGGCCUUGCUCUAAGGAAAACCUUGCCUUAGAACCUAUGAGGCUUAUGUUUUUUGUGGAAACAUAUGAGGCUUAUGUUGAGUAGUAGUAAUAAGAAGGAGGCGGUAAGGCAAACCUUGCCUGAGAGCCAAUCACGCGUAUGUUGAGGAGUAUAGUAAGAAAAAGUUUCAAACUUGUAGAUCGAUGUUACAUGUAGUCAUGAUCCAUUUUCAAAUGGCUCAUGAUAAUGUCAAUCUCAGUACCAAGUAUGUAUGUAGUAAUCAUUGAUAGGAUCUAGAACCUUUUUUUACAUGAUGAAUGAACACCGUUAUACCAAGAAAAGAAAGGCAAGAAAACAAUAAAUAUGCAAUAUUCUGCUAGGGUCUAUAACAAUCUCUUUAUUUAUCUAGUAGCUAUAGUAUCGAAAAUAAUAAAAAAAAAUAGCCAGCUUUAUAUAAAAUAUUGGAUAUUGGACAAACAUAUUUGAUAUAUACUCCUUCCAUCCUAAAUUGUAAGUCAUUCCAAGAAUCUUGGAGAGUCAAAGCAUUUUCACGUUUGACCAAAAUUAUAGAGUGAAAUACUAAGAUUUGUAACGUAAAGUGAGUAUACUAUGAAAAUAUAAUUAAGGAAGAAUCUAAUGAUAUUUAGUUGGUAUCAUAAUAAUUAUUAUUUUAUCAUAUAAAUUUGGUCAAACUUUGAAAAGUUUGUCUCUCCAAGAUUCUUGGAAUGACUUACAAUUUGGGAUGGAGGUAAAUGAAAGUUCUUCGUAACUAGGAAAUGUACACAACAAUAAAUAACAAUGACUUACACUUUAUAAUCAGCUGCCACAAUCAUAAACGACAAAAUGCCACUUUAUAAUCAGCUGCAAGUGUGAUAGCCGAUAAAAAUGACACUUUAUAAGCAUGCUGUCAAUGGUAAUUGAGAAAAUGCCACUUUAUAAUUAGCUGCCGUUGACAGCCAAACGCUUCAUAAUUAGCUGCCACUGACAGCCAACAAAAAACCGCUUUAUAAUCAACUGCCACUGAUAGCUGAUAAAAAAAAUUACUUUAUAAUCAACGGCCACCGAUAGCCAACAAAAUACUGCUUUAUAAUCAACUCCUAGUGAGAUUGCAUUGAGACCUAAGGAAUUCAAUAAGACGGUGUGUUUUUUAGGAACCAAUAAAACCGUCGUCCUUUGUAGUCAGUUGACGAUGAUAUUGCACAAGAAGCAAUCAUAAAAUGUGUGCCACGGUGCACAUUGACAAUAGCCUUUGAGGUGCUUGUGCACUUUAGUUUGGAGAGUUGGACAAGUUUUAAUGAGGCUAUAUCAAGUUUUUUUUCCUCAUAACAGUAACUUGAUGUGCAUCAAGAUUUGUGCAACUCCUACAUAUAUAGCAAUGACAAAGAUAUUACUAAAGCACAAAAAUGUAUACUUUUACUUGUGAUGAUAGAUAGGUAGUAUAAUACGUGUCGGUUAGAAUUUUUAGAAUAUGUAAUCGUGGAAAUACGUAAUAUAGUGAACUAGACUAAUAAUGUAGAGUACUCAAUCCUUUUUAACUUGUAAGUCUCGUUUUAUCUUUUCUAGAUGCAUCAUAGACAACUUUUACUACCCAUGAGAUCGAGGAAGGCUUCUCACUACUUCUUCUACACCAAACCAAGCCAACUCAAGAGGCAGAAAUAAAAAAAAAUAUCUAUAUCUAUAUCUAUAUCUAUCUAUCUUGAAGCUUGAGCUUGCGUGUACGUAGUUGACUGUAUAUGUCCCUAGCAGAUCACUUAGCUUGUCCGAUCGAAUGAAUCAAAAGGUUAGUUCCAAACCGAGAGAAAAUAAACAAUUAUUAAAGCCAAAAGAGCAUUACUACUACUGGAAUCCAAGCCUAGCUAAAGGCAUUUAUCCUAGUUCUUCACUCUUUGGAACCGGCUUCCAGUGCGUACCUAGUAGUAGAAAGGUCAGUCAAAUGCACAUGUAGUGUGUACGUAGCAUGCAUGCGACUAUAUAUAUAUAGAGAACUACCUUAUUGUUUAUAAUAAGCAGCAGCCAUAAUGAAUUGUAGGAGGGAAAAACAUUGGCAGCAGUCGCUUAUUUAAGGGGUUAACAUUGUAUCAUCUUAUAAGUUAUUCCAGAUCAAACGUAUUACACACACAUAGACAUUUUAUAUUAUUUUUUAGAAAGGACGACAAAAGCCUUGCCGUUAUUUUUCUUAGAGGAUGAAACAUUUUCGAUCUAUCGUGCAUUGUCGCUUAUUUAGUUCUAGUGAUGAGGAAAUAAUAUAUUAUAUAUAUACUUUCCAUGACCAGUGACCACAAACUAUAGCAACCAAAAAAAAAGUGUGACAUCACAAAUGCAGAAGCUUGUUAACGUUACUCUAUCCCUAAGCUUUCUGAGGAAGACCGAAAACUCCUAAUAACAUGCCCUGCUGCUUAAUUUCUCAUGAAAGGGCUGCUGGGGAAGAACAGGCGGUUCCGUAUGGGGUUCAGUUGCACCGCUUUUGCCUUUAUUAUUUGGACGACGGUGCACACUACCAUUAAAAGCUAGCUCUCACUAGUACAGCGAAGGGCUUUAGCCCCGGGCCGUAAGCGCCUUUAGUCCCGGCUACGGAACCGGGGCUAAGGUUUCGGGACUAAAUGUCCCACCUUUAGUCCCGGUUCCGUGGACCGGGACUAAAGGUCCACCUUUAGUCCCGGUUGGUAACAGAAACCGGGACUAAAAGGUGCGCCAGGGUGUGCCACCUGGCCUCCACUUUUAGUCCCGGUUGUUGUUACCAACCGGGACUAAAGACUUUUUUUCUUUUUUCUUUUUUCUUUUUCUUUUCAUUUGGUUUUCCAUUUAGGGUUUACAAUUAUGUUAUUGUUAUUUUCGAAUGCGUAUUGUUUGCUGGUAGUUUAUGGAACGCGCACCUAUAUAAUUUAUAUAAUUUAAAGGAUUACAUAUAAAUAUACUAUAAAACACUAUAUAUAUAUAUAAAUAAUUAUAUCUAUAGGUCCAUAAUAAAAUAUUUACACAUAUGCUUUACGGACAAAGUAUUUACAACACAAUUUUUCUCCACCACUCAAGCAUCGUACAAAUGAUCAUCGUUAUUUGGUUUUAUCUGCUCCUGAGGGUUGAAAUAGCACUCGCCGCCGGAAUCCAGGACUUGGUCAUUAAGAAAUCCUGCGAUUGUCUCCUGAAUUCCUUUUAGGCGCACCGCAUCCAACACCUGCUCCUUCAGCCACAUCUCUUUUAAUAGACAUUAAAGAAAAAAGUUAGAGGUAUGAAUAGGAUUUAUUAAAUAGCAACAAAUAAAUGAAAUAUACUUAUUAUAUAUACAUGUUACAUACUUUUAGGUGCUCAAGAUUAGUUCUUUUGGCAUACACCGUCAUAAACUCGCACACAUAGUAGCCACACAAAUUGUUGCCCGGUGUCUGCCGUAGAACCCACUGAAGUAAGAUGGGCUUUGAAAGUGAUGCAUUCAACUCUGGACGGUGUUUCUGCACGAACCCAGCCCAAACCCUAGCAAUAAAACGAUCAUUAUUAAUUAUCCAUUACCAACUUAAAAGAGCAGAAUUUAAUAUAUAGAGAUCGGAGUUACCCUUGGAUAAUAUCUAUCAUUUCUUGGUAAUCAUCCUGUGGUUUUCUCAAUGAGUCAUAGAUUACCAAUUGACAUUGCCAGAGAUCAAUGACAAUUAGUAUCCAAUGAAAGCUGCAUUUGUGUGCAUAUGUAGGCAAAAUUAGUAUAUAUCUUCAUAUUGAUCUGAUUAAUUAGUUAAAUAGAAUGUACACACGAUAACGACACUUACUUAAAGUUGUAGGGAAAGAGUAUAUAUCUUUUAUCUUUUUGGUUGAUCAAGAACCUCCGUAGAUUUCUCUCCGUUUGAGUUCUCCAUAAAACAUACGGGGUCUUGUGGUCUUUGAAUACAACAUUUGGAUCCACAAAUCCAAUCUCCUUGUCAUUUCUAACUCUGAGGUCCCUCAUCAUGUUUCUGCAUAUGUAUAGCGGGUUUCUGUAAUUAGUUAUAUAUAUACAUGAUAAGUUACAGAGACAUUAUUGAAAGGAAGAAUCACUUACAGACAGAAGCAACUCAUUAGAGAUUUGUCAAGAGCGUCCAUGUGGCAUAGUUGGUGUAGCUCAUUAAAUUGAACAUAAAUAAUAUCAUCACCACGGAAGUAAUGAUAGUUUCUAAUUCGGACACAAAUAUAGUCAUCUGCUUUUCUGGCACACGCUUCCAUGUACCAUUUGUUUAGCAUGUACAUUUGCGUUCCAAGCUUGCUGAGGGCCGCAGGGUUGUAUAAACUCUUGCCAUAUGUAUAUUCCUUCUGCCAAUGAUCAAUUUGUGGAGCACUUUCAAUUGGUGCCCCCGCUAUCAUUUGGGCUAAGCUAAGACCAGUUUCCGCAAAAAAAAUUUGAAGCUCUUCAAAUUUUAAAUCUGCCGGUAUCUGCUGGUCUAGCACGUCAAUGUUUGAACCAUAUUCAUUUCCAAUGACUAGCGGGGGCACUGAUUGCUUUGAUUGUUCCCCGAGCUGUGCUACACCCUUGCGUGCUCUUUUCUCUUUCUUCUUCUCUUCUUCUAUGGAUUUUCUUAAAGUGCGAUCAUAGUCUGAUAAAGAUGAUGAUUCUUUCUGAGCUUCACGCCUCUUUUUUUGUUCAGCCUCAACCCUUUGUCGUAGAUCUUCUGGCCGUAGUAAGAGGUACGACUUCUCAGGGUUUCGCUUGGCUUCUCUUUCAGUCUUAAGUUUCUUGAAGAAACUAUCCACAUCUGAUUUAACUGCAGCAUUUAUUUCUGCAUCAGUCAUCUGAUCAUAGGAACAACUUCUUAGGAAUGAUAGCUUGUUUCUUUUCGGAGGCUUUCUUUUUUGGCGGCGGGGCGGCCGACACAUUUGAUUUUGUGGCCGGCCUCUUCUUUCGUGCUGGAGCCACGUGUGGAGGCGAUGGGGCGGCCGGUGGCGGUGUUGGAGCCCGAGGAGGCGGCGUUGGAGCCCUAGGUGGCGUUGGAGCUCUAGGUGGCGGUGUUGGAGCCUGAGGUGGCGGUGUUGGAGCCCGAGGUGGCGGUGUUGGAGCCCUAGGUGGUGGCGUUGGAGACCGAGGCGAUGCAGCCGUGUCUUGCACUCCCUCGUCAUCACCCGCAGCACUAUGACAUGUCGGUGACCACCUGUGAAAAUAAAAGGUAUAUGAGUAAACCGCUAACUAAGAGAAUGCAAAAUAAAUUUAGUGAACAAAUGUAUAGUCAAUUUUCAUCCGCACCUAGGAUUAGAUUCAUGACGAGGAGGUGGUGGUAGACUACUAGGUGAUGCCCCAGGAAUAAUGAUGUAGCGCUUGCGCCAACAAAUAAAAGUCUUCUCUGCUUCUCCUAGAGUCUUCUCUCCAUCACCUCCUUCUAUCUCAAGCUGCACAUUACUGAAGCCUUUGACAACUCUAUCCACCGAGACACUAGCAUAUCCAGGUGGAAUUAUCGCCCCAUGGAUUCUUGGUGUCCUUGUAGGGUCGACAGGAGUUACAACAGCGACAGCAACCAUGACUGUGGCAGUCCCCUGUGGAAUGUGCAGCUCACAUGUUGUCAGAGGCUCAGUGAUGUCAUCCACCGGAAAGUGCAGCCCCACGUCGUCUUGAAUAGUUGGCAUCUCUGUGGAAGCGCAACUACUUUUCAACUGACCGGGGGGGCUAAUGUUGACUAUAGGCUGUGAUGUAGUUUGCCCUUGUAUAGAACUUAAUGCAAUCUGCACUUGUCUUUUGAUCUCCUCGUUCAUUCUCUCUUCAAGCGCUUUCUCUCGCGCUAUCGCUUCACGAGCCGCUUCGCGUGACUCAAUCACCAUUGCCUCCAACCUAUGCAACCGCUCUGCUUCCUCUUUCUUCUUUCGUUGGCGGCUUCUAUAAGUCGGUCUAUCUUUAGGGAAGCCAUGCUCCCAUGUUAUCUCCCCAUAGCCUCUGGUUCGCCCAUCGUGUUCAGCAGUCUCCAGGGCGUAUGUCAGCUCAUCCUUUUCUCUAUUUGGCUGCCAGGUGCCGCUUUCAACUAAUCCUCUAGCAUAGGCCAUUCUCUGUCCUACUCUCUCGAGCUUUUCGCCAUACACUAUCUUUCCGGUCUCUAGGUCUAUGGUUCCCCCAUGACCAAAGAACCAAUACUUGGCGCGCUCGGGCCAGUGCAUUGAUUCUGGUUCGAUCCCUCUCCCAAGAAUCUCCUGUUCCAGCUUUUGCCACUUAGGAAUAGCAGUCCUGUAGCCACCUGAACCCAAGUGAUGGUGGUAUUGCUUUUGUUUAGCAUUUUCUUGAUUCUUGAUCAUCCGUGCCUGACCCUCUUCUGAGUUCUUAAACUCUACGAACUCAUCCCAAAAAGGCCUCAACUUGACGUAGGCCUUGUUGGUGAAAUCUGGUGUCCGGCCUUGUGCAACAAAAGUCUUGUAUAAUGUCUUCUUCCAAGCCUGAAAUUGUUUGGCCAUCUUCUGCAUAGCCCAGAUUUUAACCUUCUUCUUCAAAGCUUCAUCCUGUGUAUCGAGCGUGAAAUGUUGAAGGAUAUCUUGCCAAAUCAAUUCCUUGUCACGAUCUGAGACAAAACUAAUAUUAGGGUUAUCUUUCCGUUGCCUCCAUUCACGAGCACUAACCGGGAGCCUGUCCCUUACAAGGUAGCCACAGUGCGCAACAAAUUUUUUAGAAUUAGCUCCAAGUACUUGUCCUGUACCCUCAUCGAAUUCCGACAGAAUGUACCGACCCUCCAACGGCUUCUUCGGGCCGCGCACUUUUCUACUCUUCUCAGAAGUUGUCGCCGAUUUAGAGGGCUACACAAACAAGUAUAAAUAUAUUAGUAUAAAUGUCAUUUAUUUUAAUUUCAUAUAUAUACAUAUAUACUAGAUAGUAGAUAGACCUGAUCAGGAUUGUCUCCCACAAGUUCUUCAUAAUCGACAAAGUACUGACUCCCAUCAUCUUCGCCUUGGGGAUCUGGAUUGGCACCGCUGUUGAUUAGGUCCAUCAUUGCAUCAUCCAUGUUGUCAUUCGGAUUGGCCAUUUCUAUAAAUUUAAUCAAGUGUUAAAAGUUUUUGACGCGAUCAACAAAAAUUAUUUAGAUAGACUAAACUUAGACAAUAUUCGAUACAACAACACAUGAUAAAUUAUAUCAUAUAAAUUAUAUAAUACAAAUGAUAAAUUAUAAAAUAGAAAUUAUACAUCUCAUCUCAAUAUCUAUCCCUACUAACUAAUUACAACAUAGGAUAAAUUAUAUCAUAUAAAUUAUAUAAUACAAAUGAUAAAUUAUAAAAUAGAAAUUAUACAUCUCAUCUGAAUAUCUAUCCCCACAAACUAAUUACAACAUAGGAUAAAUUAUAUCAUAUAAAUUAUAUAAUACAAAUGAUAAAUUAUAAAAUAGAAAUUAUACAUCUCAUCUCAAUAUCUAUCCCUACUAACUAAUUACAACAUAGGAUAAAUUAUAUCAUAUAAAUUAUAUAAUACAAAAGAUAAAUUAUAAAAUAAAAAUUAUACAUCUCAUCUGAAUAUCUAUCCAUACUAACUAAUUACAACAUAGGAUAAAUUAUAUCAUAUAAAUUAUAUAAUACAAAAGAUAAAUUAUAAAUUAAAUUAAAGUAACUUGUGCUUUCUAUAUUCAAGUUCAACUAUACACAACAAGGUUUUUAAUUAUGUCUCAAGUAAAUUUAUAGUAUAAAAAUAUAUAAAUAAUUAAUCUAAUAAUAUUUAUAUCUUUUAUAGAAAUGUCAUAAAAAUUUUGAUAUGUUUACAGCAUGUAAUUAAUUUGCGCGAUAAAUAUGAUAAACGAAACACUUCCAUACAUAUAUGUAUACAUGCCUUAGCUAAAAAUUAGAUAAAAUUAGCUAAGAGUAUUAAAUAUAGAGAAAAAAAUAACUAAUUACACAGUUGAUAGGGAAACCACGAGAUAAACCUUUUAAGCUUAAUUAGUUUAUGUUAGCCAUAAUUACUAUAAUAACACAGAUAUGCUAAUAACAGAUUAGUUAGAUAUAAUAAAUUUGUCUCACAAUUUUUAGAUAAAUUAUAUAAUUAAUUUUAUAAUUAAUAUCCAAACUGCUAAAGACUUGUUUAGUUUCGAAAAUAAAUUAUUUUCGAUAUUCCAUAAAUUAUUCGAUACAACAACUAAAGACUUGUUUAGUUUCGAAAAUAUUCGAAACAACAACUAAGGGCUAACCUAAACUAAUUAAGCAUUUGUUGAUCCAUAGCAUAUAUAGUCUAUAUAUAGUUGAUUGUGUGCAAUCUUGACCUUUUCUUGGAAAAAUAAUUGACCCACUUGUAUAGUUAUUUUUAUAUUAACUUUCAUUAAAAUUAUCUGUAUUUUUGCAAUUCUGCUUAGAUGACAGUAAUGCCGCCUUAUAUCUUUUAUAGAAAUGUAUUUGAUUUCUAAAAAAGCGAAUUGCAUUGCAUUCGAAUCUUGCGGCAUAUGCAUAAAGUAUUAAAUAUAGGUUAAAAAAUAACUAAUCACACAGUUUGUAUAUAUGUAAUUCGCGAGACGAUGAAGGUCAACUACACUGUUAACACUGUUCACAUUUUGCAUAUGAGAAAAAACAAACAAUCACACUGUUCACAUUUUGCAUAUAAGAAAAAACAAACAAUUUGCAUAUAGGAAAAAACAAACAAUCACACUGUCCACAUUUUACAUAAUUUUUUGCAAGUAAACAUGGCCAUUUUUUUGCAAGUAAACAAUCAAACUACUCGGUGCCGGAGAGAAGAUGGCGCGGCGCUCCGUACGGUCCUCGGCGGCAGGGGACGAAUGGUCGGGCACGAGGGUCGUCGGUGCCGGGGACGAUGGCCGGGGACGAGCUUUCGUCGGUGCCGGAGAAGAAGCGAAGAGCUCGGCGAGGUGCUCCGUACGGUCCUCUCGGCUCGGGGCGGGGUCGAUGGUUAGCGGCGGCGGCGGCGUCGCUCCCGGGGACGAGCUAUCGGCGGUGGUGGCCGGGGACGAGGGCGCGAGGCGACGGCGGGGAGGAGCGGCGCGCGGCGGAGGAAAUUAGGGUCUGAGGAGGAGCGGCGAGCGGCGGAGGAAAUUAGGGCAACGUCGAUCUGAGGAAGACGACGGUUCGGUUAAAUACCCAGAGGGACCUUUAGUCCCGGUUCUAGCCAGGAACCGGGACUAAAUGUAUUUUUCAGUUUCUUAUUUAUUUAUGCAUACAAUAAUUAGAUUAAUGUUGUUAACUGCAUAGUAAAUAGAAUAAUAGGUAUUAAUUUGUUAAAAAAUAAUAGUUCCAUUUCUUUUUGUCUAAUUGGUUACAUAAUAAAUUUGGAAACAUAAAAUCUUUUCAUCACUUAUAUUAACAAACUUAAAUAUGAAAAAUAAUUAGUAUUUUGUUAAUGCAAAAAUGUAUUAUUUAAUUUUAAUAUCUUAAAGGAGAUGUUUUUGAUAGAAAAAUUUGUUUGUGCAAUAUUUAAACGUAAAUUUUGUUUAUUUAUCAUCAUUUAUCUCCAAAAUCAUGAUAUACGUGAUAUUCACCAUUACAUCGAAUUAUUUUUUAAAAUUUUUUCUCUAUUUCUUAUUUAUUUAUGCUUACAACAAUAUUCACCAUUACAUCAGAUUAUCUCUAACAACUUUGUAUUCAAAUUUUUUUCAUUUCAAGUCAUCAAAUGGGUCAUUUGACCAAGUUUGACCAAAGUCAAAGCAUUGGUUUUUAGAAACACACACUUUGACCGAACCCUAUAUGGUCCCAAAUGGAAAAGUAAUGAAUACAAAGUUUGUUGCACUCAUCAAGUUCUACAUUUUGUCUAAUGGUCAACUUUUCUUUUGGAAAAGUUUGAACCACUCAAUUUUGAAUUUUGAUAGAAUUCAUAGCCACGCAUGGGUUUUCGGAACCCUAGAUGGUCUCGAACGGAAAAGUCAUGAAUACCAAUAUUGUUCCACUCAUCAAAAUCUACAUUUAAUAUAUAGACCAUUUUUGCAUUUGACAAAGUGUUGCGAAGGUGUAGUUCAAAAUCCACAAUUGACACAUGUAGUUUCAUAUAGUUUGUGUGAGAUUCAAGAAUUGGUGGGUAUUGUGAACUUAAACUUUCUCAAAUAGAAAAGUUGUCUAUAUAAAAAGUUUAGAUCUUGAUGAUAUCUAACAAAUUGGUAUUCAAAAUUUUUUCAUUUUAAGUAGUUUAGUUUGUCAUUUGACCAAGUUUGACCAAUACCCGUCUUGGAUUUUGAACAAAUGUGCUUAGGAUUGGCUCAAAUUUAUCCAAAUGGAAAAAUGGACAAUAUAUCAAAUGUAGAUCUUGAUUAUCUCUAACAACUUUGUAUUCAAAUUUUUUUCAUUUCAAGUCAUCAAAUGGGUUAUUUGACCAAGUUUGACCAAAGUCAAAGCAUUGGUUUUUAGAAACACACACUUUGACCGAACCCUAUAUGGUCCCAAAUGGAAAAGUAAUGAAUACAAAGUUUGUUGCACUCAUCAAGUUCUACAUUUUGUCUAAUGGUCAACAUUUCUUUUGGAAAAGUUUGAACCACUCAAUUUUGAAUUUUGAAUUUCGGAACCCUAGAUGGUCUCGAACGGAAAAGUCAUGAAUAUUUUUGACUAUUUUUGCAUUUGAAAAAUAAUUGACACAUCUCUUAUAAUAGCAAACUUAAAGGUCAUUUCAUUAUUUGAAAUGAUAUAAAAUAAGAAAAACUAAUAUAAACAUCUUAAGUUACAAUUGUCACAUACACAUACUAUAUUGCAAUCUAUUUAUUAGGCGGGCACAAUAGUGAUCUUCUUUUUGACGUAUGUUCCUUGGUCAUGAUCUUGACGUAACCAUGGAGUGUCCUCAGCAUCUAUCAGUAUGCUCGGAUCUUUGGUCACAUUGAAAGGCGUGAUUCGGUCAUCCCUUUCAUAAUCUUCUGAAAUAUCUGACUUGUCCUCAAUUCCCACAAUGUUUCUUUUCCCUAAGAGAACUAUAUGGCGUUUUGGCUCGUUUGUUGAUUUGUUGUCAUUUUUCCCUCUCUUCUGUUUUGUAGACAUGUCUUUCACAUAGAACACCUGAUUCACAUCAGCAGCAAGGACGAAUGGUUCAUCUUUGUAACCAACAUUGUUGAGGUCCACUGUUGUCAUUCCAUAGUCUUUGUCAACUGUCACCCCGCCUCCGGUAACCUUCACCCAUUGGCACCGGAACAAAGGGAUUUUAAAAUUAGGUGCGUAGUCUAGUUCCCAAAUCUCCUCUAUACGACCAUAAUAUGUUUGUCUGUUUCCAUUCGGGUCUAUGGCGUCUACGCGAACUCCACUAUUUUGGUUCGUGCUUCUUUUAUCUUGGCCUAGGGUGUAAAAUGUAUUUCCAUUUAUCUCGUACCCUUUGUACGUGAGGAUGUGCCAUGAUGGUUGCCUAGCCAACAAAUACAGUUGCUCAUCAAUCUGGUCAUUACCCUGACAUUCUUUUCGUAACCAAUCACUGGAAGUGUCUAUGUGCUGAUGCAUAAGCCAACCUUCAUUCUUCUCUGGGAAUUGCGAUCGUAGGAAGUCCUUGUGUUUCGUGACAUACGGCUCCACCACGGAUGAGUUUUGAAGAACUGUGUAGUGUGCUUUAUUGAAAGAAUCGUCCCCCAUACCGAUGUAUGUUUUCUUUCCUAGUGUUCCCUUUCCACUCAGUCUGCCCUCGUGGCGCGAUUCAGGAACACCAAUUGGGUCAAGUUCAGGAAUGAAUUCAACAUAGAACUCAAUGACCUCCUCUGUCCCAUAGCCCUCGGCGAUGCUUCCUUCUGGCCGAGUACGUUGGUGAACAUAUUUCUUCAGAACUCCCAUAAACCUCUCAAAGGGAAACAUAUUAUGUAGGAACACAAGACCCAGAAUAUUGAUCUCCUUGACCAGAUGAACUAGGAGGUGUGUCAUGAUAUCAAAGAAGGAUGGUGGGAACACUAACUCAAAGCUGACAAGACAUUGAACCACAUCAUUCUGUAGAGCAGCUAGUUCUAGUGGAUUGAUUGCCUUCUGAGAAAUUGCAUUGAGGAAUGCACAUAGCUUUACGGUGGCCAGACGUACAUGUGGAGGUAGAAUUCCUCUUAAUGCAACUCGAAGCAAUUGCGUCAUAAGCACAUGGCAGUCAUGCGACUUUAAGUUUAGAAAUUUCUUCUCAGGCACAUUAAUUAUACCUUUUAUAUUAGAGGAGAAUCCAGAUGGGACCUUGAUGCUGCUUAAGCAUUCAAACAUGAUUUCUUUCUCUUCAUUGCUAAGAGUGUAGCUAGCAGGUCUUAAAUAUUGGCGUCCAUCAUCUGUCUUCUCUGGAUGCAGGUUGUCUCGUUCUUCCAUGCGUUGCAAGUCUUGUCGUGCUUCAAGUGAAUCCUUAGGCUUACCAUAUACACCCAUGAAUCCUAGAAGGUUCACACAAAGAUUCUUUGUUAGGUGCAUGACGUCGAUCGCAUUCCGGACCUCUAGGACUUGCCAAUAGGGUAGCUCCCAAAAUAUUGACUUCUUCUUCCACAUGGGUGCAUGACCCGCUGCAUCUUUUGGAACUGGUUGGCUGCCUUGUCCCUUACCAAAAACUACUUUCACAUCCUUAACCAUCUCAAAUACAUCUUCUCCAGUUCUAUUGCGAGACUUGCAUCAGUGGUCUGUCUUACCUUUAAAAUGCUUUCCUUUCUUUCUAACUGGGUGAUUCAUAGAAAGAAAUCGACGAUACCCAAGGUACACGACCUUUCUGCAUUUUUUCAAAUAUAUACUAUCAAGGUCAUCAAAACAAUGUGUGCAUGCAUUAUAUCCCUUGUUUGUCUGCCCUGAAAGAUUACUUAGAGCAGGCCAAUCAUUGAUUGUCACAAACAACAGUGCUCGUAGGUCGAAGUGUUCCUGUUUGUACUCAUCCCACACACGAACACCUGUUUCACUCCAUAAAAGAAGGAGUUCUUCAAUUAAUGGCCUUAGAUAGACAUCAAUGUCAUUGCCCGGUUGCUUCGGGCCUUGGAUGAGCACCGGCAUCAUAAUAAACUUUCGCUUCAUGCAUAACCAUGGAGGAAGGUUGUAGAUACAUAGUGUAACAGGCCAAGUGCUAUGACUACUGCUUUGCUCACCAAAAGGAUUCAUACCGUCCGUACUUAAAGCGAACCUUAAGUUUCUUGCGUCUUUUGCAAACUCUGGAAAUUCCCUGUCUAUUGCUCUCCACUGGGACCCAUCAGCAGGGUGUCUCAACAUGUUGUCUACUUUACGGUCUUCUUUGUGCCACAGCAAUAAUUUUGCAUGGUCCUUAUUUCUAAAAAGACGUUUCAGACGUGGUAUUAUAGGAGCAUACCACAUAACCUUUGCAGGGAUUUUUUUUCUGGGACGUUCUUCCCCCUCAACAUCGCCAGGGUCAUCUCGCCUGAUCUUAUACCGUGAUGCUUUACAUACGGGGCAUUCAUCUAAAUUCUCGUAGUCCUUGCCACGGUAUAGGAUGCAGUCGUUAGGACAUGCAUGUAUCUUCUUGAUUUCUAAUCCCAACGGACAGACGAUCUGUUUUGCUUCGUACGUAGUAGUGGGCAGUUCAUUAGGCUUUGGCAGCAUUUUUUUUUUGGAUCUUCAGUAAUUGCCCAAAUGCCUUAUCGGAUACACCAUUCUGUGCCUUCCAUUUUAACAGUUCUAGUGUUGUACCCAGUUUUUUUUGCCCAUCCUGGGCAGAUGGGUAUAAUAAUUUCUUGUGAUCUUCUAACAUGUGGUCAAACUUUGUCUUCUCUUUUUCACUUUCGCAAUCUUUUUGUGCCUCACGAAUGACAUCACCAAGAGCAUCAUCUUCAACAGGUGCGCCUUCUGCAUCUGCCUCAUCUUCAGCUUCUCCCAUUGCUGUAUCACUGAAGUCACCGUAUUGAGCAAUAAUGUCGUCAGGCUCCAACUGUUCUUCUUCACCUUCUUCCAUCAUUAUACCGUUUUCUCCAUGCUUGGUCCAACAAAUAUAGUUUGGCAUAAAACCCGACUUCAACAAAUGUGAGUGAAUAUUUCUAGAGCUAGAAUAUUCCUUCAAAUUCUGACACAAGGCACAUGGGCAACAUAUGAAUCCAUCCCGCUUGUUUUCCUCGGCCACUCUUAAGAAAUAAUGCACACCAUCAAUGAAUUCUUUGGAGCGGCGAUCGGCAUUGUACAUCCAAUGACGUGUCAUUGUCUGCAUUGCAAUGUAAAAUAUUAUAAGUUUCUAAUUUUUUAUAAAGAAAUUAAAGUAACAAAUAACCUAAAAUUCUCUAUUUCUGGUUUUUCUAAACCAACAAAAUUAAAAAGACAUAAAAGUUCUCUAUUUUCUAACUAACCAUGAAAUAUGGCAUGCAUACUAGUUAUAAUUAACUAAUUAACCAUGUCAUAAAGUGUAAAUUAAAGUAUUAUAAGUUUCUAAUUUUUAAUAGAGAAAUUAAAGUAACAAAAAACCUAAAAUUCUCUAUUUCUAAUUUUUAUAAACAAGCUAAAUUAAAAAAGCACAAAAAUUCUCUAUUUUCCUAAAUAAUCAUGAAAUGUGGUAUGUAUACUAGUUAUAAUUAAAUAGCUAAAUCGGUCAAAAAUUGCAAAUUAAAGUAUUAUAUGUUUUUAUUUUUAAUAGAGAAAUUAAAGUAACAAAAAACCUAAAAUUCUAUAUUUCUAUUUUUUCUAAACAAGCUAAAUUAAAAAAGCACAAAAAUUCUCUAUUUUCUUAAAUAAUCAUGAAAUGUGGUAUGUAUACUAGUUAUAAUUAACUAACUAAAUCGGUCAAAAAUUGCAAAUUAAAGUAUUAUAUGAUUUUAUUUUUUCUAAACUAAUUAAAAUAAAAAACAUAUUACCACUAUUUCUCUAACAAAACGCGUCGCUUUUGAAAUGGCGAUGAAGCUAAUAACCUCUUAAAAAACCAUAAAAUAAAAAAUAAUAUAACACUAGGAAAUGACAUACGCCGCUUCUAAAUGUUGAGAAGAUGAAGCUAGUGACCUCUUAACAAGUCGAUGACGGUGUAGAAACGAUGAAAUGAAUCAAUAGCCGGAGAUGAGAGCAAGCUAGAACAAGCAACUCCAAAUGAAGAACACAGCAAAAGAGUGAAGAUCGAUGGGCUCGGCCACGGGAAGAAGAGUUCAAAUAUGGGGAGGGACAUUUAAUCCCGGUUCCUUUUAAAAACCGGGACUAAAUUCCAACACUAGUCUCGGCCGGUGGGACGGACCGGGACAAAAGCUUUUAAUCCCGGUUGGUGGUACCAACCGGGACUAAAGGCUAGGCUUUUGUCCCGGUUGGUGAGACCAACCGGGACUAAAAGUCCCCUCUGCCGAUGUCUGACAUAAUAGCCGUUGGGCAGGGGACUUUUAGUCCCGGACUCUGUUUUGGCCGAGAUUAUUGUUCAUUUUGGGCAAGUGACCAAAGGCCUGUUCUGUAGUAGUGUCUAGACCUGCGAAACAUAUAGCUAGGGUAAUUAAAACCAUUCGAUUUCUUCCAAUAAUACAAUACAUAUGGAGAUACAUGACUAUAGGAUGAGAGUGGAAAAUUAACUAAUUUCUCUUUCAAUAAUCCCUCCCAAUAUAUGUAUAUAGAUUAGAGGCAAUUAUUAUGUAUGUUUUGUUUCGUAACAAGUCUAGCUAGGUGUCUCUCUCUUUCUCUAAGUUUUCUAUGGCAGGAACACAAUUUUUUCUUCACUGCUCCUGAUGAGCAGGAUCAACAACCCAAUUCUGUGACGACGAUCAAUCUUUUGGUUUAGGGCAUCAGAUAAUCCUGUCGAUCAUCUAAUUAUAGGGAGAUUUUUGCUGAUCCUCGAGUUGCAGCAUACAUAUCAUAAAUACACACAAGCCGGCCUGUUUACUAUGUGUUUGUUUCGGCUUAUAAUCACGUCUGCGGUUGCCCCACCGCGUGAAUCAAAAUAAUCACACUAAACACCUCUCAUGAAUCAUUAAUUCUUUUCACCGCGUGGGAUACACUCACCACGAGUAUAAACCUGAACAACUCACGUUUUCCGUGCCACGCGACGGGCAAGAGGCCGGCCAUGGUACUGUUACUACACCACGCAGCCCGUCACACGCGACCUUCCCGCUGUGGUCCCAAACACACCCUUAAUAAUAAAAUAAAUCGUUUGCCAUCAUCACAGAUGAAUCCUUCUCUUGCUGCAGCUAGGAGAUAUAGAGGGAUCUGCAGCCCUGCAGAUCGCUCAUGGAGAUGCAUGCAGGACAGAAUCUGAAUGUUUUGCAAGAACAAGAUCUAGCUAGAGCGAACUAGAAGGCCGGGCCUCAAAUUAAAGCUGCAUGCGCAUGAUGAAAUAAUAAGAAGAUGAUGAAUCCUCGAUCAGCUUGAGGAAUCUACACCAUCCUUCUAGCUCGCAAGCUCUCUAGCUAGCUCUCGAUCAAGAGAAGAUCGAAACACCACGAACAGGUAUUAUUAUUCAUAACAGCUUGCGUUCUUUAGUUAAUCGAUCGAUCGAGCUUACAUGCAUGCACUCAUAUACCUCCAGAUUAAUAGAGCUAGCCCCGAUUUAACAGUGUACUUGCCGGGCUGCAACCGAACCAUGGACGAUUAACACUAGCAAACGAACGAUAUCUAUCUAGAUUAUAAGACGCAAGCACGCCGCCGUCGGCGAUCGACGGAGGAAGGAGCUAGCCUAGCUGCUCCUCCUACUCCUACUACUCCUCUUUCUCAUUCCCCUUGUCCUCCUGCUGCUGCUGCUCUGGUGGUGGCGGCACGGCUGGCUCGUUCAGAUCGAAGGGCAUGACGACUUGCUGCGCCGGCCCGUCCUGGUGCGGUGCUGCUUGGAAAGCCAGUAGCAGCCGAGUUUGCCGCUGUGGCUGGCGCGGUGGCCGCCGAGCGCCUGGCGCGUCUCGAACUGGGCCCCGCAGCGCUCGCACGCGUAGCGCAGCUGCCUCCCGUCCGCGGUCACGGCAACCACCGGCAGCUCGGCCGGCGGCGCCAUGCCGCGCCAGGCGCGCUCCGGGUGGCUGCGCUGGUGCCCGUGCACGGCCUUGCGGCAGUCGAAGCGGCGGUCGCAGACGGGGCAGGGGUGAGGCCCGUCCCCGGACUCGUUCUUGCUGCGGUUGCGGGAAGCCGCCUUCUUCUUGCGCUGCUGCGCCGCCGCCGGGAUGGCGUCCGCCUCGUGCGACGACAUGGGGCGCCACGGACGGUUCGGGUCCUCGCCGCCGCCGCCGCCGGGGGGCGCGCCCACGCUGCCGGCGAGGAACUGGCCGUACGCCAUGCCCAAGAAGAACACCUGAGCUUCGUUCAUAGCACUCCUGCCCUACAAGCUAAGCUCCGCCUGUGUCAGCCGUUGCGCGUGCAACGGGAGACACACAGCGUGCACUGACUAGUCGAUCGGUACCGAGGCAAGGUGCAGUGUGCACUGCUUGCUGGGUUGUGAGGGACACUAGUACUCUUGGCAGGUGGGCCCUAUAUAUAUAUAGUCCUUUUUAUGUCGUGGAUCCUACUUUUCGGUCGACGCGUCCUUUCGUUCCAUCUUUUUUUUAUUUUUUAUACUUUAACUUUUUUUUUUCUAUACCAUAUAUUUUAAUAACUUUGUAGAUGGGCCAUUAGCUUCUAUAUGACACCUCAUUAGUAAAUUUAUUUGCAUUUAUAGUUACUGUAAGUAAUUAUUAUAUGAUCCUUAUAUAUAUACAACUUAUUCACUUGAGUUUAUCAGCCGAAUCUACCAGUCAUUCAACAGUAUUUUUCUGUCACAAUAAAUCACUUAACAGUAAUUUCUAUCAUGCCUUAACAGCCAAACCAACAGGGGCGAUAGGUACUCUCGGGAGUAGUUACUCCCAUCUUCAAUAAAUUAUAUUGCGUAUGUGUUCAUACUUGUUUAUUGGUUUAAGUAUGUUUAUAUACUCAUAUUAAGAUACUUUAUAUCUUACCACGUGAAUUUUUUUUCAAAGGAAUCCAUAUUUUUAAUAUAUUACUAAAAUGCCACUAUUGUAGUAUAUAUAAUAAGUAUAAUCAUAUACUCUAUGUAUGCAUACAUACUUAACAUACAUAUCACCCUAGAUGCAUGGUCUAGGUGAUCAUAUACUUCAUCUACAUAUAUUUUGUUCGGUCAUAUACAUCAUAAAUAAUCUAGAGAUAUAGAUAUGUGAGUAGCUACUUCUAGGAGUAUAUAUAUAUAUAUAUAUAUAUAUAUAUAUAUAUAUAUAUAUAUAUAUAUAUAUAUAUAUAUGUCACCAACACUUUUUUAUACAAGUAUUUUUGUACUAAUGGUUUUGUAUCGAGUCAAUGCCUUUUUUAUGGGUAACUCAUACACAAUAAAGAUUACUAAGAAAGAACAAAAGCUAACAACACUAAAAAAACUAUCGAUGUCAAUCACUACAGCUUAAGUUUGUGUAGAUCUAGCUUGUGUAUAGUUUGUGUGCGUUUGUGUGUGUGUGUGGUGUGGUGUGAGUUUAUGCUUAAAUUUAGAUACUACAACUUGUAUUUGAAUUAUUGAGGCAUCAUGUCAUAGGUUUGGAACCGCAACAAGCAUUGAGUUUGUUCGGCGAAGGUCGGUGUGAGUCUUUAGUGGCUUAGACACUCAAAAUACGCAGGGGACACAAUUGAUUUACCUUGGUUCAAGGUUUUGAGCACUAUAUCCAAUAGUAUGAUUUAUCCUGAAGGAUCAUCUCGUCUACUUGCUCUACCUGCUCGUUGGACUCGGGUGAUACACUGAUGCCAAUCCACCGGUAUGAGCCAGACGCCACAGAACUCGAGGAAUUCAUGCUUUUGUGAAUUGGGUGCCAUUGUUAGUGAUAAUGCAAUUAGGGACCUUAAAAUUGUGGAUGAUGUCCUAGACGAACUCGCUCAGACUUGAGAUUAACGAUGGGUUGGACCUUAAUGGCAACCAAGCGGUGGUCGAAGCCCUUGAGAGCCUUCUUGAAUUCUCCAACCAUGUCGAGGCAUGAACCGCAAAGGGGUUAGGUGAUCAGGAUAGUUUGGAGUGCCUACACGCAGAAGGAAGGCCUGUUGGACAAAAAACUAUGUACUUCAUAAGAGGUCUUAAAGAGGUGAUUAGGAUAGUUUGGAGUGCCUAGCACCCUCAGCAUGUCUUUAAGAGCUCUUCGCUGUUAACAAGGGCCAUCAAUCGCCUAGUAAAAACUAUGCUAGAACGCCUUGCUUACCAAAGCCCUCGAAGCAGCAUGGUGCUCACAAAUAUUAGCAUGGAUGUCAUAGAGAAGGGCCUUCCCCUCUCACGAGCAUGGACAUACUUGAGGAGGACCAUUGAGGCGCUCUGUCUAUACAGUUGCCCUUCCACGAUCUUAUAGCUUUUUGCCCGGCAAACUAGGCAUCGAGCCUCAAUGGGAUCCUCCAAAACGAUCCUUUAGUUGAGGAAGUCGAGGAAGGGGCUGAUCUAGCCGCAUUCACCAUCCACUCCUUUGUCCUAUGGGUUAGACGAGCCAUCUGCGUGGUCAAGCAUUACCUCCUUGGGCCUACCCACCGCUCGGUCGACCAUCUCAUCUACGGGGUUGGCCAACAUCUGGUUGGGUUCAGCUCCCUCAUUGAGUGGAGUCGAAGGGUCACCAUGAGUACCCAAGGAGGCAUUAGAAGAACAACUACUUGUUUUUGUGACCAAUAGUACCUUGCUCUCUAGGCUCAGUUGCCCAUUCGCUUGGUCGACAGGGCCCUCUAAGGGUCUGUUUGCUGUUUGGUUGACCAAGCUAUUCAUGGCGCUAGUCGACAUAUGGUUGGGCUUGACCUUCCCCUCGAGUCAGAUCAAGGGGUUGUCAAGGUCAUCCAUAAAGAUGCUAGGUGGAGGUUUUCUUUAGGUGGAUGACAACUUUGCAAGGGCAUCAUCUUCCUCUUUGUUGUAUCGAAGGAUGCGAUGGAGUUUGAUUCCACCGAGUUUUCCUUUCAGCUUAUAGACCACCUUGUAGUAACUAGUAAGCCUCUAUCUUCUCAUCAUGGCAGGACGACUCCUUCAUUACCUUGUUGAUCACCAGCUCUGAAUCCCCUUGGACAUAGAGACAACGUGCCCCAAGGGCGGUCACGACAUGUAUUCAAUGGAGGAGUACUUCAUACUCGACGACAUUGUUAGUAGCUUAAAAGUGAACCUGAAGGGCAUACCUUAGCUUGUUGCCGCUCAGGGAUACCCCAGCCCCUGGACCUCCAUGCAUUAGGGAACUAUCGAAGUACAUGGUCAAAUAUUCCUGCUUGAUCAGGACGACAAGGUCUGCUCCUUUGUCUAUUCUGCCAGGAAGUCGACGAUGACCUAAGAAUUCAUGAUGGUGCAAGGGAGUUAAAAUUGUGGCGCAACUUGAGCUUGCUGAUGAGCACUGUGUAGAUCAGCUUCUAGAUUGGAUUUGUGGGUAGUGGGUCUUGGAUUAGAAAAGCAGAUGAAUCCUUCUCUUGCAGCAGCUAGCAGAUAGAUCUAUAGCCCUGCGAUUGCUCAUGCAGAUAUAUGACAGAAUCUGAAUGUUUCCAGGCGGCAACGGUGCUAACUCUGGGAAAUGGAUGCUCAAUAUUAUUCUGGUCUGACAGGUGGCUGGAUGGCUGGACUAUUAAAGAGAUCGCGCCUCUGAUCUUUGCAUCGGUGGGAUCAAGAAAGAGAGGAGCAACAGUAGCCGAAGCCCUACAAAACCACAAUUGGGUGCGCCAUAUCACUACGCCUCUGACAAUGCAGGUGCUCCUGGAAUUUGAUAAGCUAUUCGACAUGGUGGAGCGCUUCAGCCUAUCCGAUGCUCCAGACACCUUCACCUGGACGCUCUCAGCUGAUCGUGCCUACAGCGCGGCAUCGGCCUAUGGAGCAAUGUUCCUGGGUUGUUCAAUGCCGUUAGGUGCCAAGCAAAUUUGGAGGACUGUUGCUCCGCCGAGAGUGUGUUUCUUCUUCUGGCUUGUCCUGCAUGGUCGCUCUUGGACAGCUGACAUGAGAUUUCGACACGGGCUGCAAACUUCCAAUACAUGCAUUAUCUGUGACCAAGAGGUUGAGACCAUAGACCAUAUCCUACUCGGCUGCUAUUUUUGUCGACAAGUGUGGGAGCCAUGGCUAGCCAAGCUUGGUGUCCAAGGGGUGGUCGUGCUAUGUGAGGAACCAACCAUGGAGUGGUGGAUUAGGAGCAGAAAGCUUGUCCCAAAGCUUGCUCAUCGUGGAUUUGAUUCACUGUUCUUUCUCAUCAGCUGGAUGAUCUGGAAGGAAAGAAAUGCGAGGACUUUUGGGGGAGCCGCGGUUUCGCCGAACGAAUUGCAGGCGAAGAUCCAGGAUGAAGUUCAGGCUUGGGGCCUGGCUGGUUUUAGGCAGCUGUUGGCAAUUGCUCUUUAGUUCUGGUUCUGCCUUCGUCGCGCUUUCUUGCCUAGCCCCAAUUUGUAAUCUUGUAAUCUUGUUUGAGUGUCCUGCAGCUUAGGAGCUUGGGUAACCUGGGAUUACCGAUGCUCUGAGGGCUCUGUAACAAAACUCCUUUCUCCUUAAUGAAAUACAUGCUUAGGCAUGAUUGCUAAAAAAAAGAACAAGAUCUAGCUAGAACGAACUAGAAGGGGCUCAAAUUGAAGCUGCAGCGUAUGAUGAGAUAAUAAGAAGGUAAAUCCUCAAUCAGCUCGAGGAAUCUACACCGUCCUUCUUCUAGCUCGCAAAUUACUAGAGCCCGAUCGAAACACCACGAACAUGUAUUAUUAUUCAUAACAGCUUGCUGCCUUCUUUAUAUUAGUUAAUCGAUCGAUUAAUCCUCCAAAUUACUAGAGCCUCGAUUUUUUGAACACAGUUUAUUUGCUUGCAGGGCGCUGCAACCGAACCAUGGAGGAUUAACUAGCAAACGAACGAUAUCUAACGAGAUUAAGACGCAAGCAAAUCACUUUAUAAUUAAUAAAUCAACUGCCACCAAUAGCUGAUAAAAAACCACUUCAUAAUCAGCUGCCGCCGAUAGCCGACAAAAUACUGCUUUAUAAUCAACUGCUAGUGAGAUUGCAUCAGCAGCUAAGGAAUGCGAUAAAACUGUGCUAUGUAGUAGCUAGGACGAUGAUAUUGCACGGGGAGCAAUCAUAAAGUGUGUGCCAUGGUGUACGUUUGACAAUAGCCUUUGAGGUGCUUGUGCACUUUUUUGGAGAGCUGGAAAGAAGGCUAUAUAUAUCAAGUUUUUUUUGUCGUAACGGUUCCUUGAUGUGCAUCUCCUACAUAUAUAACAAUGAUGAGAUAUUAAAGCACAAAAAUGUAUACUUUUAUUUGUGAUGGUGGAUAGAUAGUGCAAUAACCUGUUGGUUACAAUUUUUAGAAUAUGUAAUUGUGGGAAUACGUAAUAGAGUGAACUAGAUAGUACUUAUCUUUUCUAGAUACAUAGACAGCUUUUAAAUUACUACACAUGAUCGAGAUUAAGGAGGGCUUCUCACAUGGCUCUACUUCUUCUACAUCGGAUCAAGCCAACUUAAGCUUCGUUCGGUUUUACGGGAAUGAUUCCCAGCCACAGACUUCAUUUGCAAUUUUGAACUAGUCGAGAACUAUACUGUUCCACGCCGUUCCCAGCUCAUUCCGACGUAACCGAACAGGGCCUUAAGGGGCAGAAAAUAAAUUUAUUUAUUUAUAUCUAUAUCUAUAUCUAUAUUUAUAUUUAUAUCUAUAUCUAUAUUUAUAUCUAUAUCUAUAUCUAUAUUUAUACUGAAGCUUAAGCUUGCGUGCACGUAGUUGACUGCAUGUCCCUUGCAGAACACUAUGCAUGCGUGUGUAUAUAUGGAGAACUUAUUUGUUUGUAAGAAGAGAAAAAAAAACAUUGGCAGCAGUCGCUUAUUUUUGGGGUUAAUUAACAUUGGAUCAUAUUAUAAGUUAUUCCAAAUCGUCGCUUAUUAAACAUUUUUUAUUAAGCAUCGUCGCUUAUUUAGUUCAAGUGAGGAAACAAAAAUUACAUUAUUCCUUCAAAAAAUAAAAAUAAAAAUAAUAUAUAUAAAUACUUUCUGUGACCAGUGUGACCACAAACUAUAUAUAGCAACAAAAAAGUUGUGACAUCAAUACGCAUGCAGAAGCUGUUGUUAACGUUACUCUAUCCCUAAGCUUUCUCAGGAAGACCGAAUGAAAACUCUUACUAGGUACACACACACGCCCUGCUAUUUUCUGAUGAAAGGGCUGCUGGGGGAACCAGAGCGGUGGUUUCGUAUAAAAACAAGGGUUCAGUUGCACCGCUUUCGCCUGAUAACACCACUUCAUUAUUUGGACGACGGUGCACACAAUACCAUUAAAAGCUUGCUACGCCUGCGAAACAUGAAAUCAGUGAAGAUGAUGAUAUAUCCAGAACUUGGAAUCAAUAUAAUGAUCAUGCAUAUAUCCAAGGACCUUUUUGUUUUAGCUUUGGAAAUGAUUCAUUCAUGAUCGCUCAAAUUAAUAGCUGCUAGGGUAAAACCAUUUGAUUUCUUCCAACAAUCCAAUACAUGGAGGUGACUAGCUAGGAUGGGAGUGCAAAAUUAACUAAUUUAUCUUUCAAUAAUCCGUCCCAAUAUAUGCAUAUGGAUUAGAGGCAAUUAUUAUGUAUGUUUCCUAAUAAGUCUAGCUAGGUCUCUCUCUCUCUUAAAGUUUCCUCUAGCAGGGAAAACAAUUUUUUCUUCACUGAUCCGUAUGAUAUAUAGGAUCAAGAACCCAAUUCUGUGCACGAUAAUAUUUUGCAGUUAAAGCUUAGGGCAUCAGAUAAUCCUUUCCAUCAUCCACAUGAUUAUAUAGGGAGAUUUUUGCUGAUCCAUGAGUUGCAACUUGAGUGCCAUAGAUACACACCGGCCAACUUGGUUACUGCAUAUUGGUUUCGGCUUAUAAUCGGGGUCUGCGGUCGUCCCACUGUUAGAAUCGAAAUAAUCCCAUCAAACACUUUUCAUAAAUUGUUAAUACUUUUCACCGUAUGAGACACAUUCACUAUGAGAGAAUGAACCAGGACGAGUUAUGUUUUCCGUGCCACGACCAGCACCACGGUUAGGCCGGCCAUGCAUGGUACCAUUACCGCACCGCGCGGCCCAUCCCACUACGGUCCCAAACACGUCUGUGCCACGUGGCGGUCGUAGGCCACGGUACCGUUACUACUGUACCAUGCGGCCCGUCCCACGAUGGUUCCAAACACACAAAUAAUAAAUCGCUCUCGCCAUCUUCACAGAUGAAUGCUUCUCUUUUGCAGCUGCUAGCAGAGAUCAGAUCUGCAGCCCCUGCAGAUCGCUCAUGGAGAUACAUGACGGAAUCUGAAUUUUUAGCUAGAACAAGAUCUUGGUAGAACGAACUAAAAGGGUCUCAAAUUAAAGCUGCAUUGGCAUGUUCGGUGAAUCCUCGAUCAGCUCGAGGAAUCUACACAGUCCUUCUCUAUAGCUCGCAUGAUCUAAAGAAGAUCGAAACACCACAAACAUAUAUGUAUUAUUAUUCAUAACAGCUUGCGUUCUUUUGUUAAGCGAUCGAUCGAGCUUACAUGCAUACACUCAUAUACCUCCAAACUAAUAGAGCCCCGACUUAACACAGUUUAUUUGCCUGGCUGCAACCGAACCAUGGAGGAUUAACACUAGCAAACGAACGAUAUCUAUCUAGAUUAAGACGCAAGCACGCCGCCGUCGGCGAUCGACCGGCGGAAGGAGCCCUAUAGCUGCUCCUCCUACUCCUCCUUCUCUUUCUCGUUCCCCUCCUGAUCCUCCGGCUGCUGCUCCGGUGAUGGCGGCACGGCUGGCUCGUUCAGAUCGAAGGGCAUGACGACUUGCUGCGCCGGCCUGUCCUGGUGCUGCUUGGAGAGCCAGUAGCAGCCGAGCCUGCCGCUGUGGCUGGCGCGGUGGCCGCCGAGCGCCUGGCGCGUCUCGAACUGGCCCCCGCAGCGCUCGCACGCGUAGCGCAGCUGUCUCCCGUCAGCGGUCACGGCAACCACCGGCAGCUCGGCCGGCGGCGCCAUGCCGCGCCAGGCGCGCUCCGGGUGGCUGCGCUGGUGCCCGUGCACGGCCUUGCGGCAGUCGAAGCGGCGGUCGCAGACGGGGCAAGGGUGAGGCCCGUCCCCGGACUCGUUCUUGCUGCGGUUGCGGGACGCCGCUUUCUUCUUGCGCUGCUGCGCCGCCGCCGGGACGGCGUCCGCCUCGUGUGACGACAUGGGACGCCACGGACGUUUCGGGUCCUCGCCGCCGCCGCCGCCGGGUGGCGCGCCCACGCCACCGGCCAGGUACUGCCCGUACACCAUGCCCAUGAAGAACACCUGAGCUUCGUUCAUAGCACUCCUGCUCUACAGGCUAAGCUCCGCCUGUGUCAGCCGUUGCUCGUGCAACGGGAGACACACAGAGGGUACAGACUGCUUGCUGGGUUGUGAGGGGCACUGGAACUCUUGGCAGGUGGGCCCUAUAUAUAGACCUCUAUGUGCCGUGGAUCCUACUUCUCGGUCGGCGCGUCCUUUCGUCCCACCUUCCUCUUUUAUUUUUUAUAUAUACUUUAUUAUCUAUUAUUUUUUUCUCUAUAUCUUUUCUAUUUACCAUGUGUUUCGAUAACUUUGUAGACGAGCCAUUAGCAUCUAUAACACCUUAUUAGUAAAUUUAUUUGCAUUUAUAGUUACCUUAAUUAAUGAGUAUGUGAUCCUCUUAUAUAUAUGAUUGUCUAUACGAUCCAUAUAUAUAUAUAUAUAUAUAUAUAUAUAUAUAUUGUAUAAUUACUUUUUUACUAGUGGUUUGCAUUGAGUCAAUGUUUUUUUGUUUAGGAUGGGUGAACCAUACACAAUAAAGAUACUUUAAGAGCUUCUCUGAGAGUUCCUAAUAAAGACUCCCAAUCUAGAAUUUUUUUUGUAAGAAUAAAAAAACCCAUCUUUAGGUGUUCCCAAUCCCACCUCUCAAUCUUUUGACACGUAGAAAAAAUGUCUAAAAACACGGAUACUUGUGCGCGUGCAAGACGCGCGUAUCAGUGUCCCAAUCUAAGGUAGAAGGGUGUGAGAAAGAAUAAAGAACAGAAAAGAGUUUCUGAUGUAAAUGUAUAAGAGAGAAAUAAUAUCUAAAAGUGGUUAGGAUAAUUUAGAAAUAAUAUAUGAUUCCUGAUAUAAAAUUAUCUUCUAUAUUUUAGGAGUGAAUUAUUGAAAACUAUUGGAGAUGGUCUUAUUUAUUUCUUCUAAUAAUUUUUGGCAAGUUUGAAAACUCUUUGGUUUUAGGAAAAAAAUUGUUGGAAACUCUUAGAGAUGCUCUGAGAAAGAAAAAAAGCUAACCACACUAAAAAUCUAUCAAUGUCAAUCACUAUAGCUUAAGUUUGUGCAUGUAGUUAGCCCUAUGGUCCCUUGCGCACCUAAGGUCAGUCUCAAUGCAUAUUUUAUAAGAGUGUCAUGCACAUUAAACAGGGUGCCACAUAAGCAAAAUUGUUGACUUGACAGGGUUAUUAAAUGAAGUAGUUUCAUCACAUAAGAGAGGAGUUUCAUCCCCAUGGAACUCAUGUGGAUCGGUUACCUAGUUUAUAGUCUUGGUAACUGUGGUAUGAAACUAUGCAUUGAGAUUGGCCUAAUAUCACACUCCCAGAGCUAGAGUUGCCUCAAACAAAAAGUUAAAGAAAUAGAAAUUAAAGAUAAGAAGAAGCUAAAACCUAAUAUAAGAAGAUGAAAUCAUACCUAAUGGCGCCUAAUAGACCUUGAGCACCAUCUAUAGAUCCGUAUAAUAUUCAGGAGACCUUUAGAUCACGAAUGCAUGCAUAGCGCGUUGACAAGCUGUUUGGUGGAGCGCUUGCCGCCUGUGUUCGAGCACUGCUCAACACAAAUUCGUAGCGGGUUUUUCUCCAGUUUUCUUUGUAGAUUCAAGUGCAAAUGCCCCACAAUGGUCAAGGUAUCAUUCCCGUUAGGCUUGGAGUCUAAUGAUCUUCAAGUACGAUUAUAUUUAUCCUGGUUCAGGCUUUUGAGCUAUACGUCCACCAGAAUGGUGUUCUUCAUGUUAGGAAUGCCCUACAUCUAGCAGUAUGAUUUAUCUUAAAGGGUCGUCCUAUUUGCGUGCUCUACCGAAUUGUUGGACUUGGGGUGAUAGACAGGUGCCCAAUAUGCCUGGAUCUGGAUGUGCUAGGUGUCACAUAAGUCAAGGAACUUGUGCCCUAUGAACUGGGUGCCACUUUUAGUGAUAAUGAAAUUAAGGACCCCAAACAUAUGGAUGAUGUCUAGGACAAACUUACCGUGCGCUUGGAGUUGAGAGUAUGAUGGGUCAUACCUUGACCCACUUGGUAAACUUGUCGACGGUGACCAAGAGGUGAUCAAUGCCCCUGAGAUCCUACUUGAAUUUGGCAACCAUGUCGAGGCACCGAACCACAAAGGGUCAGGUGAUUGGGAUAGUGUGGAGUACCAAUGUUGGGAGGUUGGUCUAUUAGGUGGAAAACUAGGACCCUUAGUGCGUCUUUAAGAGGUCUUUGGCGUCAAUGAGGGCCAUCGGCUAGUCAAAACCAUGCCAGAACACCAUGCUGACUAAAGCCCUCGAAGAAGCAUGGUGCCCAUAGAUAUCAGUGUGGAUGCCAUAGAGUAGAGCCUUCCCCUUGCUAGCAGGGACACACUUGAGGAGGACCCCCAAGGUGCUCUGUGUGUGUAGUUGCCCCUCCAUGAUUUGUAGCUUUUUGCCCAACAAACUAGGCAUCAGGCCUUGGUGGGAUCCUUCAAGAGGAUCCCUUGGUUGAGGUAGUUGAGGAAGGGACAAUCCAAACACAUUCACCUUUCGCUCCAAUAUCCUAGGUCAGACAAGCCAUCUUCAUGGUCAUGCAUUCCGUCCUCAGGCCUACCCACCACUCAGUCGUUCAUCUUAUCUAUGGUGUUGGCUAGUGUCUAUCUAGGUUCAACUCCCUCUUCAAGUCAAGGGGUUGCCGGGAGCACCCGGGGAGGCAUUAGAAGAACAAUGGCUUCUAGUGGUGACCAUCAAUACCUUGACCUUUGGGCUUGGUUACACAUUUGCUUGGCCAACGAGGGCAUUUGGGGCCUGUUUGCUGUUUGGUUGACGAGGCUAUCCAUGAUGCUAGUAGGCACAUGGUUAGGCUUAGCCUUCCCUUUGAGUCAGAUCGAGGGGUUGACGAGGACAUGUAGAAAGAAGCUAGGCGGAGGUCUACCUUAGGUGGAUGUCAACUUUCUCCUUCCCCUUUGUCGCAUUGAACUAUGUGAUGGAGUUUGAUUCCAUUGAACUUACCUUCCAUCUUAUGGACCUCCCUAUAGUAAGCCUCUAUGUUCUCAUCCUGGUAGGAUGACUCAUUCAUGGCCUGGUUGAUUAUCAUUAGCAUAGAAUCUCCUAGGACAUAGAGGUAGCAUGCCCUAAGAGCAGUUGUUGCAUGUACUGACAUUGUUAGUAGCUCAAAAUGAAGCUAAAGGGCAUACCUUAGCUUGUUAGCGCUUGAGGAUAUGAGCAAUACCCUAGUCCCUGCACCUCCAAGCAUGAGGGAGUUGUCGAAAUCCAUGGUCCAAUAUCCCUGCUUGAAAGGGAUGGGCAGGGUCUGCUCCUUUGUCUAUUUCACGAGGAAGUUGGCGAGGACCUAGGACUUGAUGGCGGUGCAAGGGACAUAGCAUCUGUUAAGGCCCAUAAGCUCCAAUCACUACUUAGCGAUUCACCCAAAGGAUUUGCUAUUAUUGAUGACAUAUCCGAAGGUGCUAGAGGAAACCACCAUGAUGAUGGGGUGACUAUUGAAAUAGUGGCACUACUUGAGCUUACUAAUGGGCACAACGUAAAGAAGCUUUCUAGACUUGUGGGUAGUGGGUCUUUGAGUAAAAAAGAACAUCACUAAUGGAGUAUACAGGUCUUUGGACCUUGAGGGCAUGCGCCUUCCUUCUCAUGCUUGGCCACCGGGGAUGUGCUUACGGCACACGCACCAACCGUGAUGUACAGAAGCAAGUCUCCCAUAUAGUUGUCAUGCGAGGUGGUUAGGAAGUUGUUUAGCCAGUCAACAAACUAUUGAGCUUCUUCCUUCCACUCGAAUUGCUUAGAUUUCUUCAAGAGUGUAAUGUCUCGCCUCCACGAGGCCGGGCUUCUUCCUUCCACUUGAAUUUCUUAGACUUCUUCAACUUUGUAACGUCAUGUGUCCACUCUUAGACCUCUUCAAGAGUGUAACGUCCCGUCUCCACGAGACCGGACCUGCUUACAUUUAGUAGCUUUUCUAGAACAUAGACUACCCUCACAGACCAAUACUAGACUUUUCUGCACAUGUUGUCCUUACUCGUGUCCAGACCCGCUUACAUCUGGUAGCUUUUCUAGAACAUAGACUACCCUCACAGACCAACACUAGACUUUUCUACAUAUGUUGUCCUUACUCGUGCACACCUAGGAAGAACUUCCAGGUCGGUCACCCAGCCCAUAAUUUCUUUAGAUCAAGCAUGCUUAACUUUAGAGUUUUUUAGAGAUAGACUACGGGAAAAGAAGUUGCAACUUAUUGUUAUGGGUAUCCUAUUAAUCCUAUUAAGCCCUAGGCCAUGAUGUUACAUCCUUACUCCCUUAAGAGACUUACGUCCUCAUUGGUCAACCCCAAGUCAAGAACGUCCCCUCUUGGCCACGUCCGUGUGUCCAAUGCUAGUGCAUGUUUCAUGUUGUGUGACCACUUCGGGUCCACACCAACCAUGCAUACUAUGCCUACACAACUACAACGCACGUGCCCAUGAAACCGUGAGAGUUGACUCUAAUACCAUUCUAUAAUGUCCCGCCUACAUGAGGCUGGCCCCCGCCUCCACGAGGCUAGGUCCACUUACAUCUGGCAGCUUUUCUAAGAUAUAGACUGCCCUUACAAACCAACACUAGUCUUUUUUGUACACUUUGUCCUCACUCGUGCGCACUUUAGAAGAACUUCCUAGCCGGUCACUGUGGGGGUAUAAACCCCUAUACCCUUACAGCUAGACUUCCGCCAGGAGGCUUGGCCCAUUACGAGACGAGUUCAAGGCUUGAUCCGACAACCUGGAGUUUCGCGCAAGGAAACAAGAUGUGGAGAUUAAGCAGGAUUCUAGUCGGUUAGAAUAGGAAUUGAUAUCGAAUUAUCCAUGGCAAUUGUAACCGACUAGGAUUAGUUUCCAGAUCUGUAACCCUGCCCUCCAGACUAUAUAAGGAGGGGCAAGGGACCCCCCUAUCAUAUCAUAUUCUCUCAACACAAAUCAAUACAACCAGACGCAGGACGUAGGUAUUACGCCAACUCGGCGGCCGAACCUGGAUAAAAAGCUUGUCCGUGUCUUGCGUCACCAUCGAGUUCGUAGUUUGCGCACCGUCUACCGAUAAACUACUACCGUGGGUAUACCCCAAGGUAGACUGCCGACCAGCUUUCGUCGACAGUCACAGAUCCUAAAAGUUCUCUAGGCUAAGCAUGCUUAACUUUAAAGUUCUUUGAAGAUGGACUUUUGAAAAAGAAGUUGUAACUUAUUGAUAUGUGUAUCAUAUUAAUUCUAUUAAUUAAGCCCUGAGCUGAGAUGUUACAAAGAGCUUGUAGGAUGGCAUCCCACUUCAUCGAGGUGUGAGACCAUAUGACUAAGUGGUGCCAGCAGGCACCCUAUGAGCCUCUGGGCUCCUUUAAGGUUCCUGACUGGUUCAAUGUUAAUAACGGGAGAGAUUUUGUUGGGGUUGGCUUUGAUGCCUCGCUUGAACAUGAUGAAUCCGAGUAGUUUCCUAGGUGAGACCACAAAGAUGCACUGCUUCGGGUUGAGCUUGAUCCGGUUGGCUCAGAGGUUUGACAACCUGCGUGGAUUAUGCGAAUGAUUACCUCGCUCGCUCUGCUUUGACCGUGGCCAGGUACGCACAUAUGGCUCCCACACCUAGAAGGCACCACAUACGACUACAUCAUCUUUCGGCUCCUUCCACUACUACUUCAUCUUCGCUACGGACAGCAUUGAUAACAAGCCAACUAUGAAGCAUUUGGAGAUGUGAUUGUCCAACUGAUGGAGAUUCUAUGGGGCACCUGCCAAUCGAUGACAAAUUCUAGCUCAUGGCAUAUAUAUGGCUAUAGAAAUAGAAAUAUACUAGGCUACAAAAAUGAAUAAAAUCUGGCAAAACCUAGCUAAACCAGUUUUCUUGGGUCUGUACAUUUUUUGUACAUCAGUUAUAAGGGAAAGAACCCACAAGAAAUAUAGCCAACAAACAGAGAUAGGUUAGCCCUGCAUCUUUUCUCUGCUUGUUUUUUUUUUUUGAAGGAGUCGAAACUCUGCUUUUCUUGCAGCUAUUAAGGUCUUAUAUUACAGAUGAGCUGGGGAUACCAGGGACACAGUUCAGCAACAAUCCUCACAUGCACCCUAGCUAGAAGCAGGUUUAAUUAAACUCAUUCAGCCAAGCCUGCAGCGUCUUGGUUACUACCAUAUACCUGUUGGUGGUGCCACCAGAUUGGGAAAAGCUCGCCGUACGUCGAUGGGUCAGCGCGGCGCAUGUCCGCUGAUGUCGCUCCUAGCUAGCUAUAGGACACAUCACACACGUACUUGCUUUGGCUUGAGGCUCCAGUUGGGGACCGCGCUCCCUCGCCUGACUGAAUCCUCCUCGUGCUUCACGACGGGAUCUCUUAAGAGCAAGGCUAAUAAUACAGCCCAACUACUGGCUGUAAGGUUUCUUUAUAGCCUUCUUGCAGCCACUCAUAUAAUGGUUAGCUCAUCACUAUUAAUAUAUGGGUCUCUCUGUUCUUGUGUCUGAGCCGGCUGUAAGCUUACAGCCCGGCAGGCCGGCGUAGCUUUCGGACUCGGGAGGGACGGAGGGUCGUCGGAGGCCCUGGCUGCCGGGCAUACAUUUCAGCUUGAGUUCAGGAAGAAGUAACUACGCAUAUCAUAUUACACAGCGGUGAAAUUAAAGUAAACAGGAUCGGAAUUGACUGAAGCAGCAGGAGCAGGGUAUAGCAGGCAGGCACUCCAGGCAGCCGGCGGCGGCGGUGGCUACGGCCGGGGCCGGUAACUAGCUAGCUAGGCAUCAGGGGCCCCGCCCCCGCCUGGCCGCGCGGACGAUGGCGGCGGCCUGCGCCAGGGUGAACGUCUCGACGAGGAUGUGGUCGUAUCGAGGGUCCACGUGCAUCGUCAGGAAGACGUCGGAGCGGUAGCCGUGGUGCGCCUUCACGGACUGCUCCGACGCGAAGGCCAGCCUGCACCGCUCGCACGCGAACGUCAGGCGGCCCGGGCCUCUGACGGGCUCCAGGUCGGCCUCGUGCGCCGACUUGAUGAGGCGCCGCCCGGGGAACGCGGGAUCGUCGUCGUCCCCGUCGCUGCCGCCCGCGGCGGCCAUCGCCGCCGGCGGGUGGUGCGGAACGACCGGGCCGGCCACGCUCAUCGUCCUCGUGCGCCGAUCGUGGAGCUAGUGUCGGUCGGAUCGGAGCUGCUAGCUAGCUGCGUUUGUGGCGUGAGUGGUUGAGAACACGGCGGCCGGAGGAGGAGAUCGAGUUCCAGCGACCCGCGAGAUCCGAUCGAGGAGAAAUGGUUUUGGUUUUGGUUUUGGGAGCUAGCACACCGCCGGCCGGGAGGGGGGAGAUGAGCAGUGUGGCGUGGCGUGGCGUAUUUAACUUUAGAGCUAGCUUGUUGUAACCUAGCUAUGCGCGGUAUGCAGCCCACCACCGAGAAGAGUGUGACACUGGUCGUCGUCGAGUGGACACUGGUCGUUGGUCCCACACUUACGUCAGAUGACGUCACGCAUUUAAUUUUAAUUUGCAUUGUGCUGAUAAUAUAUCAAAACACACAGCGCAAGAAAUAGAUGAAGGAAAAGAAGAGAAGCAGGAUGUAAUGUGAAGGAGGCCUGAGAAAAAAAAAAGAUCUAAUCAACAACUAGCUAAUACCAUGCAUGGAAAUUAAAACCCCACUUUAUGAGUCUAUAUCUUGUUUUCCAAGUAGGUUGGGUAGCCACCGAACAAGUACACGAGUCUCCAAUUAUCCAUAUAUCCCGCAUACUAGUCGACAAAAUCAUACUUUUUGAGUAUAAAAAUGUCGCAUUUAGAAGUUUCGAAUAGGUGGCUAACACGUACCAUGACGACAAAGAAAACGGAAAUAGCCACAUUUAAUGAUUUUUGGAAUGACGUUUAGUGUCGCGACAAGUAUAUCAAAAUCCAUGACAUGAACAAUAUACUACUAAUCAAUUCUUCGACAACAAACCGACAAAAUCAUCGAUCAUUGAGUUGACUUGUUUCCUUCGUGUGAUAAACAACAAGCGCCAAAAAUCCCUACCCCAGCUGAUACUAAGACCGAUAUGUCCUAUCUUUAUGAAACAUACCUAAUCCUAAAAUAUGUAUUUUACUUCUUGAGUUUUCUUUGAAUUUGUUGUAUUUAGUUAAUACCUAGUUUAAUUUCAUAAUUUAUUCCAUUUAUUUACUUGCAUACAUAUUCUAUAUGAAUUAUCUAAAUUACUUUCAAUUUCAUUUGUGUUCCAACAUGUGGCUCGACACUUGAUUCACCACAUAGAGAGACAUCCCUUGGGUUCAAUAUAAAUUUUGAAUAAAUCAGUAAAACAACUAGGAAAGAAAUUAAGUUCUUAAUGUGGCCACUAUAUAUAUUUCUCGCUUACUAUAUUUCUUGAAAUGCCCCAAUUAACCAACUCGUACUAAUGCUUAAAGACUAACAGAUAUAUCAGUAGGAGAUACUUAUAGGACCUCAGAGUAUGUACAGUGUAGCACUGACAAACUGUGCAUAUAUGCUAAAAAAAAUAGAAUAACUACAUCAUAUCAUACUAAAAUGGAUGUACCCCUAUGGCCACCCUUGUGAUUUUUUUUGGGAGGGAGGAGGUUGGGGGGGGGGGGGGGGGGCAAUAUCGCAUUAUUUGUGAUAAUAGGACAUUUUAGGAGCAAUGAACUAAUGAGUUCACGACAGUUGUUUCUUAUGUUAUCACUUGCUUCCUGUGUGUGCGCGCAGUAGAAGAACACAAUAUAUGGGUUUAUAAUCCUAGCUAUUAUUAAAACCGAUCGAGAGAUCACAUCACCGAGCACAUCAUAAUUAAAACAUAUAUGGCAGGUUAAAUUUUUUUAGAUAUUAUUAAUUGAACGAAUCCUCGUCAUAUACUGAAGGUAAGCCAACAGCGGCAUCAGUUGUGGAUGCGAUAGUGGCCAUGAACAGCCUUCAAGGUGGGGAAGUGGCGGUGGCAGACUGGGCACCGGUAAGGCCUGUCCCGAUCCCGAAUAGGGUCGUUAAUCAUGUGCAGUGCUGGGCCGUCGUCGUUGGCAUCGUGCACCGCCUUGGGGUCCCAUGGGCGGCGGCUUGGGUCAUCGCCGGUGCACCCUAAUGCUGCCCCGCCGGCGAGUAAUUGGCCAUAGGCCAUGCAGAAGAGGAACACCUGCACUCCGUUCAUAUAUAUAGCUAGUAGGGCAAAAUGAGAGAUGGAGAGAGUGGACAGUUGGGACGAAGGAGUAGUGUAGGUUAUGAGAAGCACCGAGUAUGGGUAAAUGACUUAUAUAGCACUGUGUGUUUCAGGGUCAGAGCUUGCUAAUAGCCUAAAGCAAAAGUCUGAAGAUCAAGCUAAAACGCGUACGUACCGUAGCCAUGCAUAUUGUGCCUCUGGUAGCCAUAUUGUGUUUUGUUUUGAAUGGCAACAGGUCAAAAGAUGUGUAGUAGUAUAUAUAUGGUAUCUCGUACAAACUAGACACCUUAGUUCUUGACAUCAGUAUAUCCCCUAACAUCUAGCUUGUUGCUUUUUGGACUUCAAAUUAAAGCCAUAGCAGAAAUAUAUAUGUCUCUAUGCGCUCCAAGACUAAAAACUCAUACAACAUCUUAUCACGUUAAAUUAAAAGCUGCUGGAAACUCUGAUUUCUAUAGAAACAGUGGGCUUAGUUUGGAUUGACUCGUUGGCAAACACCAAUUUCUUUGGAACGUAAAUUUUCACAUGCAUGCAUAAGGAAGUAACUAAUCCAGCAGACUUGAGAAAUACACCAUAUCCUAGGCCUUGUUUACUUCCACCCAAAAACACAAAAUUUUUCAAGAUUCCUUGUCACAUCAAAUCUUUAGACGUAUGCAUGGAGUAUUAAAUAUAGACGAAAAUAAAAACUAAUUACACAGUUUGGACGAAAUUGACGAGACGAAUCUUUUGAGCCUAGUUAGUCUAUGGUUGGACAAUAAUUACCACAAACAAACGAAAGUGCUACAGUGUCACGAAAUUUUGUCGUUGAGGAACUAAACAAGGCCCUAGAAUAUAUAUACUUUCUCAGAUAUAGAUUAAGGGAGAGUGGUAUAUGACUUUAUUAUAUAUGUCCUUGCAUGCUCAAUAAGAUCUAUGUAUAGCAACGAUGGCACCAUGCUAAUUCAUGGAAAUUUUCAUGCUGCAUUUAUUGAUCCGUGGAGAUUUGCAUCCAUUAAUUCACCUAUUUAAUCAGGCUUUUGGAUUCAAACAUAUGUGUAAUCUGGGAUAAAUUCUAAACUCUCUAUUCAUUUCUAGGACAGAGUGAGUAAUUAAUUAGAUGAAAAUGAGCUUGAAAGCCUUUAAAUCAAUAAGUAUAUAAACAGGCAAGUCAGCUAAUCAUCUCAAAACAGGUGCAAUCAAGAGGUGUUGUAGUUAAAUAUCCAUUAGUAACACAUUUCUGAACAUCUCUUUCAAAUGCAACUAGGAAAACUCAAAAAAGUUAUUUAGAACAAGCCCUUGGAAACAUUGUAGAUUGGACCAUGAUUGUGUUGAUGCAUGAUUAAAUUAUAUUUUGUGUUAAUAUACUCUUUAGAUAUCUCUAUCUUUAUAUCCCUAUAUAUCUAUCUCUAUCUUUAGUCUUUAAUAUGUAAUCUCUAUAUCUAUAUCUCUAUCUUUGCUGGAACCUUGUUCCAUUAUUAAAAAAAUAUCUAUCUCUAUUUAUAAUUUCUAUCUCUGUCUCUAUCUCUAUAGCUAAAACAUGGCAUAUAGAUAUGUCUGUGCGAACUAUUUUUACAGUGGUGGCCCCGGAACGUCGCCCCGCUUGCCCCUACAUGGCCCUAAAUAUUUUUUUACCACCGACAAGGAUUCUAUCUUUUUCUGCUAAAAAAUAUUUUGUUUGUAGGAAAUUAUUACACUCGGUAUAAUAUCUAAAUCUCUAUCUCUAUCUUGAAUCUCUAUCUCUAUUGAAACCUUGUUCCAUUAUUAAGAAAAAAUCUCUAUCUGUACCUUUAUCUGUAUCUGUAUCUCUAUCUCUAUCUCUAUCUAUAUCUCUACAGCUAAAACGUGACAAAAGAUAGCAUCUGCACGAAAUGUUUUUGUGGUGGUGGCUCCAAUCUGUCGCCCCGCUCACCCCUAGGCAGCCCCUUCAGCAAAUCCAAUUGCCUCCUCCAACUUAGCUUCUCACCAACACUAAAGAUUCGACCACUGACAAGGAUUAUGUCUUUAUGUCUAGUAAAACAUAUUUUGUUUGUAGAAAAUUAUUACACUCGAUAUAAUCUUUAUAUCUCUAUCUUCAAUCUCUAAUCUCUAUCUCUGCUGCAACCUUAUUCCAUUAUUAAAAAAAUCUCUAUCUCUAUCUCUAUCUCUGUAGCUAAAAAGUGGUAGAAGAUAUCAUUUGCGCGAACUGUUUUUGUGGUAGUGACCCCAACCCGUAGCCCCACUCGCCCUUAUGUGGCCCCUUUGGCAAAUCACGUUGCCUCCUCCGACCUAGCUUCUCACUAAUAAUGAAGAUUCGACCGUCGACAAGAUUCUGUCUUUCUUUAUGUCUACUAAAACAUAUCUUGUUUGUGAGAAAUUAUUUUAAUUUGUGCAUGUCUUUCUUUAUGUCUACUAAAGCAUGUUUUGUUUGUGAGAAAUUAUUUUAAUUCAUGCUCAUUGAGUUUUAUCGAAUACAUAUCUUAAGAAUGCGAUGACACAUAAGCAUCCAAACAUUAUUUCUAUUGCUGAUUGGCCCUAGCAUGGUCAACUGAUUGCCUUCCAAGCCAUGAUGGUAUCGAUCUUUGUGUGACAAAUUGCCCCAUAUGUGCUCUACAUCUUGGUGGUGGCCAUGUUUCCCAAAACCGUUUAAUUUAUGUUAUUCAGUAUGUCUGCUGUCAUUCUAUGGAUCUCUAGCCGAUACACACUUGAGACAACAUAAAUCUGGUAGUUUAGUGGGUGUCCCUGAGGGAUUGUAAUACCCGAUUUUAAGGACAAAACCAGAUAUGCACCAUAUGUGAGUCUUAGAAGUCAAAUCUCAUAUAUAGCUACAACUACAAAUAAGGGGUAAUAUCAAAAGACAAUGCAUAAAUAUAUAACGUACUUAGUAUAAAAGAGAUAACCUUUGAUAGCAACAGCGGAUAAACAACUCCAAACUUCGGGUAUUAACUUCUCUCUACAGGAUCCAACUGACUGGUUGAUCACAAGCCUAAACUUCUCCUGAGGUUUGGGGGAGAUAGCAAGAGUGAGUCAAUGUCGAACUCCACAAGUAUAGCAACUAGAUUGUAUAGCUUCCACAAUCUCAUGAUCAAUGUGACAUAAAUAAUGUAGAGCAUUAAACAAUAAAUAAUGAACGUAUUAACACACAAAAAUCAUCACCCUUAAUGUAGAUGUCCCCAAGGCCGCUCAUGACCGUGAGCUCGGCUAGUAUACUAGUUUUAACACUCUGCAGAGGUUGUACAUCUUUACCCAUGAGUCAUGUUUUACCCUUUCGCCCGAGGUCGCGAGUCUCUUAACCCAAUUCCUAGGGAGGCCGGCAGGGAUCACUAUGAAGCCUUUCAAAAGUUCGUCUAACAUGUUAGGGCCGCAAGGUUUUCUUAGCGAGCAGAUAUAGAUACCCCCUUCCGAAUGGCACAUUGACGCGCAGCCUAUACACAUAAGGACAGAGGCUCGCACUAUACCCGUGUCGGUUAAGCCCCUCUAGCGCCCUUUCGGGUAACCUCUAACAAGCUAGAAAAGGUCUUCAUACUAAGCUAAAGCCAGAGCCAUUAUAGCCCUCAUGGUUGCACUGUUGUCCCGGUUAUCACUUACAGAUAAAUCAUCAAGUGGCUAAAAAGUCAUUUUUAUCGUUUAUUACUUAACAUUAAUCUAGUCACAGGAUCAUGAUCACAGAAAUAAAAUCCAAAUGCUAUACUUGCCUUAAUCCAAUUGCUCUUGCUGAUCCUUUUGGUUCUGCUAGUCUUUACUUGUUAUCCAAGCUCUGAUCUUGAUCACGGAAGUACUCUUGUUCACCACGAAUUUCUCACCGUCUAAAUCCGAUCAUCGAUCAUCAACACACAAACAAUCGGAGACAACAAACACGAAGCAAACAAAGCUACAAUUAGAAUAGUACACCAAUCAUAUAAAAACAGUAUGAAAAGUUUAUAAAACAAUUCUACGCAUCGCUACAAUCUCACAGACGUAAAGAUCACGAAAAUCAGAGCUAAAACGGAGAAGAUAUGAAUUUUCUAAGAUUUUAUGAAAAAAAGAAAUUAAUUAAUUAAGGUCACGAAAUUAAAAAUUUUCAAACUGGUGAAUUAAGUUUACUAACAUGUAGAGCUCAUUAAUACGAAUCCAACGCAAUUUGAACGGGUCAAAACAGAAUUAAAAUGAAUAUUGUAUAAGCAAUUUAAAUCUGAUGGCAAAAUUGUAAAUACUUUUUCUCCUAAGCCGAUCCAGAAUACGUCUUUAGAAUUUGAAAACGUAAACGGGGAAUACGUAAAGGACCGCGGGUUAUAUUAUGAAAAAGAGCAGGGGCUCUUUAGCAAGAUUCGCAGUCGAAGGGGUACGGGCUAAUCGUAGCCGUUGGAUCGCGUUUCAAAGGCCCUGAAUAGAUCCUAGAGAGAGAGAGGGUCGCCGGCCGGAAUAGGGCAGGCGUGGCAGCGCCAUGGCCGGAGACUCGCCGGAGUUCGGCAUUUGAGCGAUUCCGGGCACUAAUCGACGCGCCGAGAGCAUGGGGAGAUAGCGGGGGUCAACGCGAGCUUACCAAGAGAACUUCGAAGGCUCGGGGAAGACUUGGAGGUAGUCGGCCACGCAAUCCAGCGGACAACGGGGCCCUGCACAUGUGAGGAAUCUUGCCUACGAGCCUGUCUCGGUCGUAUAAGGCUCAGUUCAUUGGAUGGGUUUUUCUUGUGAAAUGUAUGUGCCAAAAAGGUAAAGCUUUCAUGAGUGUCUCUAUCACUACUGGAAACUCGAAUACUCAUAUGUGUGACCAGUUUUUCUAUGUGUUUUUUGAUACACGUAGAAAAAAUAUAGAGCCUAUAAACCUACAGCAUGAAAACAGACAUAAAGGUUGAUGUUAUCUCAAAAGCACAUCCUAACGUGGAUGCACAUGGCGGCAUAGGGCAGCGCAGGGAAGUACCUUGUCUUUUUUUGUCGAUUGGCACUGGGUUAAUAGUGAUAGAUGUAGCUUUGCUCACAUGUAUAGAACAUAUCAAUACUUCUCAUCCUUUAGUACUUGUUGUUCUUCUACUACACAUGCCAUCAUGUGAAAUUUUAAACUAGGCAAACAUUACUGUAUGUUACUUACAAUAUUAUAAGAUUUGUUGUGUUGUAAUGCGACUACAGUAUAUUGUGAUGUGUAAUGAAAUCAUUAUAAGGAUAAUAUAUAUUUAAUAUGACAUUGCUACUGUUUAAAAAUAAUUUUUUGUGCAUUUAUUUCUUUUUUUCUAUGAGUUCAGCUAAACCAACGAAAAAUGUAUUCUGUGCAUGUAACACUGACAAAAAACUAUUUUUGACGAGGAACCGACAAAAAGCACAAUUUUCUGUCAUUCUAUUUCCAUGGGUUAUUUUCUAUUGGUACAUGAUUAGAAAAAUAUUUUUCUAUCGGAAUUCAUACUUUUUUUUUAGUUUUUACACACAUGAGUAUUCGAGUUUUCAGUAGUGUAUUGAUGUGAGGCCUUGAUUCAAACCCCGCUAGCUGAACCUAGCAGGAUCUUUGCAUACACCCAGGUCUGGGUGGCAUGGUUGACAGCCUGUUUGAUUUAUUUGCAUUGUAUGCACUAAUUUCUCGGGGUGAUGUCCAUGUAGCGGACGGUUUAGUGGCCACCCUUUUGCCCCUCCAUGAUUUUUAAGGAAGAAGGAAGAAGAAGAAAGAGAAGGAAGGGAGAGCAUAUAUAGGAAGAAGAAGAAAGGGAAGGAAGGAAGAGGAAGACCAAGAGAAAGAGGAAGAAGAAGGAGCCCGUGCUAGGUUCAUGUGCUGCAUCCGCCAUUGGCACAAAGAAAACACGUUUUUCUUUGUAUGUUAGUUGUCCAAGAACAAGCAGCGCUGUUGUUGACUAGAUAUAAUAACCUAGUGAAACGAAGAAGAGGAUAAGACGCCAGCUUCCUGCUUAGGCCCUUUUUGGUUCCACCCCAACUGAAACUACAUUCAGUUAGAUAAUUGCCAAAACUAUUCUGUGUAGCCAGCUAUAGAUAAAAGAGAAUGGAGAUUGCACUAAAGGAAUAUCGCACUAAUUUUUGGCCUGCAGCUAAACAUGUUAGGAUCCUUAUAUAUUUUGUUCUAAAUUCUGAAAAACAACUUGAGAAACACACUUCCUUUCUUUUUUACCAUAUAAACAUAUUAGUAUUCGCAGUUUAUAUUCAUCUUCCUUUCAUGUCGUGUGUAUAUAUAACUGAUGACGAGCAAGCAGUACCCCGUUACCAUGAAUUCUUACAUUAAUAACCAUGCAUUAUAUUACCAGCUAAGCUACCUGACACAAGAAAACAAAUGGUCCUCCAAUCCCAAAAAAUUAAAGGUUGUUAGCAUCGUGCUAUCAAGGUUCCCGUGAAUAUAAUGCAGCUAUAUACUUUGUCUGUUCGAAAUUAUAAGUCAAUCUAAUAACAUUCCUAAAAAAUCAAAGUAUCAGAAAUUUGACCAAAAUUUUUGAAAGAAUUACUAAGAUUUAUAACAUCAAAUGGAUAUACUAUCAAAAUAGAAUUAAUAGAAAAAAAAUCUAAUGAUACUUAUUUAGUAUCAAAAAACACUAUUAUUUUAUUGCAUAAAUUUGGUCAUACUUGAAAUAUAGUGACUCUUUAAGAAAGUUAGAAUGAUUUAUAAUUUGGGAUUGAAGAAGAAUAGAAUGAGAGCCGACAGCAGUUUUCAUUGAUCAUCUCAGUACAUAUACAUGUUACAACACGUUGCUCUUUGGCAACCGCAAGUGUACAUCGUGGAACAAGUCUCACGUCGUGGCCGCGUCCGUCGCCUGGACGUUGGCAUGUAGCGUGUAUCACGCUAUACCAUAACCCCCCCCCCCCCCCCCCCCCGCAGUUUGAAGAGUGGCGCCGAUGAGGAGAUUCACCCCCCCGUGGUGGAAUGGUUCAUGGGCGCGACACAAAUACUGGAGCGGAAGUGUUCGAACUGAGCUGUCGGAAGUCCCUUUGUCAUGACGUCCGCGAACUGUUCGCCUGUCGGAACGUGCAGCACUCGGAGCUCACCGAGCUGAACAUGUUCGCGAACAAAGUGGAUGUCCAGCUCGAUAUGCUUGGUUCGCUUGUGGUGCACCGGGUUCGAUGACAUGUAGACGGCGGAGACAUUGUCACAGAACACCACCGUCGCCUUCUGGACAUCGCAGCCGAGUUCGCCGAGGAGCUGUCGUAACCAGAUGCAUUCGGCUGCAGCAUUUGCCACGGCGCGGUAUUCGGCCUCAGCGCUGGAACGGGACACGGUUCCUGCCUCUUGGAGGACCAUGAGAUGAGGGAGUCGCCCAAGUAGAUGCAGAACCCGGACGUGGAGCGCCUGGUGUCUGGACAGCCACCCCAGUCUGCGUCGGAGUACGCCGUGACGUUGAGGUCGGACGACGCUCGGAGAAGGAGACCAUGCGACGUUGUCCCGCGAACAUAUCGUAGAAUGCGCUUCAGGAGCGCCAUGUGAGGUGCGCGGGGGUCGUGCAUAUGUAGGCACACCUGUUGCACGGCGAAGGCGACGUCGGGCCGCGUCACCGUCAAGUAUUGAAGCGCACCAGCGAGGCUUCGGUAGUGGUGAGCAUCAUCCACGGCGGGUCCAUCCGUGGACAGCUUCCCUUUGGCAUCCACAGGCGUGCUUGCCGGCUUGCAGUUCGUCAUGCCAGCACGUUCGAGGAUGUCCUCGGCGUACCGAUCUUGGGUGAGGUAGAAGCCUGCAGCCGUGCGCUUGACGUCGACGCCGAGGAAGAAGUUGAGGGUGCCCAUGUCGCGAAUUCUGUUUGAAGAAGUUGGACGAUGUGUUGGAGAAGAGCCUCACCGGAUCCAGUGAGAACUAUGUCAUCGACGUAGAGUAGUAGAUAUGCGGUGGAGCCACCAUUCCGAAGCACGAAGAGGGAUGUGUCGGACCUGGUAGCACGGAAGCCAAGUUUGACAGCAUACUGGGCAAACCGUGUGUACCAUGCGCGCGGCGCUUGACGCAAGCCAUAGAGAGAUUUGUCGAGAAGGCAGACAGCAUCAGGACGGUCAGCAUCGAUGAAUCCAGGUGGCUGCUGACAGAGAACAUGUUCGUGUAGAUGUCCAUGGAGGAAAGCAUUGGAGACAUCAAGUUGUUUGGUUGGCCAUUGGCGAGAAGCAGCAAUGGUCAGAACAGUCCUGAUUGUCGCAGGUUUGACAACUAGUGAGAAUGUCUCUCCAAAGUCAACUCCGGCGCGUUGAGUGAAUCCACGGACCACCCAUCGAGCUUUGUAACGUUCCAGUGUUCCAUCAGGUUUCAGUUUGUGUUUGAAAAUCCAUUUGCCCGUGACAAUGUUUGCACCGGACGGACGAUCAACGAGACACCAGGUGCGAUUGCGCUGUAGUGCGUCGUGCUCGGCGGCCAUGGCAGCGCACCAAUUGGGAUCUUGGAGAGCAGCACGAACAGAUUUGGGAAUUGGUGAGAUGGAUGUUUGAGUGCUGGUUAAGGCAUAUCUGGGAUUGGGUUUGACAACUCCAGCCUGAAGUCGGGUGACCAUUGGGUGUCUGACGGGUGCUGGAGAAGAGAUGGGUGGGGAUGCAGGAGGUGUGUGUUGGACAGGUGGAGAUGUGGUCUGUGUUGUGGUUGGAGAGGUGGAGGUCUGGGUAGUUGGUGAUGAGUUUUCCAGUGGGAUAAUGUUGGUGGGUCAUGGGGAGACCUGAGUUGGAUGUGGUGCUGCUGUUUUCUGAAGAAGGAUUGGAGCAUCACACGGUGUAGUGUCAGGAUGGUCUAUUGUCGGAUUUUCGUCAGUGGGGGAAUUCUAAAAUGGGAAUCUGGUUUCGUCAAACACAACAUGUCGUGAUGUGAUGACUCGGCAUGUUUGAAGAUCGAGACACCGAUAACCACGAUGAUUAGAGGGAUACCCAAGAAGAACACAUGGCGUGGUGCGAGCACUGAGUUUGUGUUCCAUUGUGGACGCUUGGUUGGGAAAACAUAGACAGCCAAAAACACGAAGAUGAGCAUAAGAUGGGGCGACGCCGAACAAGAGUUCGAAGGGCGUUUUGGGUCCACUAGCUUGACAGGGGCGUAGAUUGAUCAGAUUCGUGGCCAUGGAUAGCGCCUCGACCCAGAAUUCAGUUGGCAUGCUGGCGUGGAUAAGCAAGCUACGAAUGCAGUCAUUUAGUGUGCGAAGAAUUCGUUCGGCCUUCCCAUUUUGGGAGGAAGUGUAGGGACAGGAAAGGCGUAGAACGAUGUCAUGUUGCUCACAGUGGUGUCGAAGAGUUUGGUUAUCAAAUUCCUUGCCAUUGUCUGUUUGAAUGGCUAGGAGAGGGAGUUGAAACUGUGUCUGAACAUAGGCACGAAAUGCAAGUAGGCAGGGUAGUACAUCAGAUUUUGCACGAAGGGGAAAUGUCCAUGUGUAAUGAGUAAAAUCAUCGAUUAUUACAAGAUAGUACUUGAACCCUGAAAAACUAAGUACCGGAGAUGUCCAGACAUAUGCGUGGACAAUUUGAAAGGGAAAAUAGCUAGCUGAAGUGGAAUGGGAAAAGGGAAGCCGAACAUGUUUGCCUAACUGACAGCUAUCACACACUGGAGGAACUUUGCUAGGAACAAAAUCAACAUGACGAAGGGUUUGAUGAAGAGCAUGGCGUCCUGGAUGUCCAAGGCGUUGGUGCCACAGAUGUGAUGUUGGUGCGGUGGUGACGAGCGCCGUGGCUGAUGGUGGGUGUAGGGGGUAGAGCUCGCCACGACUGUUACAUCGGAGGAGCACCGUUUGCGUUGGACGAUCCUUGAUAGAAAAACCGAAAGGGUCAAAUUCGACACUAACAUUGUUGUCUUGAGUAAGUUUGCGAACAGAGAUGAGAUUUUUGACUAGGGGAGGUGAAAUAAGAAUAUUGUUUAGUUUGAGAGGAGAGGAGGUAGCAGGGAUGAUUGAAGAUGCGUGGUGUGUGACUGGCAUCGUGGUGCCAUUGCCUACUAGAAUAGGAGAUGAGCUGAAGACAGGGUGGGAGGAGGAGAAUUUACCAGAAUUGGAAGCCAGAUGGGAGGAAGCGCCCGUGUCCAUGUACCAUUCGGCGGUUUGAGGUCCCGUCGAUGGUACGUUCGCCGUCAUCAGAGCGGCGAGGAGUGCUUGAUUGUUCCAUACAUCAGGUGUUGGAGUUGGUGGUGGAGGGUACGUGUUGGGGUCGCCGUUGCCGUGGAAGAAUGCCUGAUGUGGUGUCGUGCCGGGUCGAGGUCCGAGCACGCCGCCACCAGGCGGGCGGAACGGCAUCUGCCAGGCCUGGACCAUGCCCGUCUAGGGGUUUGCGCCAGGAGGUCCAUGAGGAGGCCGGUAGCCGAAUUGCUGUCCACCGAAUUGCUGAUGAGGAAAGCCGCGACCGCGGCCACGUCCACGCCCCCCUUUGUUGUCGUUGCGCGAGGUCGGUCCGCCAGUGUUGCCGGAGACAGGAGGGGGUGCAGGCGGGUUGUUGUUGGAGGAGGACCCGCCUUCGCCCGCAGUGGAUGACGACGAUCGGGAUCCCCCGGAUCCCCCGGCGGUGAGGAGAGCAUGCUGGGCUGAGGUCUUGGCGUGCUCUUUGUCGUAUUGUUCCUCCAGAAGAAGAUAGGACCUGGCGGAGAGGAAGGUGUGUGGCGGUUGGCGCGACGUGAUGGCCGGGAUGGCAUGGCGGUACCUGGAGCUGAGUCCGCGGAGCAUGGUGAGAACUUGACUGGUCUCCUUGACCGGUUGGCCGACGUCGCGGAGGGCAUCGGCGAGCUGCUUCAGGCGACCGGUGUACUGGGUGAUGUCCAUGUCCCCUUGAACGAGGUUGCGGUACUCAGCUUCCAGAUAGACGGCGCGAUGGAGUUCGUUGUCGCGGAAUUGAUCGUGGAUCUUCUGCCAGAUGCUGUAUGCCGUGGCUUUGGGGGCGCACACGAUGUUGCGCACGUCCUUGGAGAUGGAGAUGUAGAUCUAGCUAACGAUGCACUGAUCAAUGACGACCCAGUCCGGAUCGCGGCGUUGAUCGAUGGUUGGUGCCACGGACACAUGGGGAACAAGAUUGAAUUUGCCGAGAAAGGCGUCAAAGAAGCAACGCCAUUCAUCAUAGUUGGGAUUGGCAAGUUCAAGAACAACAGGAACAUGAGAUUUGAUGUUCACAGUUUGGAGAACUGCGACAGGAGGGGUGGGGGCAUCAGAACCGGCGCCGGCGGCGAAGGACAGGCCGGCAUCGGAAGAGGAGGAAGAGUUGUCGUCCUCGAUGUCAGCAUCGAAGAGGGGAUUGAGAUCCAUGGAAGAGGAUCAGGACGCAGCAAGGUGCAGCGGCGGCGCGGUUGGCGGUGAGGGCGCGGCGAGAGUGCGGCGAGGCGGAGGAUUUAGGCAAGGAGAGAAACCUGGACAGCUGAUACCAUGAAGAAGAAUAGAAUGAGAGCCAACAGCAGUUUUCAUUGAUCAUCUCAGUACAUAUACAUGUUACAACACGUUGCUCUUUGGCAACCGCAAGUGUACAUCGUGGAACAAGUCUCACGUCGUGGCCGCGUCCGUCGCCUGGACGUUGGCAUGCAACGUGUAUCACGCUAUACCAUAACAGGGAUGGAGAGAGUAAGUAAUAAGCAAUAAUGCAUGAUAAAUGGACUUUUUAUUUUGUGCAUAUGCAUGCAGAUCUCAUGUUUGAACAAACAAAUACAGUAGUCGAUAAUAUAUAUAUGAUUUUGAACAAGCCAACAAGCAGCUGGCACACGCCGCCACUUGACACGAUAGAUGUAGUAGUAAGUAGGAGCCACGUACAUACUACGGAAUUGACUGCCGACGAUCAACAGCUAGCUAGCUAGCUAGCACGGGACGUGUGUGUUCCAAAGCUGCUAGCUAGCUAGCAGGAAGAGGAGGGAUGCUCUGCUCAUUCCUGAAGAAGUCGUGAGGAUCCACCUUGCUCUUCACGGCCGCCAGCCUAUUGAAAUUGUCAUUGAAAUACUUCUCCCCCCAAACCCUAGCCUUGGCGUAGCUGGUGACGUUACCAUCCAGCUCGUUGGUCCCUAGGUCCAGGUCCCUGCAGUUCACGUACACAGCUCUUGGGUUCUUGGACACAUAUGGCGUCACAUCGUCAUGCGCUCCCCUCACCCAGCUCGUCAUCCGCUUCUCCAACUCCAGCGCCGCCGUCCUGUUGUUGUCGUCGUCGUCGUCGAACCAGACCGCGUAGAGCUGCAGCUGGUAGAGGUAGUUCCGGUGCGGGAACGGCGUCGCCGACGGCGAGAUGCUGCCCAUCCGGCCGCCGUAGGGGUCGAGCUGGAGCAGGGACGUCGACGCCUCGGGCUUCUCGAGCCAGUUUGACCAUAUGCUCUCCCACGCGUGCCUUGGCAUGGCCUCCUGCACGUAGUCGGACUUCACCUUGAGGUGGUAGUAUGGGUUGCUGCUUCUGUUCAGGAGCACCUCCGGCGGCAAGUCCGCCGUGCCGUAGAAGAAGAAGACGGUGGAUUUCACCCAGCUCAUCUCCUGGCAGUCCUGUUCCGCCAUUCCUAGGUCCGGGAAGUGACCUCGCAUGGUGUCCACGAGGCUGCUGCACCGGCCGAGGAACUGGGCGACGAAGUCCGCCUGCUGGUUCUGCACCAUCACGCGGAGGUACAGGUCUCUGGGGAGGGCCGGCGCGAUCGCCUGCCAUUUGGUUAUGAGGUCGACGGCGGACUCGUUCCUCCGCCGGCGGAUGCUGAACACGGUGACGGUCUCCGUCACCGGCACCAACCGCACCUUCCAGGACAACACGACGCCGAAGCUCUCGCCGCCGCCGCCUCGGAUGGCCCAGAACAGGUCCUCCCCCAUGGUGCUCCUGUUCAGCAGCCUCCCCUCGGCGUCCACCACCACGGCGUCGAGGACGUUGUCGGCGGAGAGGCCGUAUUUGCGCGACAGCACGCCGAAUCCACCGCCGCUCAGGUGGCCGCCGAUGCCGACGGUGGGGCAGCUUCCAGCGGGGAAGCCGAGCGUGCGGUUGGUGGCGGCGGCGGCAUAGUAGAGCUCGCCGAUCGUGGCGCCUGACCCGACCCAGGCCUCGGCUCUCGAGGCGUCCAUGUCGAUAGCGCGGAGCGCAGCGAGGUCGAGCACAGCGAAAUCCCGCCGGUGGGGGUCGACGGAGGCGUAGGAGAGGCCCUCGUGGUCGUGGCCGCCGCUGCGCGUGCGGACGUGGACGCUAUGGCGGCGGCCACAGAGCACGGUGGUCUGGACAUGGGCGGGCUUGGUGGCCGCAACGAUCACGAGCGGCCUCGUGCAUGUGUCUGGCUCUGGCAGGGCGUAGCGGAGGUUCCGGGCAGAGGACAGAAGGACCGAGGAGUAGCUGUUGUUUGCUGGGGUGUAGAUGAGGGAAGGCGGAAUGUCCGCGGAGAGGCAGCCGAGGAAUGCAUCGACGACGACAUCGCUGGAAUAAGCUGAAGUUCUUGCGCUGGUGGAGAGGAUGCAAACAAGGGUUACGAGGAGGUGCAAGAUUGUUGUUGGUGUUCUUGCCAUCAUUGACGCCGGCGUAAUAUUAAUUAAGUGGCAACUGUGGAGGUGGCUUGGAGCCAAGGAGAUGUAGUAUUUAUAGGCUACAGUCGAUCGUACGUGUUGUUUGUGACCUUCAUUUGCGGCUCUCUUUGUUUUAUUAAAACAUACUCCCUCUGUCUUGAAAUAAAGUGCAUUCUGGUAUUUAAAAUGUAUCCCUAAAUAUAGUAUAUUCAUCAAAGAAUAAGAAGAUAAUAUCUACUUAAAUAAAGUUACGGAAGAAGAAAGUAAUUAAAUGUUUACUAAGUACUGUAGAUUAACUAUAGUAAUAAAACAUAUUCCCGUUGUGAAUAGGAUCAAAUUUCAAUAGAUUAGAAAGUUUAGUGAGGAUACAUGCGUCUAUUACCCUCUAUCUUAUUUUAUCUUAGGUUAGAAUAGCCACAACGGGAGGGAUUUCAGAUCCUCGAAUUUUAAACUAAUUUCAGGUCCUCAAAUUUUAAACUAAUUUUAAACCCUAGACAUCUUUCUCUAGGCGGUGAAGCCUAAAUAAUGAGCACUAGGCUCCGAUACCAAUUGAAAGGAUCAAGAUGCCCAAGAGGGGGGGGUGAAUUGGGCUUCUCUAAAAAUUUAAGCAACCUAUAAGCUCCAAUUCAACCCCUUGUGCCUAGUGAGACUUAGAGAGCUACCGGAUAAAAAGUUUUGCAACCUAGUUCCAAUCCUAUUCUAGCAAGGCAAUUCUAAGAAUGUAAAAACACAAAGUAAAUGCUAGAAAGUAAAGGAGUAGUGGAAGAAAGUGCUCGGCGAUGUUUUGCCGAGGUAUCGGAGAGUCGCCACUCUCCACUAGUCCUCGUUGGAGCACCCGCGCAAGGGUCUUGCUCCCCCUUGGUCCGCGCAAGGACCAAGUGCUCUCUACGGGCUGAUUCUUCGACACUCCGUCGCGGUGAAUCGUCCAAAACCGCUCACAAGCUUGACACGAGCCACCCACAAGAACUACGGGUGAUCUUCGUGCCUCCAAUCACCACCGAACCGUCUAGGUGAUGGCGAUCACCAAGAGUAACAAGCAAAGAACUCUCACUUGACCCAAACAAGGCACUAGAGAGUGGUGGAUGCACACUUGACUCUUGGAACUCACUAGAGAAGGAUUCUCUCAAGAAAUCACUCCAAUCUCAAUCCUCUCUAGGCUCUUGCAACUCUCUUGCUCCACAACAAGUUUCUCUGAGGUUCAAAUGGGCAAGAGACCUCUCAUGGACGAGGUGGAGGAGUAUAAAUACUAUCCACCAAGUCCAAAGGUUGGCCAACCGUUUUCCACUGAAAACGGGGUCACCGGACGCACAUUAUGUUGCACCGGACGCACUGCACCGAGCGUCCGGUGUGACAUAACGGCUACCUGCGCUUCCUCUGACAGGUCACCGGACGCUAACUCUCAGCGUCCGGUGCACCGUCCGGUGCUCGGGAAAACUUUACAUGCUCCCUGCGCAUGGGACCGGACGCUACCCGGUGCGUCCGGUGCUAGCGUCCGGUGCUCAGGGGAACUUUGCAAGCUCCCUGGGUAAGGGACCGGACGCUGCCCGGUGCGUCCGGUGCCAGCGUCCGGUGCCUAACCCUAAGCACCAAACUGUUCCAACGGCUAAGGACCUCACCGGACGCACUCACAAAGCGUCCGGUGCAGCGUCCGGUGCCCCUUUGGGCACCCAAACUUCGUCGAAACGCGAACGCUCCAACACGAAGUUUGUUCCUCUCGAUCUAAGGACUAUCUCUGAGCUGCCUAGUGCUAGGUUUACCAAGUGUGCACCACACCUAAACCUAAAGUCUUGCCUAAGUCAAGCUACUAGUUCAAAACCCCUCUUAAUAGUACGGUCAAAGGAAAACAAAGUCCUAAACUACUCUAAGUGCCCUUCUUCACCAUAUGGCACUUAGACCUAGUCUAGUCUUGACGAUGUCCAUCCAUCCUUUGAAAACCGAAACGAUUUCCACUAUUAAGUAGGCAUGUACGUCCCUGUUCAUCGAGUACCUAUUUACCAUGACCUUACCUAUGACUUUGCCUCUGCAAAACACACGUUAGUCAUAGUAACCAACAAUAUCAUUAAUCACCGAAAUCACUAGGGGCCUAGAUGCUCUUUCAGUUAUAAAUGUACUACAGUACUUAAAAUUUUUUCUUUUCAUGAACUAAACAAGGCUUAGCAAUCAAAACACAGAAAUUACCCUCUACUUAACAAAUGGGCUUUAUCCCUGGUGUACCUGCCCAGUGCGUGGCCGGCAAGGCUAUUAUUUAAUCCAUGGUCAAUCGCUUGAUGUGGUCAACCAAGGCUAGCUAGCCAGCAAGGUCGUCGCGCGAGCAUGUCAAUUAGGCCUUGUUUAAUUCAACAUAAAAAUCAAAAACUUUUUAAGAUUUUUUGUCACAUCAAAUUUUGCAGCACAUAUAUGAAGCAUUAAAUAUAGACCAAAACAAAAAUUAAUUGUACAGUUUGUCUCUAAAUCACGAGAUGAAUCUUUUGAAUCUAAUUAGUCCAUAUUUGAACAAUAUUUGUCAAAUAAAAAUAAAAAUACUACAAUACCCAAAACCAAAAAAAAAUCGAAACUAAACAAUGUCUUAGUUUAAUAUACCAUUAAAAGAUUUGACUUUUUUGGUGUAAUCCACGCACAUGUGGAGUUUGAAAUUAAAAUUUUUGUUUAUCUAGGCAACUACUGCCAAUCAGCAGAAAAUGGAUUGCAGUUUUUUUUAAGAAAAAAAGCAGACGGGCCUCAGCCAGUGGUACACGUACCAGCCUCCAAGCCGGGUAAGAUACUCCUUAUAAAGAAAAUGUGCAGUUAUUCUAGUCUCAUCCGUGUCCAAGAGAGCAUACUACAUCAUAUUCGUAAGGAAUUUGACGCAAGCCACGUACGUAGCAGCUCUGGACAAGCUCUUCCCCACGACCAACAAUAGGACCGGUAGAAGAGUGCUCUUUUUGAUACCAGAGUAAGGUCGCGCAACCAUCAAUGGAGACGCCCAACUUUGUAGGCUGCAGUGCUCCUUUUAGCUCGAUUUUGUACACCAUUUAUGUAAUAUUGAAGUUUGAAACAAUUUGCUAGGACGGUCCAGUUGCAAUAAAAGAUCUCCUAGGGUGCUCAUCAGAAGUGUGUCAUUUGUAUAUAAUUAAAGUCUUCUUCUUAAUAGAAUGAUACAUAAAUCUUUUACGUAUUCUAGAAAAAACUCUAUACUUUUUAAUAUUUUAGUAAAAAAAAGGAAAAAAAGACCCUCUCGAACUGUGUGGCAAAAGAGCCUCUUAUCUUCAAAUAAAAAGUUAUUAAAUAUCUUUUUUAAUUCGUAAGUUUCUGCAGACGAGAGAACUCCUUAUCUUUGUUCCCUAGGAUAGUUUUCAUAGGCACACUUUUUUGUUAUUGCGAGUGGAGCCUGUUCGUUUGACUGAAAGACCAUAGCUAAAUAUACUAUUUGCUGAUUUGUUGUGAGAGAAAAAUACUACUGAAUGAUUGACAAAUUCAAUCGAUAAGUUCAAACAAACAUGGCCCUUGUACUGCCCUAUGUCUACCUUCUUUAUUUAAUCAAGUUCUGGCCUCAUCUUACGGAUAGGGUUGACAGGAGGCCUGUGCGCUCGCGAAUAGAGAAAUGUACACGCCUUACAGAUGAUCCAUUAAUUAUAUGUACGAUCGAAUCACCACUUGUGCAUCAGGAUAUGUUCCUAAAGUCAAAUACUGCAGCUCAUUGGACGUCAAAGUUUCGUUCAAAUGAAGCGAAAGGUUCCAAAAAGGAGAAUUAGGGCAUUCUCAAUACACAAACCAUCAUGAUUUCUAUAAACAGUAAUUGUAGUGCCACCUAAGCAUUUUACUGAUGUGGCGAGGUAGUUAUUGAAGAGAGAGAACAAAAAUCAUAGAAACUUGUCUAAGUUAGAAACCAUGUCUACACGAAAUCUAAGACAUGAAGUGAUAUGAUUGGUUGAGAAUGGAGAGAAAAUAAAUGUGAUUGGAUAAAAAAAUAUUUUAUAGAAACUAUCUAUUGAGACCAUAGUUUCUAUAUAUAGUGUUUAGGGCACUCCCAAUGCUAGAAACUAUGUAUAGUUUCUAUACUCAUUAAUUUUUAUAGACACUAUAUAUAGAAACUAUGCUUCCAAUGGAUAGUUUCUAUAGAAUAUUUUUAUAUCCAAUCACAUUUAUUCUCUCUCCACUCUUAGCCAAUCAUAUCACUUCAUGUUUCUAUGAUUUUUACUCUCUCUCUUUAAUAACUACAUUGCCACAUCAGCAAAAUGCUUAGGUGCCACUGCAAUUAAUGUCUAUAGAAACCAUGGUAGUUUCUGCAUUGGGAGUGCCCUAAAAAUCAAUAGGUAUAGAAACUGUUGAUGCAAAAGUUGAUCUGCAAACACAAAGGGCUAACGAUCCUGGAUACGUGUCCAAAAACGGUGUCAACAGAAACUAUAUGUAGUUUCUAGCAUUGGGAGUGCCCUAAGGGAUUUUGACAUUAUUUGUGGUAUCCACAAUGUGCUUCGCAAUAGGAGAUUCACAAAAAUCAUCAUCCCAGCGCUAUGUUUACAUUUGGGCUAUCCUCACAACGAGUAAUCCUCUGAACCAAGUCGCCUUCUGCCAUUAUUUUACUUUUAUUUUUUAUUUUUUGAUAAUGACCCAGCAUAUAGCGGAUGUUGUGGUACUUUUGUAUCCUUAGGAGUAGUGAAGAUUCGUUAAGAGUACUUCCUCCAUUUCAUAUUGUAAUUUAUUAUAAAAAUAUUAGAGAGUCAAAAUAUCUCAAAUUUGAUCAAAACUAUAGAAAAAAUUACAAAUAUUUAUGACAUCAAUUAGAUAUACUAUAAAAAUAUAAUUAAUAAAGAAUAUAAUAUUACUGUCAUUAUAAAUGUUAUUAUUUUAUAAUAUAAAUUUAGUUAAACAUGAUAUUCUUAAAAUGACUUAUAAUUUAGGAUAAAGAAAGUAACAUUCUUUGCACUAGCCGGUGUACCGGUUAAUGUAUUAAAUGUAUUUUUUUUUAGGAGUCAUGGAUAAAGGGUUGACUGAUCGAUUAACAAGGGAUUCCAGCCAUUGCAAGUUGCAACAGGGGAAAAAAAAGGAACGAACCAAGCCUGUAGAGCCGGAACAAGCACAUUCAGAGGUAGAAGGUGGACGAAAUGGUGAAGACGAUUGUAUUGUAGCUCCAGCACGCCGAGUAAUUAUAUAUAUGUUACAUAAAAUCUGUAUGUAAAAUAAAAUGCACCACAGUAUGAUGGGCAUCCUUCCAUCGGCGUGGUUCUAAUUUCAUCUGCGUCCAAACGAGCAUACGACGCCAUAUUCAUUGGAAACUUGACGCUGAGCCACGUGGCAGCUCUGGACGACCUUUUUCUAGCGACCAACAACACGGCCAGUAGAAGAGUGCUCUUCUUGUAUGCUAGAGGCGCCAAACUCCGUACAUUGCAGCAUUGCUUUUAGCUUAGUUGUACACCAUUUAUAUAAUACUGAAGUUUGAAACCGUUUUCUAGGACGGUCAUCAAAAGCACAUCAUUUGUAUGAUUAAACUCUUUUCUUAAUUACAAUAAUACGCAAAUCUUUUACGUAUUUGAAGAAAAAAACUCUGUAUUAUGAUAUUUUAGUAAAAGAGCAAAAAAAACUCUCUCUAACAGUUUAGCUAAAGAGUUUUUUAUCUUAAAAAUAAAAAAGUUGCCAAAUAUCUUUCAACUUAUAAGUUUUGGCAGUUGAGAACUCUGUAUCUCGACAGAGUUUUUGCGGGUGCAUUUUUUUUUUUUUUGCGCGAGCAGUCUUGUUCUAGUCCAGCGCCGCAGCCGCCCCCUUCAAGUUUGACGCGUCAAGUAGUACUGCCCUCUCUCUACCCUUUAUUUAAUCAAGUUCUCGCCUCGUCUUGGUAAUACUAGCCGCCACUGCUUGUGCCUUCACACACUACUGGAAUCGGACGCUUUGCCUAGUGUCUAGGGCACUCGGCAAACGGCAAAAAACACUUAGCAAACCGUUUACCGAGUGCCACACAGCAGAGAUGGCAAAAAAUUGACGGCAAAGCAAGCUUUGCCGAGUGUCUUUUUUCGGUCACUCGGUAAAGACCUGCAAAAGUAGCCGUCACGGCCAACCUAAUUGAGGAUCGCGGUUUGCCGAGUGUCUGGGGCCCAACACUCGGCAAAGACAUUUUUCUAAAAAAAUAAAAUUUUCAGGUUUGCCGUUUGUCCUUCCUCGAGCACUAGGCAAAGUGCCACUCUUUUACCGAGUGCCCGAUAUAAAACACUAGGCAAAGCGUUUGACACUCGAUAUAGAACGUGUCUUCGGUAGUGACAGGUGUGUUGGUGUUUGUUUUAUCCCACUUGACCCAAACCAAAGGAGUUCUCUCAUUUAAUCCCCAACAAAUCAAAAUCCUUCUUUACCCCUUCAAUCCCUCUCUCAUCUAAAGGUAAACGCGCCGGCAAGGCUAAUUUAAUCCAUGGUCAAUCGCGUGCUGUGUACCACCAAUUCUUCAUUUCUUUCUUUGUUUUCUGAUUUGUCUCCCCCCUCCCCUCCUCUUAUAGCUCUGUAAAAACGCUUCCUUUUUUGCCUUUUUAAUUCACCAGUAGAGGUGCGCCCCUCCUGUUCAUUCAAAAAAAAAAAAGGCUAGCUAGCCGGCCGGCAAGGUCGUCGUGCGAGCAUGUCAAUAAGUUUAUACCCUUACAAGAUUUGUCUUUUUUGUUUAUCCACGCACCUGUCGAACGGCCGAUGUCUGAUGUUGGCGUGCAAUCCGUUCUUGAUACGUACAGCGUAUCGCUGGGGCUUGACGGCUGGAGGAUUCCAGCCAUAGCAAGUUGCAACAGGAAAAAGAAAAAGAAGGACCGGCACUACUGGCUGUUCACUUGCUCCACGCCAUACCCCUGAAAAUGUACAGAUAGCACAUUUGACAGGAGGCCUGUGUAAAUAGAAAAAUGUACACGCCUGCAGAUGAUGCAUUCAUUAUGGAACAGGCAUCCAUGUUUAGUGCACAAGCACUUUUCAGAGUAUAGUAUGUAGUGAUCGAAUCACACCACACUUGUGCAUCAGGAUGUCCAUAAAGUCAAACACUGCAGCUCAUUGGACAUCAAAGUAGUGUUUCAUUCAAAUGAAGCGAAAGGGUUCCAAAAAUAAAGGAGAAUUCUAACACACAGGACGAUUUUGACACUUUUGUGGUAUCCACAAUUAAUGCGCUUCGCAAUAGGAGAUUCACAAAAAUCAUAGCAUCAUCCCAAGGCUUGAUGUUUUUAUUUGGGCUAAUCCUCACAACAAGUAAAUCCUCUUAGACCUUGUUUAGUUCACCUCAAAAACCAAAAACUUUUUAAGAUUCCUCGUCACAUCGAAUCUUACGGUACAUGCAUGGAGUAUUAAAUAUAAAUGAAAAAAAACUAAUUACACAGUUUUACUGUAAAUCACGAGACGAAUCUUUUAAGCCUAGUUACUCCAUGAUUGGACAAUGUUUGAUAAAUAAAAACGAAAGUGCUACAAUGUCGUUUUUCCAAAAAAAAAUUGGAACUAAACAAGGCCUUAACCAAGUCGCACGCGUUCUGCCAUUAAUAUUUUACUCCUCAGCGAUUCGCUGAGGAGUAACAUUCUUUGCACUAGCCGGUGCACCGGUGAAUGUACUAUUCAAUGUAUUUAGGCCUUGUUUAGUUUCCAAAAAUUUUCAAGAUUUUCCGUCACAUCGAAUCUUGCGGCACAUGCAUGAAACAUUAAAUAUAGACGAAAACAAAAACUAAUUACGCAGUUUACCUGUAAAUCGCGAGACGAAUCUUUUGAUCCUAGUUAGUCUAUGAUUGGAUAAUAUUUGCCACAAACAAACGAAAGUGCUACAGUAGUGAAAUCCAAAAUUUUUGUCAAACUAAACAAGGCGUUAAUUUUAGGAGUCAUGGGAUCCAGGGUUUGACUAAUUCACAAGGAAAGGAUCAUACUUUGGUUCAGAGUCAGAUGAGCAGAUAAUUCCACCAAUGCUUACAGUGGCAGAUGCAUGAGAUGAUGGAAGAAUGACUUCAGGGGGCUGCAAAAAUAAUAUUGGGAUAGUUGAAUGUUAAAUUAUUAAGCAGAGGCUGGGUGCUUUUCGUUGCAAAAUCGAUUAACAAAAUAUGACACCCCGAUUAUGCUACAUUGUUUGACCUCAAUCUUUGUAUGAAAUCUUUUGUUAGCGGGUCUUUAUUGCCGUGUGAAUCCCAUUGUUUCUCUUCACCAUAUGUUUCUGAAAGGUCAUGGUGUGUUCUGAAACUAUCUUGCUUACAAUCCACGAGUGGUAAUCUGUUCGAUGCAAUCUGAGUAGCUUUUUGCAUCCCGUCCUUGCACUCGCUGCCCUUGGGUUUUGGCAGAAUCCCAACGGACAAUGAAUCAAAAAGCAUUAUGUUAACGUAUUGAUUUUCUUGAUGGUUUUGGGGCUUUUCUUGAGGCAUUUUGACCAUGAAGGAUAUUCAGUUUUUAAGGUAGUGACAUAAUAAUUAUGGUUUGUACAUGUACUGGCUUGAUUAAAUAUAGUGAUCACCCUCCUGUUUUUUUUUUUGAGCAAAUCCAAUUAUAAGCACAUGUCACUUAGGCAGUUAGGAUGGAUAUAAGCCUGGACGAAAAACUCAGAAAGCUCGUUAGUUCAUUCGGCUCGUGACUAGCUCGACUCAGCUCGGCUGAGCUAAGAUUUUACCUUGUUAGCUAUAACGAGCCAACUCGAGAUAACUUACGAGACGCUCGCGAGCCAAAUAAGCUAUAAUUUUUUAAAAAAGUUGUCAUAACCAUACGUGGACCCAACACUAGGGCCACCCAGGCCAUGACCUUAGUCAUGGCCCAUAUACCAAGGGAGCAAGUCUUGAGUUUUUUGCCAUCAAACAGCCCCACACAAAGCAGCCCAAGCUGCAUGCAGCAGGCUAGCAGCUCCCCUCCACUCGCACUUAUUCCCUAUUUUCCAUCCUACGGAGUUUUGGUUUAACUAGAUUGGAAAUUGAGUUAUAAAUUAUGGUUAAAUAAUUGCUCAGUUUUGUACUAAAAUUAUUUUAGUUUAAUUGAAUUAGAUAUUGAGUUAUAAAUUAUGGUUAAAUGAUUGCUCAAUUUUGUACUAAAAUUACAUAUUUGCUUGGCUGUUCAUGUUCUAUUGAAUCAUCAUCAUGAUUAAAUGAUUGCUCGAUUUUGUCUAAAAUUUCAUAUUUUUUGAUUGUUCUACAAAAUUACAUAGUAUACCUGUGGUACGUUCUCAUUCAAGAUUUACUAUGCCUAAUUUGGCCCUAGUCUUGGCUAAUUCCUGGAUCCGUCACUGAUCAUAACUUAUAUUAGUUUUGUAUUACUUCAUGUCUUACACUUUAUAAAUGAUUGAUAUGUUAACUCAUAUAAAUAUUUUAUUUGACUUAAGACUAUUAGAUAUAUUAUUUUUAUAUUAUUACUAUUUUUAAGCUUUAGAAAAAUAAAAAUAUUAUAUUUUAUGUACUUUCCGUAUCUAACUCGAAAGCUUAACUAGUUAGCUCGAGCUCGUAACGAGCCGAGCCGAGCCAUCAUGGAUACUAUAUGACGAAGCUUGAAAAUCAGCUAGUGUAUCUCACCCAUGCUCUGUGCAGUGCAUACUGUGUGUCUCACACACGCAUACAAUCUAAGCCAUUAUAAAAUUAUUAUUUCCACGACUAAGGAGUUGCAAAUGUGAGAAACCACUGGGCUGGCCAUGCAUGCUCAUCGUCGCCGAUCGAGGGGGGAUCUCGGAGGCCACCGGAGCUGCUGCUAGCUAUAGCUGCAUGCCGGCCGGUGGAUUAUAUUGACGACACACGGCAGCCGCCGGCCGGAGAGAUAUAUAGCCCGACGACCGACCGAGAUCCGAUCGAGAAGAAAUGCAUGGUUUGGAGAGGAGAGCACACCGUACCGGCCGCCGGGGGAGAUGAGCUAGCUAGCGUGGCGUGUAUUUAGCUUUAGAGCUUCUACUGUUGUAACGUAUGCCUGCCGGCACCGGCAGUCCCCCCGGCCGGCCGGCCGGCACCACCACCACCACCACCACCCGAGGGAGAGGCCGGCCGCCGACGACAAGUGUGUGACACUGGUCGUCGUCAAAUGCUUACGCCAGAUGACGUCACGUGUUUAAUUUAGUUUGCGAAUAUAGCGUGUGUAUAUAUCUCAGCGAGCUAGCUCGGCUGCUUCACCACGCCGUAUGUGCCCGCCAGCCCAUGUGAUCCAUGAACACAGCACAUACUGUCACACAUUCAUCAUUUCAUGUGUGUACUAUCUACGUGUUGUGUUCACGUGACACACACGUACUUCAUGCGCGUAUAUAUAUAUAUAUAUAUAUAUAUAUAUAUAUAUAUAUAUAUAUAUAUAUAUAUAUAUAUAUAUAUAUAUUGUGUGUCACACAUUUAUCAUUUCAUGUGCAUAUAAUGUGUGUACGUACGUGUGCGUGUGAACCUGCUACACGGUUAGUUUGUGGAUGAGUGGAUUGACGACUUCGGCCGAAGAGACGACCAAUCGACCGAUCGACGAAGACUGUACCAAGAAGGAAUGGAAUGGAAUGGAGAGCACCGCUGGGGAGGGGAUCGACGAUGGGAGAGCGUACUUAAUUAAGCUGCAGAGAAUAUAACGUAUGCUUUCACCUGUGACCAAAAGUUAGAGAGAGAGGUUAUUGCUUAGGCCUUAUUUACUUCUAAAUUUUUUUUUAGUACAAUAGACACUGUAGCACUUUUAUUUGUAUUUGACAAAUAUUGUUUAAUCAUGAACUAAAUAGGCUCAAAAGAUAUUCGUCUUGCAAAUUACAGGUGAACUGUGUAAUUAGUUUUUAUUUUUAUUUUUAUUUUUUUAUUUAUAUUUAAUGCUUCACUAAAGAUUCGAUGUGACGGCUGAAAAAAUUUGUAAAAUUUUUUAGAAACUAAACAAGGCCGUUGUAACUAGGAAAUUAUUUGUGUAUAUGUUGCUUUGCAUUGACUGUGAGCAUAGCUAGGUAACAACAAGGUCUCCCCCCCCCCCACACACACACACAAGUAUUCAACAGCAACUUAGAUCUCAAAAUUUAAUGACAAAUGUGAAAUUUCCUUGAGUUGCAUAUUGUUCGAGGAACACACAAUAAUACCAUGCAUAGAAAACCCGAGAAAUAUGACUUCUAUAUAUGGAAUUCCUACAUAUAAUUUCUUAUUAAGUGCUUGGAUUCCAAAGGGAUCCAUCUCUAAAAAGAUUUGGACAAAACUUCAGCUGAACUUCAUGAAUUUCGGUAAUCUUGGAGGUGGCCAAAAAAAUCAAAUACUGAAAUUGAAAACAACCCCUAGUGAGUAUAUAUAUAUAUAUAGCCGACUGUCCUCACGAUGAUCCUGAUUAUAUGGAAGAUGUCAUGAGGAAUAUGAUCGACGACGGUAGUCAGUACUUUACUGAUUACAACGAGCUCGUGCAGGAUAAUCCGGCUGAGCAAUAAGAGGGCAAUGUGCCUGAGCAACAAGAGGGCAAUGCACUUGAGCAACAACGAGUCGUACAACAAGAAGGGAAUAUCGGUGAGGUAUGUAAAUGUAAACAUGUAUAAUGCAUCUCUUACAUUAGGUUUUAGACUUACUUGGCUAUUAAUUUAGUAUUUUUUCUAUAUAUAUGUAGCCCUCUGGAUCGAUCUCUACGGGGAGAAGCGUACCUCCACGAGGGCCAAAGAAGCCGUUGGAGGGCCGCUACAUCAAUCAAACACCCAAAGAGAUCUACAUGUCUCUUUUCAUUAUCUCCUGAAUUAUAUUGAAUAACUUAGAUAACUAAUACCUUUUUCCUUUUAUUUCAAAUUGAAGACGGAAUGGUUGAGGGAAAAUGUCAUGCAAAAAGACCGCAUCAAAGCUAUUCGAGAGACAAUAGCUGGAUUCCUCCACGAUCAAGUGAUCAAUCGGUGAGUUUCACUUCAACGACAAUGAAACUCUUAUUCCAAAGAACGAUGGUCAUUUGUAUCGGCUCUAGAGAUUCGGAGAAGAAAACUCUCUCUCUCUCUCUCUAUAUAUAUAUAUAUAUAUAUAUAUAUAUAUAUAUAUAUAUAUAUAUAUAUAUAUAUGUUAAAGGGUUAAAGGGUGGGGCUUUAGCCCCGGUGCCCUGAACCGGGACUAAAGGGUGAGCCUUUAGUCCCGAAAGGACAGUACUGGCUCGAAAACUGAGACAACAGGCCCUUCCCGACCAAUGCAAAUGCCUGAAAUGUACCACCAGUGCUUUUACCAGCGCAAAAGAGUCAUGUUGGAUUUGAGUUCCAAAUUCGGAGUUGAGGGAGAAGUCCAUCGGUGGAUCAGAGCACAGCACACACAUAUCCAUCCAACAUGCAUCAACAGAUAAUCUUAAGAUUAAUUUUUUUACUAAAUCAAAAGAACAAAGAGCUUGAUCGCAUAAAAGUUUGAUGUCAAGGAAAUCGUCUUAGUGACCACACAACAUGUUAUUGCAAUGUUUGGGCAUACUUGCUAGCACAAAAAUCUGAAAUGAAGACACUCCUUAUUUAGAUGUGAAAUUUUUUUGGAUUAUUUUGCUAUUGUAGCACUUUCAUUUAUUUGUGACACAGUUCGUCUCGUGAUUUACAGGUAAAUUGUGUAUUAAUUUUGAUUUUCGUUUAUAUUUAGUGCUUCAUGCAUAUGCCGUAAGAUUUGAUAUGAUGGGGAAUCUUAAAACUUUUUGGAUUUCGGUGGGAACUAAACAAGGCCCAAGACAGUAUAUAAACACACACACAUCUCUGUUGCUGCAGUGCUGCUGCCGCCGCCGCCGCAGCCGCCUUACUAGGGUUCAUUUUAUGACAAGGUAAAAUUAAACUAAACACGAAUUGAUUGAUGAAGCAGCAGGGGCAGCAGGCGGACGGCGGUGGCUACUGGGCCGCUAGCUAGGCAUCAGGGCCCUGGCCGCCCGGACGAUGGCGGUGGCCUGCUCUAGGGUACGGUGAACGUCUCGACGAGGAUCUGCAUUCUGCUCGUAUGAGGGUCCAGGUGCAUCGUGAGGAAGACGUCCAAUCUGUUGCCGUGGUGCGUCUUGACGGACUCCUGCGACGCGAAGGCCAGCCAGCACGGCGAGAGAGCAUGCAUGGACACUGUGUAUGUCAGGGGACCUACUGCACUUUGGCAGCACGCGACUAGAAGUGCCUUGCUUUCUCUUGCAAAGGUGGUUGUGGUCACCGAGGGGCUGAGUCACACUUGCCACUAAUUCGAUCGUAUAACACCUCGAACAGAUGUUUCUGUGAUUACCAAAUUUUUGUGGGAUUAUCUAGAUGCAGGGGACAACUUAACAGUGAUCCUUGCAAUAGCAGUUCAAGCAUAUUGACGGCAAUGUCGGUGUCUCAGCUUGCAUCCUCUGAGUGAUGUGAUCCACCAAAGUUAAAGGUAACUGGAUGUUCACUUGCAAGUUGCAAGUAGUAAUACAUCAAACAUUUGUCAUCAAGUCUUUUGAAGUGUACGUUGUUGUGUACGGCAUAAUAGAACGGAUCGUCGAUGGAGUUCAUUCUUGUACGAGUUGAUUGUACUGUAUGAUGUAGGAAACAAAUUGUACACAUUUGUAAUAAAUAAAUUGUACAAUAUCAUGUGUCAUGUAAUAAACAAAUCUAUAUAUUUGUGUGUGUGUCCCACACACACUACUCAUGCUCUGUGCAGUGUGCAUACUGUACGUGUGUGUCUCACACACCCAGACAGUCUAAAGCCAUUAUAAAAUCAUUUUCACACAACUCAUCACGAGUUGCAGAUGUGAGUAUUGAAUCAAAUGUACGGUGAACGACAACCUUCAUAUACACUGCACCCGUGAAGACUAGCUAGGAAAGUAAUAAAAAAGGUACGGUAUCACGUAUCUACUUACAUUAAUUAACCUACGUGUACCCCAAACAUUUAUACACGUUGUUGGCUGUUUUGACUCGGCGACAUGACAUUUCAUGCUUCACCACCGUGGCCGCCAGCCUGCAGGAGUGGGCGCCGGCGCACACCCCCGGUCGUCAACAACAGGUUCCUGUGUGCGAGUGGUUCACGGCGCACCGCUCUGUUGCAGUUCUCGCCGGCACGCCUGCUGCUCAUGUGCUGUGUCUACCUGUCAUAAGAUUUGAUGUGAUGAAAUUUUUUUGAAAGUUUUAAAAACAAGACCAGGGUACCGCCGCUGCCCCCAUCUUCGGCAUCGGGCGCUACUGCUCAGUCGCUGCACUGGAGGAUGGGACACACCCGCGGGAGUGCAUCCCUGUGCACCAGUGGAUCAUGGAAGCCAUUGCCAACCGGGCGUGGUCUAUAUAUGUCGACGCCAAUGCUGCUGCUAUCCUCGCUAUCAUAAAAAACUACUUUAAGGAACAUUGUAAAACGACCCCUUGAUAAUUGUUGCAUCAGUCUCCAAUUCAAUUCGAGGGAGCCCCAUCGAUGUUGCCAUUCUGACGCCUAUCGAGCAAGCCAACAGCUCAGCAUGGAGAGGAUUCAUAAGAUCCUUGGCGCCGGCUCUCACCAUUGAUCCCUGGUCAUCCCGGAUAAUAUAUCUGCAGCCCCCAUGGUCGCUAGAGCUAUCAAAGGCUCCAUCUGUAUUGAUUUUGAACACCCCGGGUGGAGGUUUGACCCAUCUUGUGGACUGGCGAGAUUCCGGCAAUAGGACUUCUCGAGGUGGUUUCUGAAAACGGUAAGCUAAGGCUUCAGAUACAUAUGCAACCUCCAUAGCUGAUCUUCUUCUUCCUUCCUACCUCCAUUUGUUUCUUUCAGUCCACCAUAUAACCACAGCUUCAGUACCACUUUCAAUUGCGUUUUCGCAUCCAGCUUCUAGGAAACACUAGAAAACAUAUUCAUAUGUUUUGCAACAUGACGUAUAGGUUGUUACUCAACUAAUUUGAUAUGAUUUGCAGCUCAAAGAUUUGUUCAAUAAUCACACCAUACAUUUUAUUUGUUUUGGAAUUCCCUAGGACCUGAGCAUCAAACCCAUUAGGUAGUGACAAUGUGAGAUGGAGUGGGAUAUGGUUCUAAUUUUCGUGGUGCUUGGUUGGGAGACAAUAAGGGGAGUCAUCCCACCACAUAAUAUUUCCCAUAUAUGCGGGGCAACCCCAUCCCUCCAAAAAGAGUAGACGAGCUCGUCUUCUCUCAUGCCAUUGCAUUCUCUCGUUGAGCUCAUCCUUGUGUGGCCGGAUAGGGAUCAGGCAGAUGGGUGCCCGCGGCUAUGGGGGGUAGGGUGGAUAGAGUUUUGAAAGCCAUGGCACGAAGGGUGGUAGAGCUAAUUCAAGCAGUGCGAAUUAGCCAGGUCAUGUUGAUUAGGUAGAUAGUGUGGGAGCAGACGAGCAAGGGCCAGCCAACGAUGUUGAGCAUGGAUCGGAUGAGUGGGAGCCAGAUAGAGCAGAGCGACAUAAAUGGAGAGGGCCAGGUUGGCUCUUGGCAGCGCAUCCGUGUGGGUCGCAUAGAGGAUGAGUGCUGGACGAUGGAGACGCCCCCGCCCCUCCACCAAGCGAGCGAUGUGGAUGGGCAGAGGCUGGCUAGGUGGCACAAUAAAUCCCACCAUAGGGUGCACAUGGACUGAGCUCGGAUGAGAGGGAGAAGAUUAGAAGGAGACUAAGGGGGUGUUUGGGACUGCUCUGCUCCACGUUUUCGAGUUCCGCUCCAUGUUUUUUAGCCAAACAGUUUCAGCUCUAUGCACUCAGUUCGAGAAAAAAGGGUGGAGUUGUGAGAGCACCUAAAGAGGUACUCCACAAACUCCAUUUUUUGUGGACCUGCUCCACGGUAGAGUUUGUGAAACAGAGUUUGUGGAGCAGUUUCAAACACUCCCUAAUAGUUAGGGUUGACAAACAAACCUAAAGGUAAGAUUGGGAGAUGACUAUUAGUUAGGGUUGGCAAACGACCAAAGAUCCAUGCAAUUCCUUCUUAUCCAUUUAACCAAAAAAAGACAACCCAAACGUAGACAUUAUGGCCUUGUUCAGUUUGCAAAAAAUUUUGGCUUCGGGUACUGUAGCACUUUCGUUUGCUUGUGGCAAAUAUUGUCCAAUCAUAGACUAACUAGGGUCAAAAGAUUCUUCUCGCGAUUUACAGGUAAACUGUGUAAUUAGUUUUUAUUUUUAUCCAUAUUUAAUGUUUCAUGCAUGUCGUAAGAUUCGAUGUGACGGGGAAUCUUGAAAAUUUUUGGUAGUUUUUGGAACUAAACAAGGCCUAUCUUACAACCCAAACGAACCCAAAAAAUUUUGUUUUUAGCUACUGUAGUAUUUCGUUUUUAUUUGAUAAACAUUGUCCAAUCACAGAGUAACUAGACUCAAAAAAUUCAUCUCACAAAUUAUAGGUAAAUUGUACAGUUAGUUUUUAUUUUCGUCUAUAUUUAAUGCUCCAUAUAUACGACCAAAGAUUUGAUGUGACGGGAAAUCUUUGUGGUAAAUUGGUAAUCACGUAUUCACACGUACACGUGUUCCCUCUGUUCUGUUCAUCUCUACGACUGCAAGUGGGCCACCCUCUCGGAGAGCAAGGAGAGCACAAACCACCACCCUGCCCAUCCAUCCUCCAUUAUUUCCCGGCUAUCCUCGCCUUGGGCUCACCCCGAAAACCAAAAAGUUUUUCAAGAUUCUUUGUCACAUCGAAUCUUUCGACACAUAUAUAAAAUAUUAAAUGUAAACAAAAAUAAAAACUAAUUGCACAGUUUACCUGUAAAUCACGAGACGAAUUUUUUGAUCUUAGUUAGUCUAUAAUUGGAUAAUAUUUGUCACAAACAAACGAAAGUGCUACGGUAGCGAAAACCAAAAAUCUUUUCGCACCUAAACAAGGCCUUGGUGGAUUUUGCUUGAAAAAGCGGCUUCCUACUCCUCGUCCUUAUCACCAACCGAACCGACAUUGUUUUCUUCCCCUUCUGGCUUCUGGCCUUCUCCUUCUACACAGUCUAGAGGCGUCUGCUCCCCCAAUCCCUUCCGCCCGCCCCGCCUGCUCGACGCGAUCCCGCCGGCGGCCAUGGAUCCGUACAAGGUACUGUUUUGUUUUUCGAUUUCGACUUCUUUCUUCAUCGAUUUUGCCCUAUGUAUUAGAUCCUCAAAAUCAAUUUCGAAUCUUGUUUCCUUCCGCCCUUGAUUGAUGCGCUCGCUCAUCUGAUUUGUGAGAUUCUUCUUCUUGCAGCACCGCCCUUCUAGCGGGAGCAACUCCAGCUUCUGGACCACCAACUCCGGCGCCCCCGUCUGGAACAACAACUCCGCCCUUACCGUCGGACAGCGAGGUCAGACUCUGCUCUGCUGCCUCCAUUACUCCUUUCCUUUUUACCUUACACGAUCCUGUAGCAUAUAUGUUCUUGAUUUGUGUGAGAUUCAUUCGAUACGUGAUCUGUGCUAGCCUUGCCAUGUGGAAUUAGUCGUUCUUUUGGUUGCUAGCUGCUCUGAUCCCUCUACCAGUAGUAUUGCACUGUGGAAGCUUGGCUGUAGCUGUUGACCUGAGGAUUUGGCUUCCAAUUCGUUCAAAGCUUGCGGCUUGAUGUGCUUUUGGUUGAUUUCCAGUGAAUAAUUUUGCUGCUCUAUAUAUACGGAUUGAUUCACCUGUCAUAUAAUUUCGUCGAUGAAUUUGAGACUUGCUUAUUCUUCCUGUGCUGCCCAAAGGUCUUAUUCCUUGGAUCAGCUGUAAGGUGAAACUUUUGUCCUGAUAUUUUCGUCAGUCGCUGUCGUACCAUUAAGUUGCUUAAGGGAAAGGGAAAGAAAGCACCUUUCCAAUACGAAAUGCCAUCAUGGAGUUAUAGUGAUAAUCUUAGGUGAGGGGCAAUUGCAGGGUGGUAAAGUCAAGGCAGGGUAAUCACAGUUGAUUAUUACUGGUGCGCAGUGUGGUAUAUUUACUUUUGACAGUUACCUGGGCUAGUGCUGAAUCACUACCAGAAAGCAUAACCUUUGGAUUUUCUCUCCUCAGCAUGUAUGGCAAAACUUUGAAAGUGAUUGCAAGUCCAGUUUGGUUCUUCUGAAUGUCAUUGUCGCAAAAAGUGUCCAUCAAUUACAGGAACAGGAUACAGCACACCUAUCUGUAACCAAUAUGUUUCUUUCGGUGAUGUCAGAAAAAUAAUAAGCCUUUUGUUUUAGGAGUUUGCUUUAUUGUCUACCUGCUUCACUUUCUGUUUUGGUGUUUAGCUAACAAUUUCUGAUUUAUUGUUUCACACGAUGUGUUCUUCUUUGGCAGGACCCAUCCUCCUUGAGGAUUAUCAUCUAAUCGAAAAGCUUGCUCAGUUCGACAGGGAACGUAUCCCUGAACGUGUUGUGCAUGCACGGGGAGCCAGUGCCAAGGGUUUCUUUGAGGUCACUCAUGAUAUCUCUCACCUUACAUGUGCUGAUUUUCUCCGGGCUCCUGGGGUCCAGACACCUGUUAUUGUCCGGUUCUCUACAGUUGUGCAUGAGCGUGGAAGCCCCGAGACCUUGAGGGAUCCACGUGGUUUUGCUGUCAAGUUCUACACCAGAGAGGUACUGAGGAUAAAUUCUAACUUGCCUCCUAGGGGGAAUAUAUAUACAUCUUAACUGUUCUAUUUUUUGUUAUGUCUUAAAAAGGAACAUUCUUUUUAGAACUGUUGUGAGAUGACACAUCUUGGCAACAUUUUUCUGUCAAUGUAAAGGUUUAGCUGAUUUCAACUAUUGCUUGGUAACUUGAUGUGUACUUUAGCCAUGUAGAUGAUGUCCUUGGCAUGAGCUGUUAUUCAGAUGAACUGAUAGCUCUAUAUUCUUUUACUCAUUGGAAUGAACUGUAUCUUUUUUUUUCCUUAGUUGAAAGCUACCUCCUGUUUAAGUUGACCUUUUACAUUGUCAUGAUGAACUUUUAUGAAAUUAAAUUCUGAUUACCUAUUUGUGACACAGAUACAAGUGUCUUUUGCUUAAAAGAACAAUACAAUGUGGCUCCAUAAUGUGCACAUGGAUAAUCACAGAUUCUCUCAGCAGAAACAGUAAAAUCAAAGAUAUUUCAUAACUGAGUCCAUCUCUGUCCAGUUUCACCUACAGAUUGCUGUGCUGUUUGUUUACCUUUUUUUAACAAUUUUUGACGCCUUAUAUAGUGACCCCGACACUUUAUAUUGAGCUUUUUAUAUCCAAAGGAAUAGUAUCUUAUGAUUUUCUCCGUGCCUUUUUCAGGGUAACUUUGACCUUGUGGGUAACAACAUGCCUGUGUUUUUCAUACGAGAUGGGAUGAAAUUCCCUGAUAUGGUCCAUGCUUUCAAGCCAAACCCAAAGACCAAUUUGCAGGAGAACUGGAGAAUAGUAGAUUUCUUCUCUCACCACCCAGAGAGCCUGCACAUGUUCACCUUCCUCUUUGAUGAUGUUGGCAUCCCACUCAACUACAGGCACAUGGAGGGCUUUGGUGUCAAUACCUACACCUUGAUCAACAGGGAUGGAAAGCCUCACCUUGUGAAAUUCCAUUGGAAGCCUACUUGUGGCGUGAAAUGCUUGCUUGAUGAUGAAGCUGUGACUGUUGGAGGUACCUGCCAUAGCCAUGCGACAAAGGAUCUAUAUGAUUCCAUUGCAGCUGGGAAUUACCCUGAAUGGAAGCUCUACAUCCAGACUAUCGAUCUUGACCAUGAGGAUAAGUUUGACUUCGACCCGCUUGAUGUCACCAAGACCUGGCCUGAGGAUAUCAUCCCACUGCAACCUGUUGGACGGAUGGUCCUGAACAAGAACAUUGAUAACUUCUUUGCGGAGAAUGAACAAAUUGCUUUCUGCCCAGCGAUUAUUGUCCCUGGAAUCCACUAUUCUGAUGAUAAGCUGCUCCAGACGAGAAUCUUCUCCUAUGCUGAUACCCAGAGGCACCGCCUUGGUCCAAACUAUCUGAUGCUUCCUGUGAAUGCACCAAAAUGUGCCCACCACAACAACCACCAUGAAGGGUUCAUGAACUUCAUGCACAGGGAUGAAGAGGUACUAUGUUCUUUGGACUUCUUUCUCCUUUUGCAUGCAAGUGUGUUAGGAUGCAUCUUACCUAUUGACACAUGUAACAUGUGGGAGUUCUUCCUUUAUAGCACUUAUAUCUAUUUUCUCUGCUUCUUUAGGUGAACUACUUCCCUUCAAGGUUUGAUCCUACCCGUCAUGCUGAGAAGGUCCCUAUUCCUUCCCGUGUUCUAACAGGCUGCCGCGAGAAGGUGUGUAUUGUAGUAUGUUUAAAUUCGAACAGUGCCUUUAUGUUAACAAUAUUAUGCUAUGGUGGGCUUGUGGCUGCAUCGUUGUACUAUAUAAUGGCGAAGGUGAGUCAUUGUUGGAUUUUUUUCUUGAUUCUGAGAACCUGGCGUGUGCUGUUGAAUCUGCAGUGCAUCAUCGAGAAGGAGAACAACUUCAAGCAGGCUGGUGAGAGAUUUCGAUCCUUUGACCCUGCCAGGUUUGCUCCCACACCUCAGGCUGUUUGGUUUACAGGCAUAGAAAGACAUUAAGCUGCUGUUUGCCUAAUUCAAGUGUUUUGGUAUCUGAUGACAGGCAAGACCGGUUUAUCCAACGAUGGGUUGACGCACUGUCAGACCCUCGUGUUACCCAUGAACACCAUACGAUUUGGAUCAACUACUGGUCUCAGGUAUUCAUUUUGUUGUUUGUUUUUGGUAAAAUGCUCAGUGGCUACUUGGGCUAUUGCUAACCAUGUACAACAGCUGCGGACAUUUGUGUUUUAUUAUCUUGGUACUGAAACCAUAUUACCUGUGUGCUGCAGUGUGAUGCCUCUCUUGGCCAGAAGCUGGCUUCUAGGCUGAACCUGAAGCCGAACAUGUAAGAUUGACAAGGAAGAAAGCAGGCGCCGGUGGCCGAGGAUGCAACAUGGAGCGUGAUGCAACACAUGUUGGAUCGUGCGAUGUUGAGAACGGCUGUUACACCUAUAUAAUCGAAUAAACAGGGAUGUGCGCGUUGUAGUAUGCUGAUGAUCGGUGGUGGUUAUAUAUCCUGGAACUUUUGGUGUACACAUCUUUUCUGGAAAGACGUAAUAAUAAAGAAGAAUGUGUCAAUGUGGUGGGCAACAGUAGCAGACGAUGUAGUUUACGGUGGCGUUGUUUUUGUCGCCUGUAAUGCAAAACCCUGCUGUGUGCUCGCCUGUCUAUUACAAACAGUGAUGAGUUGUGGCGGUAUGUUUUUGACAGUUUAUUUACUAGUGAGUACAUCUCUGAUUGAUCACGUUCGCCUAGAACCAAAGAACGUGAAGGAACAGUCGGUUCUGGUGUGGUGGUUGCCCCCUCAAAAUUCAGAAAGAACGAACAGAGGCAGCAAGGAUCCCAAUCCUAACCCCAUCUAAAGGGUCUCUCUUUGAACAGAAUUCAGAAAAGCACAGGCAAAAGAGAAGCAGCAAGGAACCCAUACAAAGGGUCUCUUAAAAGGCAGAUUUUUUUGCCAUGUUCUAGCACUACUAUUUCAGCGGUACUUUUUAACGAACGAACAAUGUUUUUCUUACAACAAAUCAGCAUAAGCAUCGUAUAGGAGUUUUACUGAAAGUUAGUUCAAUUUGACAGGAUUUUAUAAGAAUUAUAAUCAUAUAGGAAUUUUAUUGAAACUAUGAUUUAAUAUAGGGGAAAAAUAUCCUAAAUUCCAAAGAGGCCUGUAUCCGUCUGCACAUACAUUACACGGAUUCAGCAUGGCUUUGCCUCACCGUCACCGCAGCAAGAGCAAACAUGACCAACCAUGCUGCCGCAACAGAAAAACAGGCGGCCUGCAAUUGUCCAGCGGGCCGGGAUAAGUGGGCUUGCGGGCAGGCCGGCGUCCCUUGCAACCCUACUCUGCUGCCUUGUCCUUGUCUUCUUCUUCCAUCACCCCCAAGCGUGACCGACGACUGGGCCGACCGCCGCCGCCGACGACGAGCACCACCAGUUACGCGCUUCCCUUCCUUCUGGGAGAAGCCGUGCGCCCAAACCUUAACGUAGCAGGACGCUCAGCACGAGCUGGAGAUGGAGGUGGAGGUGGCCAAGUAUUCGCGGGGGCAGGGUGCUGACUUGAAGGUAAUCCAUUGUUGUGCUCUUGCAAACAAGCUACAAGUGUUAACCAUUCUACUUUAGGAUGAAUAUGCUGGCCUGCUAUGCCACUGUCAUUUUCUCCUGAAACUGCACAUUGACUAGCUUGGUUUUGGAAUGGCUCUGUAGGCGCUGCGGGACAAGAAGUUGAAAGGGCAGCUCACUGUAAAAGAGAAGCUAUAUGGCCAAUCUGCAAAAGCUGCUGCAAAGGCAGAAAAGGUCACCUCUCUUUCCAUUGCAUCGUUGUGGAUAUGCAAUUGGUGUCUCACUAGAAAUCUUAGGUGAAAUUGUGAACAUUAUGCGGGUGAAACAGAGAGUCUGAUAUUUAAAACCUGUGAUUGGUUAUGGUAUAUGUAUGCUAUUGUACCCCACAAUUGAUGUUUAGCUGUUUUGACCUCAAGGGAAUCCAGUUUGGAUGAACUGACGAAGUGAGUAUACGCACAUACAUACAGGUUUAGCAUUUUACAAGCAUUAUAUGAGUCACUGAAAGCCUGAAACAUUACUGCCAAAAAGGACAAAGCCUCAGCAAGAUCUGUAUGUUUUUUUUUUUGGGUACAUAUUGGCUUGCUAAAAGUACUAUUGCUGAGCUGAAAAGACUUGCUUUGGAGCAGAGCUUUGUUGUCUUAGAUCAGCUCCUAGCUCUUCCUCUGAGCAGAACUUGGACAUCAAUGUGGUCUCUAAUAUAACACUUUGACUAGCAAUAUUAAUAAAAGUAUAUUAUGUUAAACAGAGAUAUACGUUAUAAAAGUAGUAUUCCGAAUAAAGCUAGCAAUGCUGAUAUAGUCCUAUCAAGCUAUAUAAAUAUUAUACUCCCUUCGUUCCAAAUUAUAAGACAAUUUGGAUUUUCUAGAUACAUUUCUUUUACUAUAUAUUUAGACAUAGUGUAUAUCUAAGUGCAUAGCAAAAGCUAUGUGUCUAGAAAUGCCAAAACGUCUUAUAAUUUGGAAAGGACGGAGUAGACAUUGAUAGAUGAAGAUAAAAAGAAAAGUUUAACUUAAAGAUAAACCUAGAUGGACUUAUAUUUGUGAUAAGAGGAAGUAUGUAAAACGGCAUGCCUACCUUUUUGAAGACAGUAUGAGCUUAAAUAUGUUGAUCUUUUAGAUUUUUUUAGUUUGAUUCACUUUUCUCAUGACCCUCAUUCUUGAUGGUUAUACUCUGAAUCAGCUGUUGUUAAUAUUCUUCUUUAAUGAAAUAACAUGCAGCUCUCCUGCCCAUUUGAGGGAAAAAAAAACUGUUCUUAAUUUCAAAGAUUUGUCCUUGUCUGAUUUCUGCUACUCCGUUUUGCAGUGGCUUAUGCCUAAUGAUGGAGGUAUUUUAGAGCCUGAUCAUUUGGAGAAGACAUAUAGAUUUUCACAAAAGGAUAUAUUGACGGAGGUGGAUCUUUUGAGUUCAAGAAAACCAUUUGAUAUGAUCUUACCUGGUAAAUCUUUUAGUCAAUGUUAGUGUUCUAAGAAUUUCUGUCAACAUAACUUGUUUGUCGCUCUUGCCUAAACCAGCUGUUAACUGUUUGAUAAUAACAACCUUGUUGAUUCUAUAUGAUCCUUUAGAGUAUACAAUAACUCAAAAAAUGCCCUUUUUGCUGAUAUUUAUAGUUUUAUACAUGACACUGUACUGAAUCCAACAUGCAUGUCCGGUGCCAGUUUUGAUUGAUUGAGAAAUCUGCAUAUUCAAUUUUGUUAGCCUACCUUACUAUUAACUUUUCUGAAUAUAUGAUUACUGACUGCUAUGGGAUCUGACUGACGCUUCUAUUGUGCAGUACUUGGUCCUUAUCAUAUAGGAUACACAUCAAAUGGACGCUACAUGCUAGUAGGCGGACGAAAAGGCCACCUUGCAAUGAUGGAUAUGUUGCAUAUGAAUCUUAUCAAGGAAUUUGAGGUAAGUUCUUUUACUAUUGAAGCAUUUCCCUCCAUACGGGCUUUACUUCACAUACCCUUGUUUGUGCCAUGUUCAAAUGUCAAAAUAUUUCCAGCAUCACCCAUUUUUGGUGUGCUUCAUGGAUAACGAUUGAUUUGGUUUUAAUUUCUUAUUUUCUUUAGGUGAGGGAAACUGUUCGUGAUGUGACAUUCUUACACAAUGAGCAGUUGUAUGCAGUCGCUCAAAAAAAGUAAUUUCUUUUUACUUUGCUGGAACUGUGUACUAUGUCAUCAUUGCUCAUGAAAUAUUUAACAUGUAUUAACUGUUGGCCUGAAAAAUAUGAAAUAAAGGAAUAUUAAAAUUCACAGAAAUCACUGUUCAGGGUCUCAAAUGAGAACAUAUACCAAAUUGUUGCGAAAUCUGUUGAUCAACCAGGUCAUAAAAUUAUUUCCAAAUGGUUGCUGCGUGUUCCUCAUAGAAAUAUCCUGAAGCCAUAUUAUUUCAUGCAACAUUCAUUUUUGUGAACAAUAAGCCUAUUUCUGGCAGCUCAUUGAACUUCUUAUACAUAAUCUGAAUCUCAAUGAUGUGAGGUAGGAGCAGCUGAAAAUUGCCAUUUGAGGUCUGAGCUCUGACUGAUCUGGAUUGCUUGUCUGAAUUGUUCAUCAUUGCUUUACUGAGGCAUUGAAUUAUUCUAUAAUUUGAAAUGUUUGUACUAGGCUAGAUCAAGCAAAAUUGUAUAUGCUUAUAGUUGAUGCUUUAUUGUUCUAGGCAGUUGAUUAUGGCUGUUGGUCUCUGUUUCCUGUCUACUAUUAACAUUUCAUAGUUACUCAUGAAACAUUUUUCAAACAGGUACCCCUACAUCUAUAAUCAACAUGGUACAGAAAUUCACUGUCUGAAGGUAAGCAUGAUGGCACAAUAAUGCGAUGACAUUACUGUUCAAAUGUUGUUUUCACAUGCUGAUGGGACAAUUAUAGAAGAAAAUAUUCAAUAAUAGAAUCAUAUUCUCUUAUUUGCAUUCAUGAAAACUGCACUAUAUGUCAAACUGAAAGUGGAUCUCUUUUUUGAGAAUAACUGAAAGUGGAGAUCAGCUACAUGUGACUAUGUGAGUCUCAAUAACAUUGGUACUUUCCGAGAACACAUACCUUAUAGUUCCGUUGGCUAAUUUUCCUGCAAUACUGAAAAUAAAAGUUUGCAUACAUUAAAUAAUAAAUUAGCACAUGUUCCCUCCGUUCCAAAUUGUAAGUCGUUUUAGCUUUUCUAUAUACAUAGCUUUUACUACGUACCGGAUGUACAUUAUGUCAUACAUAGUAGAAGGAAAAGCUAUGUAUCUAGAAAAGCUAGAACAACUUACAAUUUGGAAUGGAGGGAGUACUUCACAGUUCAGUCAUCAAAUGCCCUGCAUCCAGGAGAUCAUUUGUCACUUAAUCAAUUCAGUACUUUUUUUAUUUUCCUUUUAAAUCCCACUGGGCCUUCAAAUGAACUUAUUAGACAGAAUUUCUUUGGAAUAUAAUGCUGUGCGCUGGUGAGCAUUGUAACAGUUUAGCAACAUAGAUUUUGAGAGAUGUGUAUCAGUCUCAGCCUGUCAUCAAUGCAUAGACGUGUUAUCAUCCUAAACUCAGUGAAGAUGUUUUCUUUUGUGAGUGUGAUCGCUUCUAUGUUGGCAGGAACAUGGAAAAGCAUUGAAACUCCAAUUUCUGUCUAAGCAAUUCCUCUUGGCCUCAAUAAACAGCUUUGGGCAGCUCCACUACCAAGAUGUGAGCACUGGUGAAAUGGUUGCAAAUUAUAGGACAGGUCUGGGCCGUACCGAUGUUAUGCAGGCCAAUCCUUACAAUGCUGUCAUUGGCCUUGGGCAUGCUGGUGGAAAAGUUACCAUGUGGAAGCCAACCAGUGUGAAACCCCUUGUUACCAUGCUGUGUCAUCAUGGCCCGGUGACUGCUGUUGCAUUUGACAGGGGCGGCAAUCUUAUGGCAACAGCAGGUGUUGACAGGAAGAUAAAGAUCUGGGACCUGAGGAAGUAUGAGGUUGUGCAUUCUUACCCAGUACGUGCUCAGUCCUUGGAUUUUAGCCAGAAGGGGCUGUUAGCCUGCAGCAAUGGAUCUCAGGUAGAGAUAUACAGGGAUUUUGGUGGGCAUGAUUAUAAGCUUUAUAUGAAGCACAAAAUAAUGAAGGGCUAUCAGGUUGGGAAGGUUUUGUUCCGCCCAUACGAAGAUAUUCUGGGGAUUGGGCACUCGAUGGGCUUUUCUUCCAUUCUUGUUCCAGGAUCUGGUGAGCCGAACUUUGAUACCUUUGUUGACAACCCCAUGGAAACUACCAAACAGAAACGUGAGAAGGAGGUGCAUGCUCUCCUUGAUAAACUCCCGCCGGAGACUAUCAUGCUCAACCCAAACACGAUAGCCACUGUAAGAGCUCCAAAGAAGAAAGAGAAGAAGACCAAGAAGGAGAUUGAGGAAGAGAUGGAAGAUGCCAUUGAGGCUGCCAAGAACAUUGAGCGCAAGAAGAAGACCAAGGGUAGGAGCAAACCGAGCAAGCGGGCCAAGAAGAAAGAGGAAGAUGUUUUCAAAGCCAAGAGGCCCUUCCUGGAGCAAUCCGAUAAGGUCGAUGGACGACCUGACAAGAAGCAGCGGAUAGGCGAAGAGGUCGAACUCCCAAAAGCCUUGCAGCGGUUUGCCAAGAAACCACAAUCAUAAUUGUCGUUAACACAGAGUAGGGAUUCACAUUGGUUUGUGAUGCAUGGCUAGUGAGCCUUUAUGAUUUAGCUGUCCAGUAUGUAAAAUUCCAGUGCGAGGAUAUAAUGCACAGAAGAAUGUGCCGAAAUUUUGUCUGAACUAUUGGUAUUCCAGUGAGCAUGGCCGUGCCCCCUCUUUGGUUAUCGUAGAUUCUAUUGCCUUUUUCAUUCAGAUGAAGUAGAUAAUUCCUAGGUUUAUUGUGGAUCAUCAAAGGCACUCUUUGUGGUCAAGUACCGAAGAAUCAGGACUUUGAACCAGAAGCACUCAUUCGCUGCUGUCCAUUACGCUUUAGUUUUGGUUCAUCUACUGUACCUUUGAAGGGCUCUGCUUGUGCAAAAUUGCAGUCAAGGUUAUCGAGUCGUUGGAUCAGUUAUUCAGUUGCGACUAUUGGUGCCACCGUGAUGAAGCUAAAACAAAUUAGAUGAGGAUGCGCUUGUCUUGUAGGUAUGAAAAUUUAAAUUGCAACUCUGGUAAAAAUUUGAUCUAGUAUUGGGUUUUUAAAUUUUUGUGGGCGAAAGUCCAGCAGGCUAGACGUUCGCCCGAGAAGGGGAUGAUCACACGCGGGAAGGGUUGGGCUACCCUGGAUGCAAAUCUCCCUUGCCUUAAGCGGUUGUGUGGAUUAUCAAUCUUGAGAUCUGUCGAUUUAGUCUAAGACCUUCAUAAGUGAUCAUAGAAAUAAAGUUAUCAUUUUUUCCCCAAGAUUUGCCAAUGUUAGUUGGGAGGUUUUAACAAUUUAAACAAGUUACUCCAUACAAAAGCAUAUAAGCAUCUCUAAUAGGGCAACCAAAUCAUUUUGUAAAGAUAAAUAGGGCUAUCAUUAGACAAAAACUUCUCUAAAUAAUGUGCCAGGCGUGUUGGCACGGUCAAAAAGGUUAGAAAUAUAAAUAAAAAAGUAGGUUGGGUUAUAUUUAAAUAUGAUGUGAAAAACAAUUAAAAAAUUCCUGGAUGGUGGCUCCACCACUGCCUGUGCCAUCAUUGACCAAGGCAAAGGUUUGGGUUAUCCAAGGCCUUGUUUAGAUCCAAAAAAAUUUUAGAUUUUGAUACUGUAACACUUUUAUUUUUAUUUGAUAAACAUUAUUCAAUCAUGGAGUAACUAGGCUUAAAAGAUCUGUACAAUUAGUUUUUGUUUUCAUCUAUAUUUAAUGCUCCAUACAUGUGCACAAGAUUCGAUGUGAUGAAAAAUCUUGAAAAGUUUUUUAUUUUUGGGUGAAGCCCAAGUCACGGCGGUCUGGUCACUUCCUGGCCAAAUGCCGUCUGCUCUGGGUUAAGUCAGUAGCAGCCUCAACGUCACUGUUCUAACUUCAAAUUUGGAUUUGGAACGGAGGGGAGUACUUUUUGAACGGCUGUAUGAAUGCAAAUUAUCCGCAGGUCUUCUGGUCGUUGCUAAUCCAAUCAAAAGAUGAUGUAGCACAACUUCAACGAUCUUAUCGCUUUGAAAAACAGAGAGUAGUGCGUGUUAACAGUGCAUUAUUCGGCUAGACUGGUAGCCCACUUGCUGUCAGGACUGCUAAGAUUUUCACGGCGAAAAUAAGCAAGUCUGACUAUUUAUUUGACCACGGCAUUAUAUAUGCACACUUAUUCAGCCGCAACAAGGCAUGACCAACCAUGAUGCUGCUUCUCAGCAUCCUCCUGCUGUCGCCCAUGACCACCACGGCAGGGCAUAGCGACGAGAGAGCUCUUGUGGAUUUCAGGGCAAAGAUUACCACCAACUACGGGGUGCUGGCCUCGUGGAACAGCAGCACCAGCUACUGCAGCUGGGAGGGCGUCACAUGCGGCCGCCGGAGACGUGUGGUUGCUCUAGACCUCCACUCCCACGGGCUCAUGGGCACCAUCUCCCCUGCCAUUGGCAACCUCACCUUCCUGAGGGCGCUCAACCUUAGCUUCAACAGCCUGCAUGGUGGCAUCCCUCCAAACAUAGGUUCCCUCCGCCGCCUCUGGUAUCUAGACCUGCGGGACAAUUCGCUUGUCGGCGCCAUCCCAAGCAACAUCAGCCGUUGCACCAGCCUCAAAAUAUUGGUGAUCGCUGACAACCAGAAGUUGCAAGGAAGCAUACCAGCCGAGAUCGGCAACAUGCCGAUGCUAACUGCCCUCGAACUCUACAACAACAGCAUCACUGGAACCAUCCCACCAUCUCUGGGGAACCUUUCCCGGCUCGCAGUCCUGUCCCUCAAGGGCAACCAUCUACACACAACUCUGGUUCCUUCAGCUCUCUAUCAACAACCUCUCAGGACUGCUACCGCAUUCACUGUACAACCUGUCAUCUUCGAAAGUGUUUUACGCUGCUGUGAACAACCUACAUGGUCAUCUCCCAGAAGAUCUCGGAAGAAGCCUGCCUAAAGUGCAACUCUUUGGGCUUUCAGGUAACCGAUUGACUGGAACUAUUCCAAUGUCACUCACGAAUCUCUCCAGCCUCCAAACAUUUGACAUAUCCAGCAAUGAGUUUACCGGGGUUGUUCCUUCCGCAUUGGGCAAACUGCAAUAUCUUCAAUGGUUUACUCUGGAUGCAAACCUACUUCAUGCAAACAAUGAGCAAGAAUGGGGAUUCCUUACUUCCUUGACAAACUGCAGCAGAUUGCAAGUACUAUCGAUCGGAUGGAAUAGGUUCGCGGGGAAACUACCAAGUUCAGUGGCCAAUUUGUCCACCAGCAUCCAAUUGCUACGGAUUCGCAGAAACAAUAUUGCUGGUGUUAUCCCAUCAGGCAUCGGAAAUUUGAUUGGCCUUCAGCAGCUUAUUCUUGGCGAGAACCUACUCACAGGGGCCAUUCCAGUAAGUAUAGGGAAGCUGACACAAAUGAUCAAGCUAUAUCUGGGCUUAAAUAACUUCUCCGGAACCAUUCCAUCCUCAAUAGGAAACCUCAGUGACCUAUUUGCACUUGGUAUAAAUUCCAACAACAUGGAGGGAUCAAUUCCUCCUAGCUUUGGAAAUUUGAAGAAGCUCAUAGCUCUAGAUCUAUCCAGUAACCAUCUCAGAGGCUCCAUCCCAAAUGAAAUUAUGAACUUGACAUCAAUCUCAGCAUAUUUGGUUUUGUCGGACAACUUACUGGAGGGACUUCUUCCUUUUGAAGUUGGCAAUCUGAUAAAUCUUGAACAGCUUGCUCUAUCAGGAAACCAGCUGUCUGGCAAAAUUCCUGACACCAUCAGCAACUGCAUAGUAUUAGAAAUUCUCCUAAUGGAUGGCAAUUCAUUUCAAGGAAACAUUCCUCCAGCUUUCAAGAAUAUGAAGGGGCUUGCUGUACUGAACUUGACGAGCAAUAAGCUGAACGGAAGCAUCCCUGGGGAGCUAGGCAGUAUCACUAACUUGGAGGAGCUGUACCUUGCCCACAAUAAUCUAUCAGGAGAAAUCCCAGAACUCUUUGGCAAUUCAACAUCACUGAUCCGUCUCGAUCUGUCCUUCAACAAUUUACAGGGAGAAGUACCAAAAGAAGGGGUUUUCAAGAAUCUAACUGGACUAUCAAUUGUUGGAAACAAAGGAUUAUGUGGUGGAAUACCACAGCUUCAUCUUCAAAGAUGCCCAAACUCUGCUGCGAGGAAGAACAAGAAAGCCAUGCCAAUGGCUCUUAGAAUAGCAGUGCCUGCAGUAGGAGCUAUUUUGGUCCUAUUCUCUGGUCUUGCUUUGGCUGUAUUUCUUUGCAAAAGGUCUCAGGCUACAACGACAAAAGAGCAACAGCCACCUCCCUUCAUUGAGAUUGAUCUUCCAAUGGUUUCAUACAAUGAAUUACUCAAAGCAACUGAUGGGUUUUCAGAAGCCAAUCUCCUGGGUAAGGGAAGAUAUGGUUCGGUGUACAGAGGCAAUGUAGAAAAUCAGGGCAUUGUAGUUGUAGUGGCAGUCAAGGUAUUUAAUCUCCAGCAACCAGGAUCAUACAAAAGUUUCAAGGCUGAAUGUGAGGCACUGCGAAGAGUGAGGCAUCGAUGCCUUGUAAAGAUUAUCACAUCCUGUUCAAGCAUUGACCACCAAGGUCAAGACUUCAGAGCACUUAUCUUCGAAUUCAUGCCUAAUGGAAGCUUAGAUAACUGGGUCCACUCAGAUACUGAAAAAGAAAGUGGAAAUGGAACACUCACCAUGGAACAAAGGUUAGAUAUCGCUGUUGACAUUGUGGAUGCUAUAGAAUACCUCCACAAUGGCUGCCAGACAUCGAUUAUCCACUGCGAUCUCAAGCCCAGUAAUAUUCUCCUUACUCAUGACAUGAGGGCUCAUGUUGGAGAUUUUGGCAUCGCUAGAAUUAUAAAUGAAGCUGCAAGCACUUCUUCAAAUUCAAACAGCAGCAUCGGAAUAAGAGGCUCCAUUGGAUAUGUUGCCCCAGGUAAUAUCGAUGCUUCCUGCCUGCUUUACAUAAUUAGAUUCAGUUAGCUGUAUGCUCAUUAAACAAGUUUGUGCAUACCUGUUUGUGCUCUGUUUCAAUCUAUUGUAGAAUAUGGAGAAGGGCUUGCAGUAUCAACUUAUGGUGAUGUAUACAGUCUCGGCAUUACUUUGAUUGAGAUGUUUACAGGAAGGAGCCCAACAGAUGAUAUGUUCAGAGAUGGGUUAAACCUGCAUUACUUUGCUAAGGCAGCUCAUCCUGAUAACGUUAUGGAAAUAGCAGAUUCCAGAAUCUGGCUGCGUAAUGAAGGAAAUAAUAGAAAUGCUACAAGAGAUAUAGCCAGAACAAAGGAAUGUUUGGCUGCUAUCAUCCAGCUUGGUGUACUUUGCUCAAAGCAAUCACCCAAAGAGUGGCUGUUAAUAAGUGAUGCUGCUGUAGAGAUGCAUAAUAUCAGAAAUACAUUCCUCAGUGCUCACUGAUAAAAGUCGUGUGAGAUCAGAAGACUUGAAUAAUAAUCACCGAUUCACCGUACAAAGGUCAUUAUGUUUCUGAUAAUUCUUAUUGAAUUUCAAACACUUUUUGUCAUUUUUCUGAGCAUGUUGAAAACUUAUCAAUUGGUGUGGUGCCGUACCAUCCACUUUCUAUGUCUCAUUGUUUAUAGUAUUUUUGUAUUUCUUGAGUUAUGAAUAAAUGAGGAAGUCAUGACAAUGUCUCUUCAGAAUAGUAGUGCCUACAACAGACAGAGAGCUAUCCUGGAUUAAUUUCAGGGUUUGCAUUAGUUUUCUUUAAUCAUUACAGAAGUUCCAGGGCCAUCUCAGUUCAAUGAGAUAGAUGUUCCAAUGGUGUCAUAAAAUCAAAUACUUAAAGAAAAAGAUGGUAUCUCAGAAGUCAGACUCACAAGCCAAUCUUCUAGGAAACAGGAAAGAUGUUACAUAUACAGCACAAUAUCAUUAGUGAAACCAUUUCUGGUGCCAUCUACGGUAUAGGUAAGAUCAACAUCUGUUCACUCAGUCCAUUUUAGUCACCCAUCCCUAACAGUAACAGUGCCCUUUUGUUCUAGGCUUUUGGUACAGUUCUGUGAUUGAGACCUUUGUUUUACUCCAUUUAAUUCAACAUUCUUAAGCAUCAAUAUUCAACACUCCAUUAUAACUGGACAGUGUUCAUACUGCAGGACAUAAGCAGUUGAACUUUUUCAUCUUUUUGCCAAUUCAUUCAAGGUACAGCAAAUUCUAAAGUAAACAAAAGAAUAUCUACUUUGCUGUGUGGUAUAAAUCACCUUAUGCACCAGUUCAUAUAAGAAUAGCUAGAUAACUACAAGGCAUAAUGACUAGAUUAUGAAGACUUAACUAUGCUAAACACGCCACUACUUUGCCUAACACCCUUCUAGGGAAUAACUUAUGCUCUGAAAUGAAAAAAAAAAGUUGAUGAAGAUUUACAUGUCAUUGUUUGCCCUCGUAGCAAUGCUGAACAUGCGAGUUGUCAACAUCUACAUACUUGGACCAGUAUGUCUUGUACUUGGAAAUGGCAAGGUCAAGCCAGGGCUUAUAAUUCCCAUUGUAAUGAACUACUGCAGCAUUAUCGAUCUCAGCAAUGUCAACAGCUGGAUCAUAGCCCAGGCCCAAGACAUGCCAAGUACGAUUCAACGGGUAUGUCAGGUUGUAGAAAGUAAUUAAACCUGGAGGCAAUGUACCCAGCUUCCACAGCUUACGAUCCUCAUUCUGCAACAGGUCUUCUCUUAGUAAGUGAAACAACAAUAUUCAUUACAGCUUCACUAAAUGAGGGGCAAAAUGCAGUAAGACAAUGCAAUCAGCAGUAGAUUUCUUAUGUCACUACUUACCAAAUCUUGCCAAUAAUGGUAUAUUCCAGUGAUAUUUCGCUUCUUCCACUCCUUGAGGUCAAACAUGUUCAUUCCGAAAGCCCACCCACAAGCAUGCGGAUCGAAGUUCUCUGAGAUCUUUGGGUGUGAGAAGUUGAGAUAAGUGUCAAAGCGAUGGAAACUCUCUUUACAGGUUUCCACAGCGCCAUUUACCAUCCCUUUAAGAUCAAUAUCCCAAAGGGGUGUCAAAUCCUUCUGUACAACAACAUCAUCAUCAAGAAACAGUAUCUUCUCAAGCUUCGGAUGAAUUUCUGGCAUGUAGAACCUCAAAUGGUUGAGCAUGGACAGAUAUUUGGGAUUCCUGUAUUUCAGAUUCUCGUUUCCAUCAGAGAGUGAUGACGGAUCGUGUGCUUUGAAGUAAUAUUCUUUGAGGCGAGCUGACUCCAGUUGCCGAAGAACAGAACAGUAUGACGAAUUGAGCCAUUUGAAAUUGUCUAUGUUCUCCACAUGAACAGUUGCCAGUUGAGGAGGAUGAGUAAUGAACCACAUCUUCAUGGCUGCAAAAUUAAGUCUAUCAGUGACAAUAUGGAACACGUGCUUCUCUGGUUCAUUGGCAUUUGUCACAGUUGAUCUGACAACUACUGAGGCUGCAAGCACAUUAUCAGAAAAUAUAGCAUAGUGGUAGAGUGACCGAUCCUCAAGCUUUUCUUUAUCUUGUUCUGCCUUCAAAGCAGCAGCAUGAAAAUGUUCCUUGGUCGCAUCAUCACGAAAAUAAUAAUCAGUUGUCAGCUGCAUAUGUAGGCAGUGCAAGGGCAUGGGUACUGUCUUCGCAGCAUGCUGAACCAGAAAUGAGUUCUGUUUCUUCACUGCAUCAAUAUUUAGUUCCGUUGACUGCAACAUAGCACGCAAUUUUCUUGACACUUCACCCGAGCUGUACAGAACAUCUCUAGCCGAAGACAGCACAUGCCCCAUUGCUUUUGCUCUCUCUAAGGCACUGCAGAAAUAAGGGGUCAUAAGCACCUUACUCUUUAACACAAAAGUGGGAAAGAGCCAAACUGAUUAAUCUUCAGAAGGGAAAUUUAGUACCUAGAAUCGAGUUCACUGUCAAUAAGUGCAUCCCCGAUAGAUGUUUGGCUUUCUUUUAUGCACUUCAUGAGCAAGGCAUACAUGUCUGGUUCCUUCUGGGAGAGUGCAAUAGUGGCAUAUAACUUGGCCAUUAUUAUCUGAUCUUUCAUGAGCCUUAGUGUUGAAUCUGUAUUAAUAAAGCGGAACUCCUGCCUCCAUAUGUUGUAGCUGCCUCUAACUUUAUUGUUAAAGUUCAUUGAGCUAUUUAUUGCUGCAUUUCGCAUCUCAAGUUCAACCUUCUUAUCCAUCUGAAGCAGCUCCUGAACCCUCCGCUCCUUUCUUCUACGUCGAAAUACCUGCAAGAGCAAUAGCAGCAAACCAACACUCAGAUGGGCAGAAAUAACACAUCACACAGUAAGCCAAACAAAAAAUCUUGAAACACAAGUAAGUAACCACUGCACUGCAUUACAUAGUCACUACAGAGGGAGGAUGGAAUUGACCUGUCGCCUUAAUUUAAUCGGAUCAACAAUUGUAGUUGCCAGAGUUUCAGCACUUGAAACAUUGGUGGUUCCUGAUCCACUGGCGAGUAGAUGAUCCCUGGCAGCAACUUGCUGGCGCAACAGCAGAAGAAGCACCCGUUAGAGCUACAAACAAAAUAGAACAACCUACCAACUUGUCCCCACAAACAACACAGAUAAUUUUUAUUUUUUUCAGAACAUACUGUUCCGGCUACUGGCUGGCUAUCUCUGGGCAACCAAGGGUUCUCCCAGAUAGAGGACGAACCGAAUUCUCUGGCGGUGACUUUGAACAGCUUGAUCCGGCCAUGCUGGUCAGUGUACGCGAUCGUCUUUUCAGCCUUAUCCACAUCCUGCUAACCAUUCACCGUGCAAACAUUAGUGUGGCGAGCGAAGCAACACAAUGCAAUCGCGUGCCCUGAGCAGCCAAAUUCAGAUAGAUAAAUAAUAAAGAGUGACCUGUAGCUUGCUGCAGCCAGGGCAGUUCUCGCGAGUCCCGCGGUCUCUGACAAUCCAAAAUCACACGGCAACAGCGAAGUCAGAGACUUUACUGAAUCGCGUAAUGAGGAAGGAAGAAGGAUGGAUGGCGAUGGUUUCUUACGCUCGGUGACCCGAGAAGAGCCACUGCGACACCGCUGAUCUGGCGGCGGGCACAUGGAUCACGACCUGCGGAGGAGGAGAAGCGGCGGGAACAAUGAGAAAAGGAAAGAGCCCUGGUUCUAAGGGUUGGAACGCAGUGAACCUAACAUUUCGCCGUUGCGGUGAACAGUGCGGGGGUGAGCGGCGACGCGGUGGGUACAAACCUGGAAGGAGAGGAAGCAGAGGAGGAUGAGGAGGAGGACCAGGAGGCCCGGGCGCCGCCGCAGUGGGAGCGUGGUUCUGGGAUACGCUGCCGCGGCCGCGGCCGCCGCCGACGAGGCGGAGGAGGAGGAGGACGCCAUGGACCGGGAGUGGAGUGAUGGGAUGCGGAUUUUUUUUUUUUUUUAAAAAAAAGAAAUAUUUAGGGAGAUGGAUUUUGGGGGACGAGAGCUGGGUGUACUAGGUACUAGCAGGAAGAAUGACGAAUCUUUUUCUGGCCAUAACGGUUAACGGGAAUGGACGGCACGUUUGUCGGGAUUACGGUUCUUCUUGUGGCCUAUAAAAAUGCCACCUUCACCCGUGUCCGUGUUAAAAGAGUGAUGAUAUGUGCUAAACGAGUGACCACGGCAAUCACUUUGAUUUGGAGGAAAGAGCGAUCAGGCAAUGCCUAGACGAGGGUUAGAUAAGUAUGGUGUGAUACGGAACAUCAAUGGUUGGCCUACCUCUACUUUUUUGUUAAGGUGGGAGAGAAAAGUCUAUGAAUAAAUCAGCUAACAGUAGUACUUUCUGUCAUGGUUUAUCAGCCAAACGAACAACUGUCAUCUAAGCAUUUUGCUGACGUGGUAAGAUAGUUAUUGAAGAAAGAGAGUAAAAAUUAUAGAAAGUUAGAAACCAUGGCUACACGAGAACAAGACAUAAAGGGAUGUGACUGGUAGAAAAUGAAGAGACAAUAAAUGUUAUUGGAUAAAAAAUUAUCUCGUAGAAACUAUCCAUUGGAAAUAUAGUUUCUAUGUAUAGUGUCUUUGAAAAUUAAUAAGUAUAACAUUGAGACUGCUCUAAGAAACCAAUGUUUUAUUAAGAUUAGUGUGCUUGUAUUGCACGUUGUCUCUAGGAAAUGUCUUCUUUAAGAUACCAAGUGACUUUAAGAGAGGGAUAAUAAAGCAUUUUAGAAUCUUUUCAUAUGUUCCAUAAGGGCGUAGUGUAGAUGACGGUGCUCGUAAAGAGCAUCUAGGUGUGAUGUGUAAAGAGUUGAUGUCACUAACUCACUAUAGAAACAUUGUUGUGGAGUAAAUGGGACUAAGGUUGUGAUAGAUACAAAACCAUAAUACUCUGGACUCAAGACCGCGUUGCUCUUCUUUAGUUAGACUGUUAGACCUUGUUCAGUUAAUCCCCUAUCAAGAGGAUUAGAAGGAAUUGAGAGGAUUUAAUCCUCUUUAAUCUCCUUCAAUCCCUCCAAUUCCUACCAAAUUGAACAAACCCUAACUUGUACUUUUAAAUCUAAGUAUACUUUGAACCUAACAACAUAUCUACAACCUAACAAUUGCCCAUCAUAGUUCCUCUAAAAAAGUUUCGCCUUCUUUCUGAGAUUAUAGGACAUACUACAAUUAAGUUCAGAAAAAUGUUGCACAAAAUUACAAUUGAGGUUUAUGCAUUGGAGCCAGCACUUGGAAGUUUCUAAGGUUGCACACAAAUUAGCAUAAAACAGUUCUACUUUAUGAAUUCACACUUAGAGUAUAAAUUCUAGAGAGAGAAAUAACAAUGGCAGAAUAGUAUGGUGCAGUGCUAGCAUGCCAAGGAUCAAAAAGUGGGUCAAUAGUCAAGUCACCCCUGGGACAUGCCUACCUCCUUUCCGUAAUGCUACUAGACAUGGGAUCGGGAUACAUAAUCCACAUGUGUGCUUAGCAGUGUGAAGAGAUGGACUUGAAACACACUUCCUUGUGCCGACUGAUGACAUCUGCAGGUAGGCUUAGUUCCAACCAAAUUACAGAACUUUUGACCACCCAGUGGGAAAUGCAGAAUUGGAGGCCUAAAUCCUAGGGCACCAAAUCCUUAAGUGACUCAAAAUCAUUUAUAAAUCCCCAUUACCACCAAAAGUUAUUGCUUGUUAAUCUAAAGCGUUUCUGGACAGCCUUUGUUAGUGGGCAUCCCACUAGAAAUGUCGAUAAUAAAGGAAUGCAGAGUGCCGCCACAUUGCUUUAUUUGGAUUAGCUUAAACCAGCUACAGAGGGAGUAUGACCAAAUCUGUAUGGGCAAGCAAUGAUUCAACAUCACUUUCUGUCUCAAGAUUUUCAGCAAUUAUAAUAUAUAUUUCUUCUAUAUAAUAACAAUGGUUGAUAAAAUCUUUGUUGUAGUGAUUAGAGUAUUUGUUUUCUUCACAUUUGGCUAUAAAAGUUCAGAACUUGUACAGAACCAUGACUAGCAGAAAAAUGGACUGAAUGACCAUGACUGGAACUAUUGUAAGUGCAAUCUGAUGCAAUUCAACUCAGACAAGACUUCCAUGGAAGAAUGGUUGAAUUUUAUGCAUAUGCCAACUAAAAAGUCAUCAUCUUUGUGUACCGCUACACUGUUACAUUGAUCAUCAUGAUCGCCGUAAACUUCGUCAUGACAACAAAAAUUGUGGUCUACUACCUUUACAACGUACCUCCGCAUCAGAAUCGAUCAGUUCAUCCUAAAUGUCCUCAUGACCAUGCCAUGCAUCUACCUGCCCCUGGAGCUGGAGUUGUUCCUAGCGCUGUCACUCCUAGGGGACUGCACCUGACUGCGACGCGAGGACGAGGAGCUGUUCCUGGGCUCCCUCAUCACCCUGCUCUUCACGGACUCGAUCUUCUCCAGUGCCUCCACCACUUCCUUCAUGGAUGGCCGGCUCUUUGGGUCACCGUUCAGGCACUUGAGGGUCAGCUGAGCAGCCAGGAGGGCUCCUUUGGGAUUGUACUGCCCCUCCAGCCCACUGUCCAUCAGCUGGCUAAGCUUCCUCCGGUCAGACAACAAUGGCCUUGCCCAGUUUACCAAGUUCACCUUCUCGCUCUGGCGGCUUGGGUCCAACGCCCUCAGACCAGAGAUCAUCUCCAGUAGUACAACACCAAAGCCAUACACAUCACUCUUCACAUACAGGUGGCCUAGUUCAUGAAAGAUGCAAUCAGUUAACAUUUAGCUCUAUGAAAAGAGCAUUUCCCUUAGUAUGCAUUUAUGAUGCUUACACAAAUUGUCAACAAUAAUAAGGAAUAAACAUAUGGGAGGGAGAAAAACCCUGAUAUACAUACCGGUAGAAACAUACUCUGGAGCUGCAUAGCCAUAGGUUCCCAUGACUCUUGUUGUCACAUGAGACUCCCCACCAUCUGGACCAUGCUUGGCUAAUCCGAAGUCUGAGAGCUUCGCGUUGAAGUGCUGAACAUGAUAUCGGUGUGUGUUGAUUAUAGUAUCGCUCAGGUAACAACAGUUCGUUUUUUUUUGUUUUUUUUUUGACGAGACCAACAGUUCGUUAUCAGUAGCUCUGGAAAGAGUAUUUUACCGAAUCCAGUAAGAUGUUGGAAGCCUUGAAGUCUCGGUAGAUGAUCUGCCUUUCUGAUGAAUGAAGAAAUGCGAGGCCACGAGCUGCACCAAUGAGAAUCUUCAGCCUGAGGCUCCAAGGCAGCGGCUCAGAAACCGCCCCUCCUGUCAAUGGUGAAUAAUCAGUAUUAAUAUUACAACUAGAAAAUAAGAUGUUUCACACAAACAAAAUACCCUGAAUGGCCCAGAAAUAGUAACAGGGAAAACAAGUGGAACCAACUUUUUCAUCAUGAAUUUCCAUUUUGACUCGGCAAGGAUAAAUGAAGGCUGAAGCAACAAGAUAUCGUACAGGUCUGGGCAAUUUGGCUGAUGCUGACAUCCUCCAAAAAUGCUCGUUAGUUGUAUGGCACUAUGGACUAUGGUGCUUCAUAUAUAAUAUUUUAUGAAAAUGAUUUGAGAUGCAGAUGAAGCACCAACAUUUGCAAAGUGCGCUACUGCAGGUGAAGUUGGCAUAAAGAGUUUUGACCAAUGUGACAUAAAGAGAUGUUUCUGGAUCAAAUACUAUCAUUAGGGAAAAAAAUAUCUUCUAAAUAUACUCACUUCGGAACAGGUGGUUCUCCAAGCUCCCCUUUGACAUGAACUCAUAUACGAGUAGUAGCUCGUUGUCAUCCAUGGAAUAGCCCAAGAGUUUGACAAGAUUGGGAUGUGAAAUCCUCCCGAGGAAAUUGACUUCAGACUGCAUUGGAAACAAGCAAAUUAUUUUUUUGGGAGAAAAGCAUAUUUAAGAGAGUAUUAUUUCUUUCUAAGUCGGGGGGGGGGGGGGGGGGGGGGGGGGGGAUAAAGGAAGCCAUGGAGUAAAUCAGAAACCCUUAUAUGUUGACAAGACUAAAAAUAGGAAAGAUAGAAAUAAAAAAUGUGAGAGCACAGGACCAUGCACUAAGUCCCAACAGCUAGAUCAUUCUGAUUGUAAAUAAAAAAGGAAAGAAUACUGAUAAAGAACUAGACUCUCAUAGGGACUCAUCUUCCAAAGAAGCAGAGUUAAUAACAUAUAGAGAGAAAAAAUCAGUACAAAAUUGGAACGAACUGAAAAGGGCAGCAAGCUGCACAAUUGUGUACUGAUAUUUAAGCAUUCACUGAUUCAUUUCCCUAGUUCCCUGAUAGUUAAACCCGGAACCACCUAGAUUGCAGUCAUUAUAUUUUUCCUAAAGCAUGCAAUUUAUAAUGUAACGAAAAACUAGCAACUUGACAGUUUCUGUACCUGCCAUUGUUCCAUUCCCUGCACGCUCUCAGGAUUGAGCUUCUUGACGGCAACCAUGAUGCCAGUGCUAGCCUUUGACGGGUUCAGAGUCUUCUCAUCAACCCAUCCCUUGUAAACCUUGCCGAAUCCACCCUCCCCAAGCACAGUCUCAGGCCUGAAGUUCUUGGUGGCGCUCUUGAGUUCCGCAAAGGUGUAUAUCUUGAGGUUCGGAGACUCAAGAAUCUGGCCCUCUGGGUAAUCGUCGUCGACGCUGACACCACUAACUGUGGACGGCAUGAAGGUGCUGGUGCUGCUAAUCGUUGACAGCUUCCCUGUGGUGGCAGAGCUACUAGUCCUCCUCGAUGCAGACAUUCCUGAACAUGUGACAGGAAAAAAAAAGUGAGGUCUUGAGUAAGUUGGGUAUCAGGACAGGGAAUGAGAAGUUUCAAAUGCAUAAUAAUCUACCAUGGCUUAGAAAUUUAGAAUUUAUUUAUAUAACGGAGGCUAAUUUUGCUAUUGGAGAUAGAUAUAUACGAAAUUGGAAACGAAUUUUGCCAUUUGGAUAGCAAAAGAAAAUUAUACUCUCCAAUAUAUGGUGUAAGUGCAGAGGGUAGAGGCCAAAGGGUUGACGGACCCAGAUAAAUUUUCUUAUACGGCGAGAGAGAGAGAGAGAGGUGGUGUGUUUUAUUCUACAGACAAGUCUCAAUUGACAGAAACCAACAAAAUAACAAAUUAAAUAAAUAUAGUUGCAGAGAGAUUGAAAAUUUUAGUUGAUUCAUCAAUUGUCCCAAACAUGAGUACUUGGCGAGCACGUGCGCCUUAAGUUGAAUAGCAUGUGAUUCUUGGAAAGUACGUAGUUUGUUAAUGAUGAUGUAACAGAAAUUUGUAAAACAACACCAAGAGAAGAAGAACAAGACGACGCGGCGGUAAGUAAAAUAUACGCGCGGGCGCGGGUAAAGAGAACAACCGCACACGAGAUAUGCAUGGCAUCAGAUAAACAAAGGCAUGUUCCAGUUAUGCAAGCAGAGGAUUUCAGUUUCAGGCAACAACCCGAACAGGGAGGAAGGAGGCCACCGCAGCAAGCAAAAGAUUGAAGCUUUAAUUAAGAGAGAAGAAGAGAGGAGGAAAUGCUGACGGGGGUUACGGUACCAGGAGUAGCGGCCGACGACGGCGACGGCGACGCCCUGUUGCCGCGCUGGACGAAAGCGUCGAUGGCGCUGGCGCAGUUCCCCAUGGCAGGCGGCCGGCGGCGCGGCACGGGGGCCAGGCGGCAGCGGUUGGAGAAGACAAGAGAGGAGAAGAGAAGAGAAGAGGAGGCUCUAGCGGUUGCUGGAGGGAGUUCGAUUUGCAACUGCAACUGCGACUGAGAAUGGAACUGGAGUAGAGCCACGGGAAGGAAGGGAGAGGCGGAACCAACUGCGACUGCGAGUCUGCGACGCAGGGGAGGGAGGGAAGGAGAGAGGAGGAGGAUGGAGGCGACUGCCGACUUGCGCUACUCGCUAUAUUGUCGUCCUCUGGCGCGAUGCGAUGCAAGCCACUCGGCUUUUUCGUUUUUUUUUUUUUUUUUGUUCUUGCUCGUGUGAUCGUGUCACGUCUCAGUCUAUCAUAGCGGGCAGAAGGUGGAGAAAAAAAAUGAAAAAUGAAAACAAAAAGAGAGUCCUUUGUUUUCUCUUCUUCUGCCCAACACAAGACGUACAAAGGAAAGCGCGCACGCAUGCACACAGCACACCUUAAAAGUUACUAGUUAAAUACUUCAUCCAUUCUAAACUAUAAGUCAUUCCAAAAAUUUUAGAGAGUCAAAAUAUCUCAAGUUUAACUAAAAUUAUAAGGAUUUUUGACAUCAAAUAGGUAUACUAUGAAAAUAUAAUUCAUGAAUAAAUCUAAUCUAGACAUAAUAAUAAAAAGUCAAAAUUUCUCACCCCCUGUUUUUGGUCGAGUCCAUUCUUUAGAAAUAACUAGCAGAAAUCCCGCGCAUUGCGGCAGGCGCAACUUGUGAACCUAGGACUCAGUUUUUCCUUCUCCUGAUAUAUCAUAAAAUUUAGUUAAACUUGAUAUGCUUUGACUCUUCAAAAUUCUUGAAUAACUUAUAAUUUGGAAUGAAGUGAGUAACUAUUUGACGAGUGAGCUCACGGUCUAGUCACCGUAGGGACAUUCUCCCAAUCAGCUCCAAUCCACUCUUGCCUCUUCCAUCAUGAUUUUAAUCAAAGUUGAUUUUCUUGUUCUAAACUUCUAGAAAAAAAAUACUCUCACAAAAAGAGAACUUCUAAAGAAAUCUAGAUAAAAAGCUUACUUUUUGUAAUGUUGAUUCUAGAGAAAACAAUACGAUGAUGAGAUCCAGUAGCAGGUGAAGGGGUUUCCUCUGCAACCUCAACCACGGUAGAGGGAGUAGAGGUAGCGUAGCAUGGGGUGAGUGACGAAAGGACGCGAGCAUGAUAAAAUUGUCGGAAUUUUUUGAACCACGGUCUAGGAAGAACUUCUACUUCUACAAUAAAAAGGCACGAUGAAGAGAAUUAUGGAUGGAUAAAGCGGCCGCAAAAGUGCAACAUUUAAAGAGGUUGGUGCGCUUUCUUUUACUGUAAUUUGGUGAAAAGCCGGCUUCAAAUAGGGUCUAGGUAUGCUCUACUCCACACCCUACAUGUUUGGUAACACUUCCAACUUAUUCCACUAUCUGCUUUAGCCCAUGCUCGACGACGGCGCAGGAGGCCAUAACAGCAUAAGAAGAGAGGGGCAAGCAAGGGAGGCUAUCGCGACAUAGGAAGACGAUUAGGGCGAGCUAUAGGAGGCCACCUCCAUGGAGGAAGAUGAGGAGGGAGAGCGGUGAAACGUUUGCGCAACUCGAGAGCUCUCCUCACCAGAGUGAAGGAAGACGAGGGUGCAUGGAGUCCGCGGUCACUAGAGACCGAGUCGACAGGAGGGAAGGAGGGUACGGUGGUUAAGAAAAAUGAUGGGAGCAGGAUUGCAUCAUGAGGAGUUGGUUUUUCUGUUCCACCCCAGUGCAAAAUUGGCGGAGCAGGUGGGAGUAGCAACAUUUUGCAGCGCUCUGCUACCUAAAUCUCUAGUGGAGUGGAAUGAAGCAGAACGCUCCCAAUCUAUGCCUAGUGGUAUUUCUUUUUUCAUUGACAUUAUAAACACAAGGCUCACAUACACACACUCAUUGGUGCAACACACACUCAUACUCACUCUACCUAAAGCACCUAUCAUGAGUAGAAAAACACAUAUUUGGAGGCAAUUAAAAGGUGUUUGUAGAGGUUGUUGGGAGAAACCCAUUGCUAGUUCAAUGGCUGUGCAAGAGCACAAUUUCCAACUGCGGUUUGUAUAUGAAUGUGAAGGUGUUAUUCCCAAAGGCAAAUAAUUUUUAACCCUUCUCAAUUCCUUUCACCUUAUCAACCUCCCUAUCUCUAGCUCUCCCCUGUACCGAUGGAGCUUAAGGCAAGGCCACCUCUUGCCACAACCUAAGUAGUAGUUAUAAGGCUAAUAAUAAUCAACGUAAAAUUGGUAUUUUACAAUCUCAUAUUAAUUUGUACUCUCUAUAUAACCUAUCCACAGUACUAGAAGAAACUAUUUAAAUGGUAAUUUGUACUCUACUUGUUAUUUAUUGUUAGGUAUUUAUGUUGUUAGUGACUAAUUGCUCUAGUAUUUGUGUGCACAUUGAUCUCUAUAAUGCAAAUUGACCCUUCUUAAAAGUUGAAGUUGAUCCUAGCUCUGCCACUAUCGUGUCAUCGUCUAGAACUAUCACACCGAACUCAGCCUUGUUAGUUUGCAAGUCCUACACACCACCCGGCGGUGGCCACCUACCUAGUGGUCAUGGAGCCCACAACUAUAGCUUUAAAUAUGGCUAGCCAUAUCAAAUGAUACCAAAGAAAAGCCAAAGUAAACUCCUCGUUGGUUCAGUGACCACGAAAAACAUGGUUUCCAUGAGCGGUAUGCACCCACAUAUAGAUAUCGAUUUCUAGAGAUAUAGAUAAUUUAAGACACUUUUUUAUGAAAACCGUCUUUUUAAGUACACCUGUUUCGCGGUCCCCAAUCUUGCACCUCCACCUCAUUGACCUCACCUACUUUGGUAGAAUUCACGUGGCCCUUAUAACAUCUGGCAAAAUUCAUCACUAUCUUUAGGUCCUACGAUGAUAACCCUACAACAACCAAAUGCCUAACAGUGCAAGACACAGUCUCAUGUCCAUUAUUGAUGGACCUGACUUGCAAAAAUAAGAAUUUCUAUAGACGAUCGUUUAUGUGAUCCAUAUCUAGAAAGAGGCCGGUUUAAAAAAACAGUUCACAUAUGCAUUUUAGUUGCACUUCUUAGCCAUGGGGCCCACAGUAAUAGUGUAUAAACGUCACCGAGAGACUAACUUAAUACAUCAUCCACAAAUGGGGAAAAAAAGGUAGUUAUUAGCCAAAAAUACAAAUAUUUGUGCUGAGUAACAAGCCUAGAUUUUGUUCGGCAUGCAAGUGGAAACCGCCGGCAAAUUGAACUGGUCGGUUAGUCGGUGAGCAUGUGUUAUUUGUCUGCUUGUUUCCAUUCUUAUUUUUUAGAGAAAAAUCUGCGUGUGUUUGUUGUUUCCAAUGGCUGCUCCUGUGCUGCUUCUUGGGUCACACUGACCGGCAAACAAUUUUUUUUUUGACGAGUCCGGCAAACAUUGACGCUGAGUCGCGCAUACAUACACUGUCUGCAGUCUGCUGUGUGUGCUUUAUCUAGUCGGCCAACCGCACAUAAGAAUAUAUGAGACCGGCAGGCACAACUUGAGUUAUUAUGCAUCCAUUAGACAGGCAUGGUGUGUAAAGGCAUAUGGGCGCUGGCCUUUUUUUUUUCAUCCAUCAGCAUAUACGAGUAGAACUACUAGAGGUUGCUAUGGUAGUGUAAAAAAUCCAAUAUUAAUCCACCCCGGCCUUGCCCGUUUGUGUUGGGAUGAGAAUUGAUCGAGAGAGACUGUCGCCGGCCGGGCAGGCGCGCGGGCACCGGCAGCGGCAGGAUCUCUAGUUCUCUAUCUCUGAUGAUCUCUCAGUCAAUAACUGGGUCAAUGGAGGACUAGCUUACUGAUGCUUGUGUCCCUGGCCAUAUCAUCUCUUACGUCAUCGGUUUCUUCAUGCAUUGUGGCCUUGUUUAGUUGCAAAAAAUUUUGCGAAAUAGACACUAUAGUAAUUUCGUUUGUAUUUGACAAAUAUAUUAUCUAAUCAUGAAAUAAGUAGGCUCAAAAGAUUUGUUUCGCAAAUUACAGUCAAAUUGUGCAAUUAGUUAUUUUUUAAUUUAUAUUUAAUGCUUCGUGCAUGUGUCGUAAAAUUCGAUGUAACGGAGAAUCUGAAAAAUUUUGCAAAUUUUUUUGGAACUCACAUGUGUGACUUUUCACUCACGCACUCCGUCAGCUGCUGAUGAUGCUGAGCUUCCCAGCGCUACUACACGCUAGGAUCUUUCCCAUAUACUCGUUGCAGACGGCCGACCAGUCAUGCACCUGUGUUUUCUUUGUAGUUGAAAUUCCAUUGCACCCCAAAAACAAAGUACAACUAUGAGUGAAGAUUGUCCCAUUCGAAAUUUUCCAGUGCUUGAGUAACAUUAUGUCUGGGCGAAUAAGCUAAUACUAUCUCCGUCUGAAAAGAAUAUAAUUAUGAGAUCUGUGUCAGUCAAUAUAGCUUAAGUUUAACUAAGUUUACAGUAAAUAUAGAGUAAACAUUUAUAUAUGGAAAUAAUUUUAUUAUAAAAAUUUAUUCUAUAUAACUAAUUUAAGGAUACUUAUUUAUAUAUAUUAUUAUCGUUAGUAUUUUUUAUAUAAAUUUAGUUAAAGUUUAAAUAGUUUGACUUAUUUAAAAACGAGAAUUAUAUUUUUUUUAGACAGAGGGAGUACCUUAAGACAAGAGCAUGGCUCACCUUUUUUCAGUGAGGUUUCUCACUUGAUGACCGAUUGUCUGCAUCUAAGAAAGUAGAGGCCUGGGUAUGGGCGGAUCUAGAGGUAUUCCCCAGUAUUCUUGAAAAUACUUAACUAUUUUGAUAUACUUUUAUGUAGAUAUGUGUAUAUACUUAUAUAUAUGAAUGUAUAAUGCUAUAAUCUAUAGUAUUUUUCCACAUUUGAGCUUAAAACAGGUAAAAAAACUAGUAUUUCAAUUAGAAGUUUAGAUUCUAGAAAGUAAAUAUUGAUUUAAAGUUGCUGAUUUACAGUGUUAUUAGCCAUAUUUUAAACCUAUAAAUUUGACCCUUUUUUUAUAACAUAGAAAUGGGAAUACCCAAGUUUCAAAUCCUAGCUUCGCCACUGGGUGUGAAGCAAACUAGCAUGAACAGUCGUGGCCAACACUCGAUUGCCAGUAUAGAGAGCUGCAUCCUACGAACUAAGGCCCUGUUUAGAUUGAGGAUGAAAAUUUUUUAGAUAUCACAUCGGAUGUGUCGGAAGGAUGUCGGGAAGGGUUUUUAAAACAAAUUACAUAGCUCGUCAGGAAACUGCAAGACAAAUCUAUUAAGUAUAAUUAAUUUAUCAUUAGCACAUGUGGGUUACUGUAGCACUUAAGGCUAAUCAUGGAGUAACUAGGCUUAAAAAUUUUGUCUCGUGAUUUUUAACCAAACUGUGUAAUUAGUUUAUUUUUUUAUCUAUAUUUAAUGUUUCAUGUAUGUGUCCAAAGAUUCGAUGGGAUGGAUGAAAAUUUUUUGGGUGAAUAACUAAACAGGGCCUAAGAGCCAUAGCCAUUCUCAUACGCAUCCAACACGACUAUAGAGAUAAGAGCAUAUGACCUAAGGACAUAUUUAACUUUACCUUAUUUUUAUAGACAACCCAGUAUUGGUAAAUAUGUAGCAGUUCGCAUAGUCACAAGAUAAUAUUGAUAAACUAAUUAGACGAUGUUUGGUUCAUGGACCGUGGUACCUAUAUUUAAGGGUACUCACAAUGUAGACUCUAUUAUAUAGUCUAAAGUUAUUUAUUACAUCGAACAAUGUGGACUUAGAGUCUAAAAAAGAUUUAGAGUCUUAUUUUUUCUAUAUCUUUUUCAAUAAAUAUGCUGCCACAUCAGCAAAAUACCAUAAAUAAUAUGUAAUUAAUUGUUUUAGAAUCUGUGAUAGAGUCUUGCAUUGUGAGUGCUCUAAUCAAAUUUUUUAAAAAGAUUGACUUCUCGAAGCAAGAGAUGUGCAGUUAUUUCUGGAUUGAGAGAGUUUUUUAUAUGUGUGGACACAAAAUUUAACUUCCGCUUGGAUUCAGACAAAGAAGCAAGACCCUCAAGCUAGCAACGACUCCUGCCUGGGUCCUGUCUAGCUAGGUUAGCAACCAAGAAUUGAAUCCUGACGCGUCCUUUGAAAAUGACCGCUAUGCAUGGUGAAGUAGCAAGUACUUGUGGUGUGCAUGUAAUGCACGCGUGGACGUACUACGCUGGAGAGCAGUUGUCAUCGUCGUCCAUAUUGGUCCAUCUAGGAGAAAAACUAAGGUUGUCUCCAGAGUGGACACAGGUGUGCCGCAUAAGUCUCAUUUAACAACAUGUGUAAUCACCCAAUCUGUAGGGGUUUUGAUUCGCUCUUCUUCCUCGUUGGACAGUUGAUAUGGAAAGAGUGGAACACAAGGAUUUUCAAUGGUGUCGCAACUCCGCCGACACAAAUGGACUGAAAGAUCCAGGAAGAGGUUGACAAUUGGUGUCCUGUGUUGACAAUUGGUGUCUUGCGCUAGCUUACGGCAUUGCGGGUGCUCAUGGCCUUCUCUUGAAUGGCCGAACCCCUUAGUCACUCAGUUUGUAUCCAUGUAAUCACAACUUCUUGUUUCAUCGGGCUAUGUAGCUUCAAUAACUUCGGAUUACCGUGGCAACUUUGUGUUGUAACAAACUCUCUUCUUUUUAAUAAAAAAAAUGUGCUAAGGCACGAUCGCGCGAAAAACAACAACAUGUGUAAUCUCUCUGUGUGGGGUGUCAAAGUGUGGGCAUCUCGCCCGCCUUUGGUCACACCAUGUAAAACUUGUUAUCCCCUUAAUGAAAUGCGUGCAAUGAUGUGCAUGUUUGUGAAAAAAGUGACCUCAUUUACCUCAUCCUUUCUAUUUUUCUCCAUCUCCUCUUUCUCCUUGUAUUCUAUUUGUUUUUUCUCUUCCUCUCCAUCCUCUCGAAGACGCGUUAACGCCCCUCCUCCCUCUCCCACUAGUGAAUCCAAAAAAUUUCCAGGCUUUUUACCAUGAGCUUUAAUAGCACUUGAUAGAGUGCACAGCUAUAUCCAAAUACAAAUAAUAGAUGUACUAGCCAAUGAAUGUGGAGGCAUAACACCAUAUAGAAGAAAAUACACAAACGAGAAUAACAUUAAGGCAUGAUAUUUUUUAUUAACGAGGUUUUUGCGAUGUGCCUAUAUCUUCGUGGCAUGCAUGCAUACGAGCGCUCCUCAUUAUAAACAAUAGGUACACCAACAUCUAGGCACUCCUGGGGCUUGUCACCGUCCAAAGUAGCCACCAAGUGCUCACUUUGUUAUAGCAAGGGAUUAUAUCAUUUUUAUGGCCUAUAGAUAUAGAGUUAGAUAGUCCCUAGCUAAUAUGACUCAGAUCGUAAUAUAAUUAAAACAUACGUAUAAAAUAUUCAACAAGUGGUGGUAUGCUUGGUGCUAGAGGCGGAGAGGUCGGAAGAGUUAGUGUGCUGAUAAAUCUUCGUUUAAUUUGCCGGAUCGGAGGAGGAAGAAAAGAAGGGCUUUCGUUCAAAAAAGUAUCCGCAUGCAGCUGGCUUUGCGCGGUAUAGGUAUAUGGUGGAUAUGCAGAAGCAAAUGUAUUAUUUAUGCAUCGAUCAUUGACCACAAGAAGUCAAGAACCCUUUCAAAAAAAAAAAAAAAAUUGGACUACCACCAGUGUACGUAAGGGUAGUAUACUAGCAUCAUUGUAGCUAGGCUAUCCAAUAUAUUCCACACCGACGACGACCAUGCCAUGCAUGCCCCCAAGCCAAAAGCCAAACCGUGUGUGCUGGAUAUAUCGGAUCGGAGAGAAAGAGAGAGAUGACAUGCAAUGCCAAUGCAUGCAUAUUCCGCCGAUCCCAUCAUCCCAUCUCGCACGUUCUCACAUACGAUAGAUAUAUCUACAUAAUACCAAAUUAAAACAGCAUGCAGUGGUUGGUCACCGGACGUACGGACUCAGCAUAUGCAUCAUGUAUGUAAAUGUACGUCAAUGGCGGUCUCUACGCUGCGCUGCCUGCUGCUGCUGGAAUAAUCCGGGUAUAUAUUUUCCGGACCACAGAGACUCACUUGGAUGCCUUCCAAUUCCAAUAUCCAUGAUGAUAAUCUAGUCUGUGAGCUUCGGUCGUCGGUAGCUUCAGUGUGAAAAUACGACAGAGAAAUAGGGGAUAUAGAGCUUUUAAUUUAGUACUCGAUCGGUAUGGAGUUUAUUACUUUUAUUUGAGGGUACUGACUUGCCUAUACGUACUAAACAAAGGAAGUGUGUGUGUUGGGUCCAGAGAACUAAAAGUAUAUGAGCACAGAAUUAUUUUCAAAAUAAAUUGAAAGGGUAUAAUAGUACUUUAGGUUAGCUACCCCUUAUAUCGUCUCUCCUUUCAUCUCUCUGAGCGCAACUAGAGAAAGAGGCCGUACGAUCUCUUGUCCAGCUUCUCCGCCUUCGCCUCGAUCUCCACCUGGAGCACCCUGGAGAUGUCGUCGGAGGCAGCCUGCUAGUGCUUGGUGUUCCCGGCGUGAUGAUGAUGCCAACCAACGAUCGAGGAUCCUGAAUCCCAGCAUGGCAAAGAUGGCAGGUCUUCUUAUUGGCGUAGUCUCGGACAUGAUGCAUGGUGACGUUGAGCGGCCGGGUAGUCGAUCGCCGCCGAUGCCAAAUUAGCCGAGCCGAAAGUGGAAGAAGCAUAGCGUUGGCGGGUGUGCUCCGGAAUGAGAGCCCAGAUCGAGGCGAGGGAGCAGACAACCAAUGUUAUGCUGUAGACGAUCGACGCUCUUCCGGUCAAGUCUGUCGCUGAGCCAGCUGAAGAAGAGCUAUAUAUAUAUAUAUAUAUAUAUAUAUAUAUAUAUAUAUAUAUAUAUAUAUAUAUAUAUAUAUAUAUAUAUAUAUAUAUAUAUAUAUAUAUAUAUCCCCUGAGAGCGUACCGCACAGUGUGACGCCGUUCACAGCGGCCGCGACGUUGGGUGGCAGCGUGGCCGUGUCCGGCUUGUAAGUUGGGGUCGAUGAUGUAGACGUGGUCGAGCUGCUAGCUAGCUAGAUGCAGAAGAGAGGUCGACACGUUGGCGAAGAAGCCCAUGCCCGCCAAAACGAUGGAAGAGUACGUCCAUCUUGUAUGAGAAGGCCCGGCCCGCUCGUUCUGUUCCCAGGCCACCACGCGUUCUACUUCUAGACUAGAGGCAGCAGGCCGCCUGUCUCGACUACAAAAUCCACCUAAACUGCAGUAUUAUUAAUUUCAAGCCAAUGGAUAUGUGGUUGCCUGGCCUGUGCAAUUGUGCAUCGUAGUAUACGAGGCCUUGUUUAGUUACACCUAAAUUUUUUUUAAAAAAAAAAUCAACAUUUUUGACACAUGCAAUCUUACAACACAUAUAUAUAGAGUAUUAAAUAUAUAUAUAAAAUAACUAUUUGUAUAGUUUUUUAUAAUUUGCGAGACGAAUCUUUUGAGCUCAAAUAAUUGUCAAAUACAAACAAAAUGCUACAGUACCCUAAUCCAAAAAUUUUUUUGAAUCUAACAAUGCCUGAAUAUAAUCUCCUCACUAUACAUGUACACGAGUCUAGUGAUCUAUAUCUAAUCUAUAAUUUUGAACUCCACUAGCUAUAUACUUCAAUAUGCAAGCUGUCCACCGCAGUAAUUCACUAUCUCCAUACUUAUUCCUCCUACUGGGCUGAUGGUUUAUCUUCUCUGUUGUAUGAAAGUUUGGGAUAGGUUGAAGGCCUAAAAGUUUGUAGGCAUUCUCUGAGCAUAUCGUACAUCUUUUAUUUGUAGAUGAUAGUCUUCUAUUCUUCUGAGCGAAUCAACAAGGGUCACUCCAUUGCAGUCAAGAAUGUUCUCAAUAUUUUUUAAGAGUGUACACAGUUGAGUCCAAGCAACUGUUUUUUGCUCGUGAGUGAAAAUUACUGUCCAAGCAACAGUUGAGUUGAGACGAGAGGCUGGAGGGUUCGAACCACCGGAUGUUAUUUGUCCACGUGGCAGUGGAUUAAGGUGUCUAUACACCGAGUCUCUCGGUGGAUUAGGACAGAUCAAAUGUGACAAUAAAAAACGAAGGGAGUAUUUAUCGGUAGAAAUUACUGGCCUUACAUUUAAUCAUAGAAAAUUCCACCGGUCAUCUUAAAUCUGUGUGCCGUACGUAUCAAGAAACCAUGCAUACUGUAAUCUACAUUAUUGUGGCCCUACACCGUCCAAUCAGACGUUAAGGCCUUGUUUAGAUCCAAAAACUUUUUAGAUUUUGACACUGUAGCACUUUCGUUUUUAUUUGACAAACAUUGUCCAAUCAUAGAAUAACUAGGCUUCAAAGAUUCGUCUCGUGAUUUACAGGUAAAUUGUGCAAUUAGUUAUCUUUUUUUAUCAAUAUUUAAUGCUCCAUGCAUAUGCCGCAAGAUUCGAUGUGACGGAAAAUCUUAUAAAGUUUUAGAUUUUUGGGUGCAUCCAAACAAGGCCUAAGACGAUCAUUUUCAGGUGCUUCCUUCAAACACGAUGGCUCUCAUACCAUGCAUCCCACUAGCUCCCCCUCACCCUCCCGCGUCAAUGUCAUUAAUAAACUAAAUUACUCUCUCUCCCUGAAAGCUGCAACUUAUAGAGCUGUCCUAAGUCAAACUUUUACAACUUUGACCAAAUUGAAAAAAACGCUAAGAUUUAUAGUACCAAAUUAAUACUAUUAAAUUUAUUAUAGAAUAUAUUUUCAUAAGAUACUUAUUUUAUGUCAUAGAUAUUGAUGCUCUUUUCUAUAAAGUUAGUCAAAGUUUGACUGACACGGAUUAUAGGAGUUGAAGCUUUCAAGGACAGAGGGAGUAUUACAUAGCAACACCUUUAGCUGGUAUUUUCCAAAUGACCCUCAUGUAUCCUUCAUCGCAGUAAUUACCUUGGACUUGGAGUCUGGCCUCUAGAAUUCUUAAAACACAAGAUUAGAAUAAAAAAUAUGUAGAAUUGGAAUUGCAUGAAAAUGCAAAAGAAAGUUUUCGUGAGAUCCAACCUCAUGCUAGUAAUCAGAAAAAAAUUCACACGUGUUGUUAACGCUUUGUUAGGGAUAAGCUAGGGUGGUAACCAGACAUGUAGCUUUAGUUUCUCUAAGAAGCAACUUGACCUUUGAGCCACAUCCAUGCAAUGAGUUUAUGGCUGGUGUCUAUACAAGGCAAAAUUAUGACCAGUAUUGUCUUUGAAGACAUGAUAUUUCAAAGAAAAAGGAAUUAAAUAUUUUUGAAAGUACUUUCCAUAGGUGAAUAUAAUUAUCGUGUAUAUAUUUUACACCGUGAGUCUGUAUAUAUAAUAUAUACGACUCGUUAUGCACCGAUGUGUGUGUGAACAAUACCAGUCUUAAUGGUAAGUUUUAUGACACAGUUACUAAGACACUGCUAGAUAUCUUUAGUGUCGUGUGACAUGUUUCAUCUAGAUUGAAAAAGCAUGUCAGUCUUUCUCUUCAUAAUUAAUAUGUCAACUCAACAAAAUUUGCUGAUGUGUCACAAACAUUACAUGAGAAUAAAACACCUUUGAAGAACCCAUUGAAACUGGUCUAGUAAUGGUUCAAGUUAAUGAAGCUUGACCGGCAAAAAGAAAAAAAAAACUGGACUAAAUUAAGGUGGUAUUAUCGUGCGUGUCAUCAUCAUGGCACCGUAGAGCCAUAUAUACAAGACUUGUAUUAUUGAGUGAAGACCAGCUCUUGCUUGGAAUAUCGUGAAAACGUUCUGUCUCCUUUGACUGGGAUAACAUUAACAUCAUGAAUGAAUUGAAGCAAGUAGCUAGGAUGACGUGGUCAUGCUCAACUUAAUUUCUAGUGCUUGUUUUGGAGUAGCGUACGUGGUGGGGGUCAGAGGACGAAGGUGGAGAUGAAAUUUAAUUAGUGGUCCGGUAUAAUUGAUGUGGUCAUGCUCAACUUAAUUUCUAGUCUCUAAACUUUCAAAGGGCCGGCAUAUGCAUGAGCAUGAUGAUAUAUGCAUGGGUCGAUGGGUGGUGGUUCCAGUCAGCGCGAGUCAGAUGAGACCGAGACGACCUGAAACAAGAAGCUGUUCGUUCUCUUCUUUCUCCAGCCCAAGGAAAAGAAGAAGAAGAAGAAGAAGAUUCGCAGAACCUUGCUGCCUGCUGCAACGCCUCUGACGCCCGUACGUGCACACGACUCACCCGCCAACCGCCAUCUAUAUCCACUCAAAAAAAAAAAAAAAAAAACCCUCACCCGCCAUUUACAUUGCAAAUGCAGAUGCUCCCAACUUUUUUUUUAUUAGCUCCAUGUGUACUUGUUUAAAAAAAAUUUCACUGCGCGCGCAUGCAUGCUUGUUUCUUGGAUCCAGUAUAUUUUCUUGGAUCAAACAUAUAUAGUAAAUAUUUGAUGAACUAGCUGCAAGAUAUAAUAUAUAUAACUAAAUUAUACGAGCUGACCACUAACCUAGCAUGGGAUGCCACUCAGGUUCCUUAACUCCGGACUUGUUUAGUUCCGAAAACUGAACAGUUUUCGAAACUGUAGCACUUUCGUUUUUAUUUGACAAACAUUAUCCAAUCAUGGAGUAACUAGGCUUAAAAGAUUCAUCUCGUGAUUUACAGGUAAACUGUACAAUUAGUUUUUAUUUUUGUCUAUAUUUAAUACUCCAUGCAUGUGGCGUAAAAUUCGAUGUGACGAAGAAUCUUGAAAAGAUUUUGAUUUUUGAGAGUGAACUAAACAAGGCCUCCCUUGAUACAUCUUCAUGUCUGGCAGCUUGUCUUAGGGCUUCUCCAGUGGCUUUGAUAAAAGCAACUCGCGCUCCUACGUGAAGACUGAAUGAGAUGACAGCGACCUGCGCGAACUUGUUGCCAGUGGAGACGACUGCGGAGACGGCCACGACCUCGCCAAUGGAGACAGUCGUGACCUGCGCGUCUCCGGUGAAGCGAACAGAAGCGAAGAGGAAAAAAAAGAAGGGAUGAGUCAGAUAUGGGUCCCACACCAUGUAGUAUGAAUUGACUCUUCAAUGAUUCGGUUUGGGAUAUACUCCAUACGUGGCCCUUUCUUUAUUUGUUCUUUAUUCGAUGAGCCGAUUCACCAUUGUGUAUAGAUGGCCAUGGUAAGGUGACAUCCCAUUGUGGGUGCCCUUACGAUGACACAUGAGGUCUGACCUUAAACUUAUCAUAGGUAUGUCACCUACUCCUAACUUCCACUUAUAGAGCACAACUUUGACCCUAUGGCUUCAACUAUUAAAGCAGACAUCAGGAUAUUCGAGGUGAAUGAUGAAGAAGCGUAGGGAUGGUUAACAACGAUGCGGUGAGAGACUAAUGUCUAGGGGAGCACGGAGAUAGAGCGUCGUCCACACUACUUCAACAAUACUUUUCAGCGGAUGAACAAUAUUUUUCUUUCGCAAUAUUUCAUCAUAAGCCAAAAUUCAUCGGAACAAACAGGAACGCUGCACGAAGCUUGUGAGGCCUGUUUGGAUAUGUAGGGAACUUACGACAAAUUUGGCCACCAAAAAAUAACAUUUUAAAAAGACAUGUAUUAUAAUUUAUAAGCCUUAACAAGCAGAGGCAAACCUAGACUUAGAGAAUGUGUAUUGAAACCUUGAAAUGAUAAAAAAGCUCGAUUGCAUAACCCUUUUGUUUUGGCAUGUAUAUAUAUAGUUAAUUGUAUCCUUGAAUACCAUUGAUUAGUGAAUGUAACAAUGUCCUCAAAUUAAUAAACCCCCCCCCCCACACACACACAAGCUCCAAUAACUGAUAGUGCAAUUUUGAGAGUUCAUUCAUGGAGACCUAGGUAGAUGAAAUGAAAUUUUGAAACAAUUUUAGAGCCCGCGAUGUGUUUUACUCAUAGUUCGGCUAGGCGGCGACUAGUCGCGACUAGGCGCUGGGCGAAGCCCGUCGCCUCGACUAGGUGGGUAGUCGCCCAUCUCGGCGAUAGGCGGAACUAAGGGGCGCGCGAGAUGGGCGUGGAAGCGACGCGGAAGCGGAUGCGGACGCACGCGCCCGCGGAAAUUUGCCGCAGCGAGCCAGGGCGCGAAGGUUUCCGCGCGGAGGCGGACGCCGAGGGCAUGCGCGCGCAGAUGGAAUCAGGCGCGAGGUCUUCCCCGCCGGCGCACCCCUCCCCGUCCCAUGGUCAAUCCCCUUCCCCUCCUCCGCCAGCGGCUGCUCUCCCCUGCUCCUCUCCCCUCCCAUGUUCUUCACCCCUCCCUCUCAGGCUGCUCCCCUGUCCCGUGUCCCCUCCCCUGCUCCCCGCCUCCUCUCUGAUUGAGUGUCUGUGACUGCAUGUCUCAUUGAUUGCCAAAACGCCUAGGAAAACGUCUAGGAGCGCCUAGGCGCGAGUACUCCCGACUAGGCGCUAGGCAAUGGGUCAGCGCCUAGAUUCCGCCUAGCGCCUAGCUAAACCUUGGUUUUACUCAACAUAGGAUACACACAUUAGCCUGUUCGAUUGUCUAUAUGUGGACUGGUCAUACUCUUCAUGAAUACAGUAUUGAUCAUACUCUCCUUGAAUGCAGCAGCACAUCAUUUGGUUGGUUGUAUGCUAGGCAAAUUGGGCCUUCUAUGUCUUCUAGGCAGGCAACCAAACACGCUAAUAGAGAACAUAGAAGGAACAGUAAGCCCAACAUGCAAAUUGGGCCUCUACUUUUUCCAUUUGCAUGCUGCCCUGUAAAAAAUAGGGACCCAAAAUCUAUUGCAACUCUAGCACAAGCCCCUACAAGGAGCUCCAGGUACGCAAGGUCGAUGAGGUUGCCGUGGAAGUAGUAGGACCUCAUAGUGUUGUGCUAGUCGGGAAUGACGGGCACGGCCGCCGCCGACACGGGCAGGAGGCCGUUGUUGUCGUCGCCGCCGGCGUAGCAGACUAGGCCUCGUGAGACGAACACGGGGAUCUGCGGGUCCGGCUUCGGCGGCUGGUUGGCGAGCGUGACCAUGUGGUAGUGUGUCGGCGGUGCGUCGCAGUCAUCAGCACGUCAAUCGUCUCGCCCAGCGCGACAGUGACCAUGUUCGUCUCAAACAACGUCAGGUAGUUGCCGUCGGCGCCGGCCGCCCUAGCUGCGUGCAGGUGCUGCUGGAGACGCGGAACCUCCGGGUGAAACGCGGAGCCUCCAGGCAGGUCUACACCCACCUCCCUCUCCUUCGACGGCGGCCUCGUCCUCACCAAUAGUGCGGCCCACAAGGUGCCCUGGCCGACACACCAACAACGCGGAUCAUGACGGCCUGCGGCCUGCUCGUGAGGUGGGAGAUGGAGGCCGGUGGACUGCGGCCUGCUGCUCGACGACGCCUGGAGAGGAGGGGGCGCUCGCAUGAAGGGCGAGGAGGAGGCGGUGGGAGGGCGGCGCGGUGGCAUUGGGGGCGUCGGAGGAGAGGGAGAGGAUAGGAAGGUCCUGUUCUUGGGGGCCUGUAACUAAAAUUUGGGAGUACUCGUAAAAUGAGAGCCCACUUAGGAGGUAAUUAGAAUUGUUUUUUUACUCAAGCUCUUAAAAUUUAGAAUGUAGGCCUAUUUAGAACUCCAUUGGAGUUGCUCUAAGAGCAACUCCAGCCCAGCAUGCAAAUUGGGUCCCUACUUUUUCCAUUUGCAUGUUGUUGAGCCGUCCUCCUGCUAGCCUUCGGCGCCAUCACCUUCCUUCUCAUCCGCCACUGCCUGGCCGCCCUGCGCCGUCGACCCUCCGUCGACGCCGACCUAGAGGCACGAGCUCCAGUAGCGCCUCGUCAUCGUUAGCCACAGCCAGCGGCGGCAGCGGCCAAGCCCAAGUAGCAGCAGCAGCAGCAGCAAGCGUUACUAAUAGCAGCCGUCAAGAAAGAGGCGCAGCAGCAGGUGGAGGCGCUGACCGGUGGCUUCGACGAGGCGGUCGUGGUGGGCCACGGUGGCUCCAGCACAUGUACCUCACCAGACUCAUGGACAGCUCACCUAUCGCCGUCAAGGUGUACGGCUGUUGUUCGAGAGGAUCCUAUUGCUAGGGACUCAAAACUAAAAUUUAGGAGUGCUUUUCAAAUAGGAGUCCUAUUAAAGUGAAUUUUUUUACGAUUUAGAAUAGGGACCUUGCUCUAAAGAGCCUAACCGAAGCCCCCUACAUAUACGAAUUCAAAAACCGUAAACGACCCUAGUUCGUAGGAAGUUUCCAACCGACUUGAACGAACUCGCGUCGAAUUCCAUUCCAUUGAAAACACGCGACGCGAGCGUCCUCCAGUCCAAGUCCGUGUCGUUCUACCUAGCGUGCGUGGACCAACCAAUAACCGCAUAUAUAUAUAUAUAUAUAUAUAUGCUGCCACGCCCACGCACAUACCGUAUUCAUCAGCUGAUGACAAGAGAGACCAGCAGGGCGGGGGCGCUCCGCUGACUGAUCAGCCCAGCCCGCCUCGCCCGCGUUUUCUUCUUCAUCAUCAUGGGCCAAUCGCCAGCCAUGCAGCCGCCCUCGCCGCGCCGCCGCGCCACCACCAGGGCCCUACUGCGCCUGCUCUUCCUCGUCGCCCUCUCCCUCGCCGCGCUGCUCGCCUUCGUCACCUCCACCCCGUCCUCCUCCUUCUCCACCGCGCGCCGCGCCCUGCAGCUCGUGCCGCCGCGCCGCCACCGCCAGCCGCUAACCACCCUCCGCGCCGUCCGGAGGGACGAGGACGAGCCGGACAGGCCCACCUCGCCCGUCGUCGCCCCGCGAGCGGUGGGGCAGGGCCACCACCGCUCGUCGGACCUCGACGCCGUGCUGCUCCCGGACUGGGAGGUCCUCGUCCUGCUCCGCCCCGGCGACGACGACGACGCGCCCCCCGGCAACGCCACGUGCGCGUUCCCGGCCGGGGCCACGUCCCCGGCGCGGUCGCUCGGGAGGAUGCCCGCGUCCGGCCGCCGAGCCUACACGUGCGCCAUGCCCAGGCCGGAGCGCCGCCACAGCAGGCCCUUCCGCGCGCCACGCCUCGUCGUCGUCGCCGCCACUACCACGCUGUCGUCGUCGUCCUCGGAGGAAGAGCGGUCGUUGACGCCGGAGAUGAUGCGUUGGAGCGGCCGCCUCGUGUACGACUCCGCCGCGCUCGCCGCCGGCGGCGACGUCCUCGUGUUCGCCAAGGGAGUCAACGCGCGCCAGGGAGUCAACCGCGACGCCACGGACGUCCGGUGCAUCUACUACCGCCGCGGCAUUAGCGGCAGCGCCGCCACCGUCGUCGCCUCGCUCCCGGCCUCUACCUCGGCGCAGCAGGUCUUCCGGUGCCCCCCGCCGCCAAGCACUGCCGCCAUGACCAUGACCGCGUCCCCAGCCGAGGCGCAGCAGCUUCGCGUCACGAUCGCCGUCGCUGGCGAGGACCCCAUCCCCUCGGUGGCGACCUACACCCCUCCUCCUCCUCCUCCUCCUCCUCCACCAAAGAAGAAGCUCAUCUGCGGCUGCACCAUGGUCCGCGACGUGGCCAAGUUCCUCCGGGAGUGGGUGGUCUACCACGCGGCGGUGGGCGUCGACCGCUUCUACCUCUACGACAACGGGAGCGGGGAUGACCUGGAGGGCCAGGUGCACCAGCUCAGCGCGGAGGGCUUCCACGUAUCCACACACGCGUGGCCCUGGCCCAAGACGCAGGAGGCCGGGUUCUCCUACACAGCCGCGGUGCACCGAGAUUCGUGUGAGUGGAUGGCGUUCAUCGACGUCGAUGAGUUCAUCUUCUCCCCAGACUGGGCUGGGUCGAGCAAGCCGACCAAAUCCAUGCUCCGGUCCGUUGUCACCGCCGUCAAGCCUAACAUCGGGCAGGUCACGCUAGGGUGCAAAGAUUUCGGGCCCUCAGGGCGGACCAAGCACCCCAAGGAGGGAGUCACCCAAGGGUACACGUGCCGGAGGCGAGCCGAGGAGCGCCACAAGUCACUCGUUAGGCUCGACUCUGUGGCCCCAUCACUGAUGAACUCUGUCCACCAUUUCAAGCUUCGGCCCGAGUUCAAGUGGGAGCGAUCGAGGGCUGUGAGGGUGAACCACUACAAGUACCAGGCUUGGGAUGAGUUCAAGGUCAAGUUCCGCCGCCGUGUGUCCACCUAUGUGGCGGACUGGACCGACCGGGUCAACCAUGGGUCCAAGGACCGCACACCCGGCCUAGGGUUCGAGGCGGUUGAACCAGCCGGGUGGCCACACAAGUUCUGCGAGGUGGAGGACACCCUGCUCCGGGACGUGACACGGAGGUGGUUUGGUGUUGGAUUCACCAAUAAGCUUGCUCAUCACCGGCCGGUUGGAGGGACAACUCACAGCAGCUCAUAGUAUUAGUUUUGGUAUAUACUCUUUAUUAAUUGGACACGGAAACAUACAUGUAUAUUAUACAGAGUAGAUUAGGGAGAAUUCAUUUUGAUUCUUUCAACAGACAGGGUUUUGUUAAUCAUUUUUUAUGUGAUUUAACAAAGGUGUACAAAGACGGUUAGGAGGAGGUGUAACUUCCAUGUGAUUAUUUAUGCCUUUCUUGUUGCAGCGGAUUGGCACUGGCAAGAAAUGUGUACAAAAAGCUAACUGAUCAGUCGUUGCUUACCUUCAAUUCUUUGUUUGUAUUCUAUAUAAUAUAAUAUAUAAUCAUGCAUGCAUGAUACAGUAUGCUUCCAUGUGAUUGGCAGGUGGAAUAAGCAUCAUGUGAAUGUGAUGUUGGCAUCAGCAUAUAUGCUAACGUGUAUGCGAUGAUACCUGGCCUUGUUUAGUCCCAAAAAAUUUUGCAAAAUUUUUUCAGAUUUCCCGUCACAUCGAAUCUUUAGACGCAUGCAUGGAGUAUUAAAUAUAGACGAAAAUAAAAACUAAUUGCAUAGUUUGGUCGAAAUUGAAGAGACGAAUCUUUUGAGCCUAAUUAGUCCAUGAUUUGACAAUAUUUGUCAAAUACAAACGAAAGUGCUAUAGUGUCUGUUUUGCAAAAAUUUUUGGAACUAAACAAGGUUAUAUAAUAAGGAAAAAAACUAGAUAGUUGUAGUCAAGCAAAGUUACAUUCUCCAUGAAACAGAGACAAUGGCGCUACUGUAGCACUUUCAUUUGUUUAUGACAAAUAUUAUCUAAUCAUGGACUAACUAGGAUCAAAAGAUUCGUCUCGCAAUUUACAGCUAAACUGUGCAACUAGUUUUUGUUUUCGCCUAUAUUUAAUGUUUCAUACAUGUGUCGCAAGAUUCGAUGUGACAGGAAAUCUUGAAAACUUUUUGAUUUUUGGGGUGAACUAAACAAGGCCUAAACAAGGCCAAAGUUACAUUCUGCAACUCCAUGAGACAGAGACAUGGCGCCUCUCUUUCAGGAGAUGGUUGCACGAGGAACUUCAAAAUCUGCUCAGAAGACUUCAGGAUAUUAUUGUCCAUAGAUACAAUACUAACCUUGAAAAUGAUAAGGCAAGUUGGAACUGGGAGAAGUCUGGACGCUUGUCGUUGAGAUCUACGUAUAAACAUCUCUGUAGUAAAAAGUUUGGGGACAGCUUCAGGAAAUUUUGGAAAGCUAAAAUCCCUCUGAAAAUUAAGAUCUUUAUAUGGUUGCUAGAAGAAGCAAUUCUUACUAAAGAUAACCUUUGUAAACGUAAGUGGAAAGGCAACGAAUAUGUGCCUUCUGCACAGAUAAGGAAAGUGUGCGUCACAUUUUCUUUGAAUGUGCGACAGCCAAAUUUCAGCGAAGCAGUACUUUCUAAUGAAGGAACAGUAUUUUUCUUCCCACAACAUUUCAACAUCAGCGCAAAUCAAAUUUCAGCAAAACGAACGGGUUGACUGUAGACCAAGUAACUUGGACCAAUACUGGUUUUGUAUUAGUAAUAGUUUGCCCCAAGGUCAGCAGGUGUACGCUAUGGGGCUGGCAGCUAUAUGUUAGGCCAUUUGGAGAACUAGAAACUCUAUUUGUUUGAAACAAAUAGAACGGCAAACCUUUGUUUGUUUGGAACUCUAUUUGUCUCUUCAAGAAGACUGCGGCCUUGUUUAGUUCCCAAAAAUUUUGCAAAAUUUUUCAGAUUUUUUGUCACAUCGAAUCUUUAGACGUAUGCAUGGAGUAUUAAAUAUAAAUGAAAAUAAAAACUAAUUGCACAGUUUGGUCGGAAUUGUCGAGACGAAUCUUUUAAGCCUACUUAGUUCAUAAUUAGAUAAUACUUGCCAAAUACAAACGAAAGUGCUACUAUUUCUAUUUUGCAAAAAAUUUUGGAAGUAAACAAGGCCUGCACUGUGUUUUCACAAGAAGGAUGCCGAGAAGAUUGCUCAUGAAGAUAGCCAGUUGGCGCCUUUCGUUGUCUAGCUGUGAUCUUUUUAGCCAAAGUGGCUAUCUUCAUGAGUUUUCGCUGUGUUGAACACUCGGAGUCAGAUCCCUGUGUGAUCGGUUUUACUCUUUUCAAUCAGUAGUUUCGCGUUUAUCUUUCCGUUCACAAUGCAACUCUGUAAUUUCAGUAGAAUCGUAAUGAAUUUCGGCUUAGGCUAUUAUGGAAACAAAAAAACAUUCUGCAACUCCAAAGGCCGACAGAUGUAGAGUAUCUUUCUAUUCCAACUUCAACUACAGGGGAAAACACCUUCUUUAUCAAUACAAAGCUCUUGCCGGUAGCUUAAAAAAAAGGUGGGAGUGGGAACACACCUUCUUCAGUCAAAGGCUACUUAAGAUUUUUUUUUGAGGGGGUCAAAGGCUACUUAAGAAAGAGGCUGAUAGAGGAAUUCCUAGAUGAAAGCCUGACGGGCCAAACUUAAGAAGAAAGCCCAUGUAAACACGGCCUAUUGUCUUGCCAAAGUCUUGGGCCGAAUAGGAUUGUUGCAAAGAGGCCUAUUAUAGUAUACGCACGUGUAAAUAUAUACACUAUAAACAUACAUACAUUUAGAAUACAGAUAUGAUAAUGGUCUCAAAAUGGGAAAAAUAUUUAUUUAGCUGGCUUACCUCAAGGGAAGAAGAAAACUCUGGUACAUAUACAUAUGUGAGAGUAGUAUAUACUCCCUCUAUCCCAAAUUAAAUCAACUUCUAGACCCAAAUUAAAUCUAACUUUUAUAGUUAUUUUAAGUUUGACUAAAUUUAUAGGGAAAAAAGCACUAAUACAUAUUUUUAUAUUGUAUAUAUAUACUUGUUUUGGGACGAAACUCCAUGGUAACUUGGCAUAAUGCCAUGUACUAUCACAAUGCACUGUACUCUCCGAGAGACAAGCCAAAUGUCCCUUUCCAGAAGCCAUGAUUUCAAGUGCAUGGAUAACACCAUACUACUGUUGAGUGCUUCCGGAUGCAAGUCUCUCUCACCCACUUUUUUGUGGCUUUAAAUCAGAGGCAAAAUGCAGUAAUGAAUAGUCUGCUUCCAUGGAAUUGGUUUGCGGCACUGAAUUUCAUUCGUCGAAAUCCGCAGUAUCUUUUUUUUUUUUUAAGAUCCGGGAACGAAUUGUUCCGGCUUUUUUGAAAAAAAAAAAAAAUCUGCAGUAUACUGUACUAGUAGAAAUAAGAGACGCAUUCAUGCAUGCUAAGAGCAUUAUGGUAGCAGCAAUCACUCCAAGGUACAUGGCUGGUUGCCGCCGUUGGUUAUUGGCAAAGUGGUAGCGUGCAUCACUGGGCAUUCGGUGUAAUUGGGUGCCGACAUGGUAGGUUGUAGUGACCCCCAACCUAUGAGCACUUGUGUUAUUGUCCUUCUAAUUUUGCUGACCCACAAUAAAUGUUUAGCUACUUCCAUUUUUUUUUUACAAUGACAAGCUUCAUUCUCAAAACUACAAAACUUGUUUAGCUACUUCCAUCCUUAUUCUUUUUUUACAACGACAAGCUUCAUUCUCAAAACUACAAAACCACCAAACUAGGUUGCUGCUAGUUUCUGACACAUGUUUUUUUCCCAGAACAGUUAAUUGUACCAAGUAACUUAUUAGAAUUGUAACCAUUGAUGAAAAAUCUCUAGAAGAUGGUCCAGCUACUUCUUACAUACUGAAAAAGAAAAUUGAUGGACAACCACUGUAUGAGUGACACUAAUAUCUAACCACCAAGUGCCAGAUGACUAUUCUCCAUCUAAACCAAAUAAGUGAGAUGAGAGAUAAGUGAGAAGGAGUCAACAACUUACCCAAUACCAAUCCAGGACCAGUGCCCCCUCAAAAGGUCCAAAGAAACCAAACAACCUGACUUUCUGCAAAGUUUCACAUGAUAUCAAUAUACUCUGUUGUUGGCCAUCAAGUUUAUUUUUUGAUCAUAAUGGUAACAAAUAACCUUUAAGAGCUUUAGUUGGUAUAGCAUCUAAUCCAUGGAAACUCUAGGAGGAAGGAAUGCACUGUGACCGUUUUAAACAGUGUAUGACCUGAUACGUGUGUGUCAGUACCAUGACAGCACCAACGAGUUAUUUAAUUAUAUUUUCUAUAAACAGCGGCCGCGUCUAUAUAUUAUCAACAGAAAACCUUGCGGCUAAAAGAGAAGAAUCCUGCACACGACACUGAUAUUUUAUAAAUAGGUAGCACAUCCAUCACACGACAGGAUAAACAUGAGCGGAAAAUAACAAAUAUGUAUUGCAACAAGAAAGAACAUUGUACUUGGAAACAGAUAAAGUAGAUGACGAGUGCCUGAAAACCGCCGUGCAGGCCAGGGCAUGCUGCUCUUUGAGCUCAACACGUGUGAGUGUGAACCACCACAGCCAAGCGCCAACUACCCACAGGAAACAGAUUGGUGGAUUCAGUACUGGCCUUUUGAAUUCUGGUCAUACACAGAAACAGGGGUCAUAUAUUGCUUCGAAAGGUCAGGUCGUUGCUUACCGCUUUUGUUUUUCACAAUCCAGCACGCCUUGGUUUCGUUCAGAUAUGGCUGAGUUUCCCGGGGCCUGCAAAACCAGCACACUCCAGUCAUAACAGAGUAAAGAGCGCUGCCUCCUGUUUUCGGUUCUAGUAUAAGCCUGUUGCGUUCCUGAGCGAUAAGCACACUAAUCCAUACAACCAGUGUCAACAGUACGAGAGCCUGUUCCAAAUCUCACACAGAUCAUGGACCAAACUAAUUAAAAGCUAUCCUGAGAUGAUGUACUAAAUAUUUCGCCAAAUAUAGAGGACGUCGGGGGUGAGGAAGGGACCCUAGUCACAUGCAAAGUAAUAUAACCUUGUAACUAAACAUGAUGGAACUCUGGCAGAAGAAUGACAGACUGCAGAGCACCUGGUUGCAGCCAAUAAUGCAAAGACUCUGUGGGCUCCUUGUGCUUUUGCUCUCCUUCCAACCUUCUCCCUAUAAAUACAAAGGCGUGCGCAAGGCAGAACCAUCAGCUAAGAUAGUUGCAAACAAGCGAGUUACUUACAACCAACCAAAGGAGUAGAAACCACCUGAAGCCAUGUGCAUUGCUGCAUGGAUUUGGCAGGCUCACCCUGUGCACCAACUCCUCCUGCUUCUCAACAGAGAUGAGUUCCACAGCAGGUGCGUGAUCUUGCUUGGUUUUAUUGAUCUGUGUAGGACCCCAAUCUGCAAGUAAUAGUUCUGCCAUAUGAGGUACUAUUUGGAAAAUUGGGUACUUUUUUCCCUCCUAACUUAUACGUUCACUGACAGAAUUCCCAUGAACCACACUGACAUAUGUGAUGAUACUGUUCAUAUUGUGCAUGCUCCUAUCAUUCAUUCAGUUCUCAGAAACAAAAUGCUGCUAGAGAAACCUACAGGCUAUAGAAAGGUUACCCACUGCAAAACAACAAUGCUAGCUGUUCAGUGUUCAUCACUUUGUAUCUUUUUUCUUGAACUGAUGCAGGCCUACAAAAGCAGUAGGAUGGUGGGGAGAAGGCUCAAAGAAGAUUCUUGGUGGCAGGGAUGUGCUUGGUGGAGGAACAUGGAUGGGGUGCACCAAGGAUGGAAGGCUUGCCUUCCUGACCAAUGUGCUUGAACCAGAUGCCAUGCCCGGUGCACGGACUAGGGGAGAUCUGCCUCUCAGGUUCCUGCAGGUAUAUAGCAAAACAUAGCAACAGCUUAGCUGAUCUAGGUGAUACCGAGAAAGAUAGAUUCAUUUCUUGUACAACCCAAGUUCUUGUUUUCCAUCAUACUUCUGCUGUCCCCGUCAUUCCUUAGCAGCUGAUUUGGUCACUGUCUGACAAAACCUUUGUUUUGUCAGUGUCUCAGUGAUUGGUGUAGACACUAGACAGUGCACAUAGGAACAUAUAUUCACACCGCAUUCCCAUUAUAAACCAAAAAAAAAAAUCCAUUGAAAACACUUUAGUGGUUCAUAAUAUUACAACUGAUAACUCUAGCAUGUAUUGUAAGAACAUAUGAUUAAUCAACAUGAAAUUAUCUUCUAUGUAAAAUUGUUCCUGAAUAGCACACACAUAAUCAAGUCUGUGCGGUGCAGAGCAACAAGAGCCCACUCGAAGUUGCAACUGAAGUGGCAGAAGAAGCUCAUGAAUACAAUGGCUUCAACCUCAUACUAGCUGAUCUAACAACAAAUAUCAUGGUCUAUGUGUCAAACCGGCCUAAGGGGCAGCCUGCAACAAUUCAACUCGUCUCACCAGGACUCCAUGUGCUGUCCAAUGCAAGGCUAGAUAGCCCUUGGCAGAAGGUAAGCAGAGAACUUUCAUGUUCAACAAGAUUUGUAGAUAGCUAAAAAACUAAAAAUGCCUUGCAAAUAAAAAUGAACAGGAUGAUUUUAUUCGGUAUAGUGGGUAGCACAUAUUGGUAGGUACAAAACUAGAAAUGCUGAAUGCCUAUGAGGUGUCAUGUUAAUUAUUUUAUUUUUAGCUGCACUAAAAUGAUGGAUCACAGAGAAAACAUUGAGCUGGGAAAAGCGUGAGAAAGGUACAGGUGAACCAUCUAAAGUACUUCCCUAGUAAUAAGCAACAUUGCAUUUAACUCAAUUUAUAGCACAGCAUGUGCAAGAUGUAAGAUAAGAUGACAAUGCAUUAUUGCAACCUACUCUGUCUCUCAGGGACCAUUCAUCAUACCAAGACCAUUAUUCAUGAAGACAGUGUGAAGUACCUAAAGGGAUUUUUUUUUUCAUUGUUGUGUAUGCACUUGUAGGCAAUUCGCCUCGGUAAAAACUUCAGGGAGCUUCUUAGGGAGCAUGGUGGCGAUGAGAUUGAAGUGAAGGAUAUAGUUGAGAGGCUAAUGACUGACACCACAAAGGCUGACAAAGAUAGACUGCCAAAAACUGGUUGUGAUCCCAACUGGGAGCAUGGUCUGAGCUCCAUCUUCAUCGAGGUGCAAACUGACCAAGUGAGAAAAAUCUCUUGAUUCAGGGUUCAACUGGUUGAAAAAACUAUAUCAAUUGUCCACUUAUAAAUAUCUGUGUACAUAAAGAUAGGCUAAUACUUCAGAAAUGAACUUAUGAAUUCUAUUUUGGUGAAGGGUCUCUACACACACACACACACACACACACACACACACACACACAGAUAUAUAUAUAUAUAUAUAUAUAUAUAUAUAUAUAUAUAUAUAUAUAUAUAUAUAUAUAUAUAUAUAUAUGUGUGUGUGUGUGUGUGUGUGUGUGUGUGUGUGUGUGUGUGUACACAAAAUUAGGCUAAAUGGCUAAUACUUCAGAAAUGAACUUAUGAAUUCUGUUUUGGUGAAGGGCCUCUACGGGACACGGAGCACAGCUGUUUUAUCAGUGAACUAUGAUGGUGAAGCUAGCUUGUACGAGAAGUACCUUGAGAGUGGUAUAUGGAAGGAUCACACAGUGAAUUACCAGAUAGAGUAGUAGGCAAUGCACAGGAAAAGCUGGCAACCAAAAAUAAAUAGAGACACAAUUGUGAAUUUCAUUCUUUCCCUGAUCCUGAGUCACCUUUCAGAACUAUCUAAGAUCCCAUCAUGAUGCCAAUUACAUUAUUUACUGUAAGCAGAUUUGUCACUUGACAAUAAAAUGUCAAGCAGAAGUGUAAGUUUAAAUAUAUACACCAAAUAUAUAAAUUUACAGACUUUGUGUAAGAUCAGUUUUUCUUGCCUUCUUGGACAUGUUUACUCGAGAAAUCUUAGCAAGCUAUUGUAUGUUGAGUUCUGUUGUAUUAAAGGUUAAUUCACUAACAUAAAGUUACUGUAAGAUAUGAUACAUUUAAGCUACUGAAAUUAUAGAAUAUAUCAACAACAUAAAAAAACGAUGCACGUAUGCGUAAAGAAAUGCAUCUGGUGUACCUCAUUUGUUCAAUAUGCUCCAGACCUCCAGUGGUGUCGGUCAUGCAGCUCCAGAGCCUAAAAGGGAUUUUAAAGAAUAACUAUACAAAUGUUCUUGUGAAGUCUGCAGUCUAGUGAGUUCUGUGAUGAUGUUAUCCAAGAUAUGUAGAAACUGAGAAUCACAACAAAGUACCAUCAUAGAGUUGCAAUUGCAAUAUUCAUGUUCAUUAACAUGAGUAUACAGAAAUAUGAAGCUCUUCAGUCAAGAUUUCAGCUUGUAGACAAGCAAGCUACAAAGAAUUGUAAAGCUUAGCACUACACCCCAAUAGCUAAACACUACACCCCCACUUGCAUGCUCUUGUUCUUCGUUGCUUGUUACUUCUCUGCAAAAUUUUUGUCUUUGCCCAUCCCUGCUGGUUUCUUCUCUGCUUGGUUUGUCUUGUUGUUCACGGCACUGCUGUGGUAUCCAUCUCGUGAUCAUCCUCUCAUGAACAAUCAUCUGUUCCAAACAAUCCAAGGAUCCCAGCUCGGAGCUCUCGGUGCUGAUGGUCAGAACAAGUACCGUCUUGGCCACACUUCCAGAGGCCCGAAGCGCACAGAGUAGUUCAGACCAGACCUUCAUGCGGCUACACCUAGUGCCGAAUGCUUUCCCUUCUGGAACCACAGUCACCGCAAACUCCGAGUGCACAAGUGCAGGAUGAUGACGGUAAGCUACAAACUCCGCCCCGUACUGCAAUCCUGACUUUACAACCCAGUUCUUCAGCCUAAGGUGCUGAUACGCCUUGUAAAUCUCCGGGAAUCGCUCCGAGGCGGACGCCAAGAGAUCCCACAGCUCCGGCGCACCUAUCCGCGCCUUCUUCUCCGACUCAACCGUGACGCACUUGAGGGCAUGGCAAAGGAAGAACACCUCCUCAGGGCCCAGCUGGAACCAGUGCCUCUCCGCCGCGCCUGUGCCUGCACUAGACACGGCGCGGCCAAAGGAGGCGCAGUUCAGAAGCUUUGCUUGGCGUCGCCCGACCAUGAGAAUCGCGUCCCUGGUGUGCGCAGCUAGAGUCGCCACGGCUUCUGAGUCCCUCAGUGAAGCCUGGAGCUCGGCGACUAUGCUGGACAUGGGCUUUUCUGCUGCGAGUGCUGCGAAGUCCUUGCCGUCCUUGCCCUUCUUCCAUCGGGGACCUGGCAAAUCCAUGAGCUGAUGGCAGCACACGACAUGAGAUUUGAUGGAAAUCGGUAAUCCACAAAUCUAAGGGCAUGACAUCUACACCUUGUGCAGGAGCAAGAGGCCGGCCGUGUAGCUGCUUGCCGCAGGAGGAGCGGCGCCGUUGGGCGGGGUCGCAGGGCCCGCCGGUCUGGAGCGGGACAGGGCCGUGAGACGCGGCGUUGCCCUGGAGCCGGCGCGGUCUGAUGCAGCGGACGACCGCGGCGGCUAGGAGCAGGAGGGGCUGUCGGGUCGGGCAGUGGCGGCUCGCCGGCAUAUGGACGCUCCAACUCCAAGGUGCGGUGCGGUGCGCGCCGCCGCUCCAAGGUGAGCGAGGAAGUAGUCGGCACGGUGGAGGACGUGGGCUACUGGGCUGGGCCUCAGCUCUUUUAUCUUGAGUGGGCUCGUCUGGGCCACUGUGGUGUCGGAAUGGGCUUUGAUCUUCUGUUCCAAUCUGACAGUGGAAUUUGUUCCGGGUCGGCCCAAAAUCAAAAUGGAUGUUUUCCGGUUUAAGUGAAAAAUCUUGCGCCAAAUCAAUCCCUGCAAAUACUUCAUGAAAACGUGCCGUAAUGGGUUCCUGUUCUGCAAGGACUGCAUAGACCUGUGGGCACUUUUGUGUAGAGCAGUGUGAGAUUUCCUAAGACGUGGAUAAGUAAAAGAUUACAAUCCAACUAUGUGUUUAUUCGCUGUAAAGAAGAUGGUUUGCUGCUUCAUUAUGAUUGUACAGGCAAUUAUAUAUGCAUUCAUUGGUCUAUUAUUUGCUACUUGUACCAUUAUACAUGCCUUAGGGCUUUACUAAUCCGUUCCAGUUCCAGCACACUGACAAUAAUUGAGUUGACGCUCUUUGAAGUGAAGCAGUUGGCAGCCCUCCUUUGAGCAAUACAUAAAACCACUCUUGGCCUUGUGGGGCACAUUUAUCUUCCUGUUGCUCAAAUAAAAUAAAAUAAAACCACUAGCAGUACAACCACAAUGGAUACAAAUGUACACGAUUUAGUUUGUGCAGUAAGUUUUCUUUUGCAAAUAAAUGCGCAGUAAGGUCAUUGCAUAUUACUUCCUCCAUCCGAAAUUGUAAGUCAUUCCAAGAAUCUUGAAGAGUCAAACUUUUCUAAGUUUGACCAAAUUUAUAUGAUAAAAUAAUUAUUCUUAUGAUACUAACUAAGUACAUCCUUAAUUAUAUUUUCAUAGUAUAUUCACUUUAUGUUACAAAUCUUAGUAUUUUUCUCUAUAAUUUUGAUCAAACAUUAAAAUGCUUGGACUCUCCAAGAUUCUUGGAAUGACUUACAAUUUGGAAUGGAGGGAGUAGCUAUUUACAUGGACACGGCAUAACAUUUAGGUAUGUUUGGAACACAGGAAUUUGACCCUAAUCUACAUUCUCCCUUUAAAACUGAAUUAAUCCCGACCCUAUACAGUUUUUGUGUUCCAAAACAGCCCUUAGUUUUAAUGAGGAGGGUAGAGUCAGCAAUAACUUGAUUUUCCUUUGUAAAAAAAAAAAAAUCAACAGUAUCCAAACCUCAAGCACAUGUUGGUGAUCGUUCCUUUUUCACAAUGAUUGGACUAUCUUCUUUUUCUUUGGCAUGUCUUACAAAUGUUAUUGCCCCUUUUGCAUGUAAGGACGAUUGAGGUCACUAUACCAUGACCAUGGAAAAAUGGGACAUCUUCGACCCAUGGACCACUUUGGGUUCUUUGGACUUGGGUUGACUUUUGAAAGAUGCUAGUUUUCCUAAGAACACCACUCUUUAGCAAACCUUUUAUUCACACAAGAAAUGAGAGUACUAUCUUGUAUGCUAAAAACACUGCCCUUUCUGUACAUAAAGGACUAACAUGACCAUCGAAACAAAACUUUGUUCCAAAUUGGCCACUGCUCUUCUCACGCAAAACUAGAGUGGUUCUCUCUUCUUCUGCAAGUGGUUUAAAACAUCUUCGUAGGUAAAGAGCGAUCAAUAUCAUAGCACUCUCCAAUUAAGAUAAUCACACAAUGCAAUUGCCCACGCCUAUACAAUGCAAGUUGUUUGCCGUAUUGUGAGGACAGAUGAAGAAUACAUCUGGUCUAUAAGUUUUAAAACUCUGUAUUACAUACGCCGUCACCUGACCUCCUUUAGAAUGCAGGCCUCCCUGUUUCUUGCGUGUGUGUUUUUCUUCUGUGAAAAUCCAAAGGCACCCUGUGUUAAAACUAGUUGCUUUAAUCAGCGGUUGUAGAAUGCAGAUAUUAGGUUCAGCCAAUGCAACAGGCAAACACUCUUUGCUUGAUUUUUCAGUAUAGGUGUCCAUAUCCAUAAAUAAAUUAGAGGUAAAAGUUCAGACUCACAAUGUAAUAAGCAGGGAGGCUCCUUCCUUUCGUUCUGUUAGAGGACGAAGACAAUAACGAGUGGUGAAAUUACAAGGGUCGUAUCCAUCCAUGUACCAGAAUUAUACCCUACAACGAUGAUGUUAUCCUACAAGAUCAUCCGAAUGAACCUGGCAAGCGCAUAAAGCUGAUGAUCGCACAGCAGACCGUGGAGGUGGGGAAUGCAAUUCGCCGUAGCACAAAUAAAUAUAUCUCGCCGUGGAAACAAUCAGUCGAGCAGGAGUAAGAUGCCGACCGUGUAGUGUAGCUCCUCGCCGCACCUGCUGGCUGCGCGGCGGCGGACCGGCCAGAGCGACAAGCCGAUCGCCGUCUGCCGCGGUGGAGGCGCAGGCAGCAGCAGCAGCAGAGCAGUCCUGCAUCCACAGCCGCCGCCUAGCGGCUCACCGGGGACGCGCGCCACCCGCUCCCCUCCAGCGGACGGUCGCGAAACUGGAAAAUUUUGUUGCAACGGUCGGCUGCGGAAAACCAGGCGAUGGUGUGCGCUCACAGAAAGCACAGCGAAGAAGCACAAAACACGCCGUGGCCUGCCUGCCGCCUGCCCCUGCACACCAGCCAACCAGGCGCGCUCUCGCGGAUCGGUGACGUGGCGAGGUGGACCCCCGAGCCGGCAAAAUAUCUGCCGCCGUGCCACUGCCGCGCGGGGCCCGCACGUCAGCCAUGUGAUCCGCGCGGCCACAUGCCCACCCUCCUCCUGCUGCUGCGGUUCUGCCAGCCCAAAUUUUCCAAAAUCCCGCCCAAGCCCCUGCCGCCGCAGCUUUUGCGCGGAGCACCCUGACGUCUGCUGGAACCGCGAGCACGCCCCUCCGCCACUCGUACGCGGGCGGCCGCAGCCCUAGCCGUCGUAUAGGAAUCCCGGAUGACAACCGGGACCCGCGCCUUUAUGGACCUACAGGUCAGUGGGGGCCGCGGCUGUUGUCGCGGUGAGGAAAGGUCCCGGCGGGUACGGGAAUUCAAAUUGGGAGGCGGAUGCGGGCCCUCGCUGCGCGGGCGGAAUCGCAGAUAUGCCCUUGGGCCACGCCUUCCUUCUUAUCCCCUGCGCCUGCCCUCCCCCCUCUUCCUGCAGCGUCCGUCGCCCCCUUUCCCCUCCCCAUCCCCGCGGGCCGCCAGAG
rnacentral:lncRNA from 1 species